rnacentral:lncRNA from 1 species
AUCGAUAACACCACGUUCGAUGAUUAGACGUUCAAGGACUGGGAGAUGGCAUCUGAACAACUCAGGUACGAGAAACGCUAAUUUCGAGCAGUUAUAGAUUAACAGUGAUUUCAGUGUAGUGGGUAAACCAACUUUGUGCAGGGAUCUAGAAAAAAUACAAUCACAGAUUUUCAGAUCAUGAAUGUUGGUUUGCGAGAUUUCCUCCUCUAGCAGAGACUCCACAUAAUCACAUUUUCUAAUUGACAGCUGGUGUGGUGCCAUUGGAAGUUGACUCCACUGAGACACAUCUAAAAUUUCAAUUUCUGAAGUUUGAAGAGGUGUGAAGUCACAACCUGGCAUUUGCAACCGCAGUUUACCAAAAUCCACCAUCCUCAACUGACGAAUUGCAGGAACUGUGAGUGAAGCCAUAAGCAGCUGCGGACAUCCAUCAAUUUGAAGUUCCACCAAUGAAAGAAGCUGUUCUGGUAAUUUCCCAGUGAGUUUGGGACACUUUCGUAUAAAAAGCUUUUGGAGACGAGGGAAUUCUCCACAACAUAACCAUUUCUCCCAGUUCUUCAUAUCCUCAAAUGAUAGUGUUUCUAGGAAUUGAAAGGAAGCAUUCUCAUAUAACUCAUCACCCACACACUCUACUCCAUUCAUCCUUGAGAUUUGCAGAUAUUUAAGCUGGGUUAGCUGUCCAAGUGGUGGCAAUGUUGAGCAAUUGCCACAACCCCGAAGCUCAAGGGACACGAGAUUCAACACUGAAGGAUCUCCAAGCCAAUUUGGAAAUCCUUCACCAGGAUAGUUUGUGAUGGAGAGUUGUUUUAAAUUUGGAUGAGGUUGUAACUUGUUGAGUAUAUCAUGCGUUGUUGCACCACUUUGUGUAACACCACUGGUACCCCAACCAAAGAUUAACUCAUAAAGAUAACUUUUAUCCUUCAUAUUAGCCCUUAAUGCAUCAUUAACACUCACCACAUUCUCCAUGUUUGAAAUACAAAGUUUUCCUCGAAUCUCUGACAGCUCCCCCAAUUCUCCAAUUCUUAAUCCAUCGUUUUGGCCCACAAUAAAUUGAGUCAACCUUUGUAAACUUUUUAAUCGACCAAUUCCAUGACUUGACAUUUCUCUCAAUGAACCACAUCCAUCAAUAUCAAGAUAGCGCAAAUUAAUCAAUUUUCCCAUCUUUGAAGGCAAUUCAUCAAGUUUUGAACAAUUUCUCAGCAUCAUCGUUUGUAAAUUGCAUAAACAACAUGCUGAUUUAGGUAAUUUUUUAAUCCUCGUGGAAGACAAAUCCAAGUAACGCAAAUGUUUUAAAUUACCUAUCGAUUUAGGCAAAUCAGUUAUUGUAUAUGCACAUAAUGAUAACACGCGUAAACACCACAUUUUUGGUAAUAUAUCUUGCAAAACUCUUUUACUCAACUUAUACAAAGGAAGAUCAACCCAUGGCUUCACUCUUAAGAAUGUCCGAAGAGAUUUAGCUUUAGGGACAGCCUCAAAAUUCUUAAAUGCAACAAGCCUGGUAUCAUCACUAUUAAAGUACAAAAAGUGGCGAGCCUUCUCAGAUACUUCUGGUGGUAACUUAUCAUCAUCUUCCACUCGAGCACAAAAAUCUCCAGACACGUAUUGAGCCAAUUCAUGUAUUAGAUCAUGCAUUACAAAGCAUGAUCCUUCUAUUCCAAUAGAUUUUUGAAAGAAAGACUUGGCAAGAAGCUCAUCAAAAUAUGACUCACCGAUCUCUUCCAUUCUCCUUCCUUUGUUUUGUUGUGCAUGUAAAAGACCUUCUGCCAUCCAUAAUAAAAUCAGCUCCUCUUUGUUGAAUUGGUGGUCCUGGGGAAAAAUAGAACAAUAAGCAAAACAAUGCUUCAGAGGUAAAGAAAGAUGAUGGUAGCUUAAUAUCAAAGACGGAAGAAUUUCGGAGCCACGCUGCGGAUGCCAUAUUUCACUUCUCAACACAUCGUCCCAUUCCCUUUUUUCGUCCUUAGAAUACAAGAGACAGCCGAGUGCUUUCACAGCCAAAGGCAAUCCUUGGCACUUGUCCACAAUCUGUCUGCCUAUGCGUUGAAGCUCAAGGUAUGCGUUGGGGUCUCUAUCUUCAAAUGCAUGCUUUUUAAACAGGGACCAACUAUCUUCAGAGCUUAAUUCCCCAAGAUGAUGAGUAGGGACUGCUCGCAUGGUUGUUGCAACAGAUUGAUCACGACUGGUCACGACAAUCUUGCUUCCCUCUGCUGCGAGGAGUGGAGUUCGUAGAAUAUUCCAAACUUCACGAUCACUAAGCUCCAUAUAACCUUCAUCACGAGGCUUCAAAUUCCAGACGUCAUCAAGAACAAGCAGAAAUUUCUUGUUACGAAGUUGCUCUGUGAGUUGAAGCUGAAGCAAAUUUAGGUUGUCAGCGGAAGUAGGUGGAGAACCAAUUUCCUCAAGAAUUGUUUUGGUGAGUUUGAUAAGGAAAAACUCAGUGGAAACACAGACCCAUGCUUGCAAGUCGAAGUGUUUCUUCACUUCCUCAUUUUUAUAGAGACGCCGAGCAAGCGUGGUCUUGCCGCUGCCGCCCAUGCCCACUAUGGACAUCACCCCCAUUUUGUCGCCUGUUGUAUUGUCAGAACGCAACCACUCCACCAUCUCCUUCUGAAUUCCAUCCCUGCCGACAAAAAUGGAGUCAUGCUCCAAAGAAGUGGUUAUUGGUGAUCUUGGUCUUGGUGACCGUUUCUCGCCCCCACCUUCUGCCAGCCCCAACCCAACUUUUUCUAGUGCGAUUUUUUCCAGUUGAACAAUCAUGCCCCUGACCCUGGACUCCAUGCUUUUGAUAGCAAAUGGGGCCUUCACAGAAGCAGAGAACUUCUUCCAUUUCCACGCCUUAAGAGUUCCGUCGGUAACGAUCUCGUCCAGCAGGUCUUCCGCACCAUACACAGCAUCCUUGACAGGGACGAGCCACUCUUUGACAUUUGGGUUCGAAAAUUGCUUCACCUCCGCAUCAUCGAGCACAUUGUGAACAACCACGAGUUUCCUCUUCAACUCGUUGAGGAGUUCAUCGCUAAGGCUCCGUCGCCGAAUGAAGUUUAUGAGCUCUGGAGAAGCCAACCUUUCGAAUAGAACUUGAAGCGAAGUUGAGAGGAGGGCGUCCGCCAUAUCUGUGUCGACUGUUGCUUUGCAAUAGGAAUUCAGAGGAUUGGUUUCUGUUACCGCGAUACCACCAAACUGCAAAAGACUGGGUUUGGAUUACCACACUGCAGAAUGCUUGAAGGAAUCAUUAUUGGUGGUGGACCCAGCUGCCAGAUAUUGGUGGUGGACCCAGCUACACUGCAGAAUGCUUGAAGUUAUUGGUGGUGACCCAGCUGCCAAUAUUUGUCAAACACCAUAGUGGUGAGAAAAAGAACAGGAAAAGCGAGUGGGAGGUAGAUGCGCUUUCCCCAAGGAAAGCAGAAUCAACAACAGCAUUCGGUAUUUUUCUUUUUCAUCUACGCAUUUCUUCUUUCUUUCUUCUAGUAUUAUUAUUAGUAGACAUAUACACACAAAUAUUUGUUUAUAACAUUUUCAUUCUUAAUAUUAUAAAAUUUAUUAUUAAUAAUAUUUAUACUAAUAUUAUUUUUUAAUAAUUAUAUUAGUAUCAGGAUUUUAUAAUUAGUAUCCUUACUUUUAUUGCUUAUAAUAAUAAUUAUUAUUAUUAUAUUAUGUUAUUAUUAAAAUUUAUUAGUAUUUUCACAUAAACAAUGAUAUAUGCAUAAGACAUAUUAAAAUUUUGAAUAUUAUGGUUAUUAUUAUUUAAUAAUAAUAUUAUUAUUUGAUUCAAAAAAAGUUUAUAAUAUAAUAAUAACAAAAAUAAUUUUUUUAAUAAAAUAAAUUAUAAAAAUAUAAUAAUUUUAUUAUUUAUAAAAUACAUUUAUUUUAAUGCAAUUAAAAAAAUUAAAAUAAUUUUAAAAAAUUUAAAAAUUUUCAAAAAAAAGUUAAAUGGGACGGGAUUAGGAUGGGAUCGAUCCAUCCCAAUGUCGUCCCGUUGUCAUCCCUAACUCAUCUUGUGAUAAUUAAGGCCAUUUUUUAUCAUUGUUUUUUUAAAAUGGUCUUUUAUCCUUAAUAUAUAUAUAUAUAAUAAUUAGAAAUAAAACAUAAUUUUUGUUUUUAAAAAUAAAAAAUAAGGCAUUUUUAGAUCAUAUCCUUUUAGUUACUUUUAUUUGUUUUUAAAAAGUAAUUAUAUAAAUAUAAAAAAUAAAAUAAUUUAAAUAAAAUUUAUUUUUAAAAUAUAGAAAAUUAGUUAAUAACACUUUAUCUUCUCAAGCUCUUGUUUUAUAAAAUAUCAUAAAAUAAUUUUCAAAAACUUUUUUUUUUCACAAUUUUGACAAACAAAACGUGUUGCAAUAAUGCACUUAAAUUCAAUGAACCUAAAAGCCAAAUGUGCAGUGUUGACUUUUCAACAGAGAGUUCACACAUGCCCAUUUUUUUAAUUAAAGCACUAUUGAUAUAAAAUAUAUAUUUAAAUAAAAAUUAGACUUUUAAAAAAAUUAAAAUAUAUUUUUAAAAUUAAAAUAUAUUUUUAAAAUGUUAAAAAAAUAUUUACAAUAUUUCCUUAAAAAAAACAUCUUCCAAAAACAUUUCUUUAAAAAAUACUUCCACCGAUAACAAUUUAGACACACUUGUGAUUUAAUAGUUAAAUAUUCUUUCCAACAGGAAUUCAACUAUCAGUUUGUAUUACCACGAUACCACCAAACUGCAAAAGACUAAUUUUGGAUUACCAAAAUGCAGAAGAGCUGAAGGAAUCAUUGAUGGUGGACGACCCAGAUGUCCACAUUAUUUGUCAGACACCAUAAUUGAGUGAUGAGGAAAUGAAAGAAAAGAAAAUAAAAAACAAAAAAGGUGAUGCCAAACAUGGUCUUAUAAGGUGGGUGGAGCGAAAGCAACAAAGGAAACUAGCAGGAUUUUUCAUUGCUAUUCCAUACCUUAAAGGACAAAUUUUGAAUUACCAAAAUACAAAAGACUUGAAGGAAUCAUUGAUGGUGGUGGACCAGAUGUCCACAUUAUUUGCCAAACACCAUAAUUGAGUGAUGACAAAACAAAAGAAAAAGCAAAAAAGGUGAUGCCAACAUGGUCUUGUAAGGUGGGUGGAGCAAAAGCAACAAAACAAACUAGUAGGAUUUUUUUAUUGCUAUUCCAUAUCUCAAAUGACUAAUUUUGAAUUACCAAAAUAUAGAAGACAUGAAGGAAUCAUUGAUGGUGGUGGACCAAGAUGUUCACAUUAUUUGCCAAACACCAUAAUUGAGUGAUGAGAAAAUGAAAAACAAAAAAGGUGAUGACAAACAUGGUCUUGUAAGGUGGGUGGAGCGAAAGCAACAAAGUAAACUAGCAAGACUUUUCGUUGCUAUUCCAUACUUCAAAGGAUUGAUUUUGAAUCAUCAAAAUACAGAAUACUUGAUGGAAUCAUUGAUGGUGGUGGACCCCGAUGUCCAUAUUAUUUGCCAAACACCAUAAUUGAGUGAUGAGAAAAUGAAAAAAAAAAAAAAGUUAAGAAAAAACAAAGAAGUGAUGCCAAACAUGGUGUCGUGAGGUGGGUGGAGCAAAAACAACAAAACAAACUAGUAGGAUUUUUUGUUGUUAUUCCAUACUGAGAAAAUAAAGGGCUAUUCUAAAUAGAUAAAAACACCCAAGAGAGGAGGUGAAUAGAAGUUAAAAAAUUUCUUUUUAAACACAAUAAAAUUAAGCAUAAGAAGUACAAAUAUAAAGAAGUAAGGUUAUAGAAAGUAAACUCAAAUUUAUAGUGGUUCGACACUUCCUUACUUACAUCCACUCUCCUCAAGCUCCUAAUCGAGUGAGGGUUCCACUUAUACUUGAAGUUUCAACCAAACUUCUAAUCACUUUUUACACUUGGAUUCCAUCUCCAAUGGACUCUUACACAAUCUUUUCAAGUCUUUACUCACUUGAAGGUUUUAACACUCAAUUAACAAGUUUGAAUCUCUCAACCUAGCUCAACAAUGACUCAAAUACAACUCAAGGCUAGGAUGAAUCACUAAGGUGCACUAAAGAAUAUGCAAAUGAAAAUUUAAUGCACUAAUAAAAUAAUGAGAGCUUUUAUGGCAAUAAUAAGUAGGUAAACAAAUAAAUGCAAGUGUUCUCUUACUCAUAAAUGAGGUAGAGCUCUCAAUUUAUAGGUUUCUAACCUCAGGAGCUAAAAAGCCAAAAAACAGUCUCAACUGGUUGAACUGGGGGUUGACUGGUUCAUUAGCCGUUGGAACAUUAAAUGCUUGGCAGGUGACCGUUACCCUCGACCAAACCUUAACUGAGAAGGCAAAUCCAUCAACCAGGAAAGAAAGGCUACUAGAAGAGAGAGAAUGUUUUUCACAUCUCUCAACCGGACCUUGACAUAGAAAGAGUAAUCGGUAGACCGAUACCUUAGCUGAUUGAGCCGAUUGGCCAGUGCCUCGACUAGUUCACCAUUUUUAGUCUGAAAACCUAUCUUUUUCUGGUCUUUUUGCUUCUAGCACUUAGGUAAGGACUUUAGAUAAAAUAAUAUGUCAAUUUUGAAAUGUUUUGCCUAAGGUUCAUUUGAUAGAACUCGGAUUUUGAUGGAAAUGUAACUUUAAUGCAUAAACCGAGUUUUAAAGAUGUAUGAAAUGAUAUGAAUACCCUAAGUACACUCAUGCAUUCAUCUUACGUAUGUUUCCUAUGAUUAAAAGGUCGUUCAAAAGUCUUGAUCUUGCAUUCAUUAGGUCCUUUAAUGAAUUUCCAAAUUAACACCUGAAAUUCUUUAUAAUUCAAAUCAAUUAGUAACUUAACCAUGAUUUGUUAUAAUCAAAACAUGAUUAGGAGAAUCAUUGGGCUAACACAUACCUCAAAGGACUAAUUUUGAAUUACCAAAAUAUAGAAGACUUGAAGGAAUCACUAAUCUUUUUAUAAUUUAGAAAAAUAAGUAAAACGAGUUUGAAGAAAUGUAUAAAAAUAAUUUAUUAAAUUUAAAUUUAUUUCUUAUUUUCCUUCAUUUUUUCUUUUUUUCUACUUUUUCUUUCUAUUUUCUUUCCUUCUCGUUUUCCCUCAAAUUUUCCAAGAGCCAAAUAUAGCUUAAAGGUUUAGAAUCUUAUGCACAAGACUUUCAAUUUUUUUUACAAUAUUAUUUUAUUAGUUAAGAAUUAAAAUUUAAUGUACCAUAUCUAACACUAACAAAAAAAUUUAUAACAACCAAUCUUAUCUUUUAAGAAUAUAUUGUUUAAAUGAGAUUAAAAAUUAAAAAUAAAUUUUAAUUCAUUUAACAACUAAAUUAAAAUGAAAUUUAUAUAUAUAUAUCAUAAAUUUAUACAAUUUUGAAUCAUUUUAUAUGGAGGAUUGAGAAUGGAGAGAUUGAAGAAUUGUUUGGUGACGAGGAGAUUGAUCGAAGAUUUUAUAGUCUUAAGGUUCUAUGGGAUGAAAUUUUUUGUAAAGAGUUUAAAUUUUUGUAAAAAAUAAAAUUAGUUUUAUGUUAUUUGAUUUCAUGGAAAUACAAAGUUUUAAUUCAAAGAUUAUGUUUUAAAAAUAUUAUUUUUAAAAUAUAUUUAGUAAAGAUUUAUAAAAAUUUAAAAUUAAAAUUAGUUAAUCUAUCAACUAAAUUAAAAUAAGAUUUAUAUAUUAUUUUUAUAGAUUUACAUGUGUAAAAUCUUUAAAAUGCCUCAACUUAAAAUAUCCUUACAAAAUUUCAUUAAUCUACUAGCAAUCUGCAUAUUGUCUCUACAUAGAGUCAAUUUGCAUUAGGAUGAAUACCAUCAUAAUAAUAAUUACGCUCCACAUAUGAUGUAUCUUAACAUCCACUUGGAGGUUAAAAAAUAAUUAAAGUAAGGGAAACUAAUAUAUUUAAAAUUUAAAAAUCAUUAUGAAGAUUUGGACAAUAAUUCAAGUAGGCAUCUUUGAAAUUUGGCUUCCAAAUCCCUUUGUCAAUAUACACCACCCUAUGACAAUUAAAUAAAUUAAAAGAAGGAAAAAAAAUGUUAAAGGAAUGACAAAACAUAGGGAACAAUUAUAUUUAAGGAGUGGAUGGAGUUGAUAAUGACUAAAGGGUACAAAUCUUGCAUAAUUGAACUAAAAAGGUAGAAAAGGUUUGUAGAUUGUUGUGGAAGAUAUAAACCCACUUUGUGAGUCAAAAAUGCUCAAAAUACCCUUAAGGGUGUUUUUUAAAAAAGGACAAUUAAGUACUCAUGAUAAUUAAUAUAUUAAGAUUUCAAGAAAAAUUAAUAAUAAAUAAAAUCUUUUUCUAAAUCUAUUUAACAAUCAUAUAGUUUUUAUUUUAUUUUAUUUUUUCAAGUGGCAACUAUUAUCUUAAUUUAUUUUUCAUUUUAAGGUUCAAUUAUUAUUAUUCUUUAUUUUGAAAUUUAAUUAAAUGAAACUGUAUAAGACAUGUUUAUAUUAAUUAGCUAAAAAGGAUAGAUUUUUUAGCAAUAUGAUUAAAAUAAAUAAAAACAAGGAAUUUGAUUUUCUUUAUAAAAUAGAUUAGGAAAAGUAUAUUUCGAUACAUUCGUAUGAAAAAAAAAUUCAUAAAAUAGGAACUCAAGUUUAUAAAAUACAAAUUUUAAGCAUUCAUCUAAAAAUAAUUAUCAUUUCAUGCAUUUUUUUUGUCAAAUAUAUUAUAUUUGAUAAUUUAGGUAUUAUAUUUUAAUAAUAUAAGUAGUACCUUUGACCCCCAUAAAACUUGAAUUAUUUUAAAUAGUUUCUAUUAUAUAAUUAUUUAACCAUUUGAUAUAAAUAUUAAAUAAUAAAAAAUAUAUCAUUUUUUAAAGAAUUUUAAUUAUAUUUGACUUUCUUUUGUAUUUUCUAUGGUGUAAUUCACAUAUGAGAAAAUCAUUUUCUUUAACAUUUUUUUUUCUUUCCUUAAUAAUUUUCGAGAACCAAACAAGGCUUGUAGGUUUGAAUUAUAGGGUAUAGAUGCCAAAAAUACCAGAAUGAGUUUGGGUUUUCAUGCUAAAUGUCUUUAUUAUUAUUUGGUAGCACUUUUCCAAAAUUGUUCCAUUCCCAAAACCACUUAAUUUGCUUAAAUAUUUUUACCUCACGAUAUCAUAACAUUAUAAUGGAAUAGAUUUUGUUGGUGUUCAAAUCAUGUCAACUCAAUUUCCAAACCAUUCGGAUUGUCAUUUGGUGAAAAAUAGAAAGAAAUUUUACUUUAUUGAAAAGCAUUUCAUUUUGAUUUGAAUAUGCUGCAAUGAAAUAGUUACUAAACCAUGGGGUAGCAGAAGAAGUAAUCGAGAAAAUGAAGAAGGAUGUUCAAGAAUUCUUUAUGCUGCCAUUGGAGAAGUUUUCAAGAUUUCUCCUGAGUAGAAAACUUAAUGGUAAGAGUACAAUAAGUCAUAUGAAAUUGGAGAACUGAAAGAGCAUAAGAACCAUGUUUUAUUAAAAGACCUGUGAAAGUUUAAUCAGUCAUGGAACUACUAAGAGGGGAUGAAUUAACAGUUUUCUUAAAUUUUGUCCAAAGUUAUGAAUUUUUAUUUUUUAUAAUUUUUUUUUACUUAAAUUGAAACUUAUUAAUCAAGGUAAGAUUUCAGCCACAUCGAGAAACAAUUUACGUGAAAAGGGACUGAUAAAAUCUUGAGUUUACAGAUGUAAAAACCAUAAGGCCAAAGACUGUAGAACUCCAACCCACUGAAUCAAGAAUAGAAACACAAAUUUAUCUACCAACCUACACUAAUCUCAUAUCUACAAUGCAACACCAUCGUACUCUUAAGUGACUUGAAAGGAUGUGAAUAUUUCUCACAAACUUCAUAAUGAAAUUCAAAUUAGCUCUGAGAGUUUUGGGUUAGGCACAAAGAGUAAUAAUGCAUAGCUUUUGUGUGUGAGUUUUUAAGUGAACUUAAGACUCAAUUUAAAGCAUGUAUUUUACUAAAAAUAAAAAAAUAAAUUUAAGAAACUUCAAGAAUUUUGGAAAGAUAAAUUUUAAAAAAAAUUCAAAGAGAGUCAGAAAAUGUUUCCUUUUUAAAUUCUCAAUUUAAUUUAUUUUCAAAUUUAUUAAGAGUUUAAGAAAUAUUUUCUUUUUAAAUUAUCAAUUUAAAACUCUCUUUUAAAUUAAUUUUAUUAUUAAUUUUCAUGCAAGUCUACUCUAUACAUUUUACAUCGUUAUUCUCAAUUAACUCAACAAUAUUAGAGUGUAACAUCCCCAAUUGAUUUUGCACCAACCUUAAGUCUUCAAAGACAAUGAUUGAGGCAUUUCUUCUCCUAUUUUCUCCGAUGUAGAAAAAAAACUUGAAUAAGGUUAAAGCUGGUCUAUAGCAAAAAGUCUUAAUUUGAGUUAGCCUCUUUUUUUUUUUCCAAAUGAUAUGCAGGUCCAUCUAGCCUUCAACUCAAAUUUUUUAUUCAAAAAUCACAUGUGGAUAUGUGAACAAGUAAAAGUUGAGUUUUACCUAACAAAUCAUUUUGAAAAUUAGGAAAUUUAAAAGGUAUUAGUUUGUUAAACUCACCACCCCUGUCUAUUCUACAAAACAAGAAGAUUAGCAAAGAAAAAGUAUUCAUAUUUGUACUACAAAAUAAAAAGAUUAGCAAAGAGAGAAAUUGUACCCAUGAGUGCAGAGUUUUGGGUUAAAACAACCCUUUUGAUGGGAAAAAUAUUAAAUUUAACCACUUUGUCAAACUAAUGUGUAAAAUGAUCCUUUUAUUAUCACAUAGGAGUCAUAUCACUAAUAUAUAUAUAUAUAUAUAUAUAUAUAUUUAAUUUAAGUUGAAGCCUCAAUUGCCAAUUAAGGCUUCAAUUAUCAAUUAUGACUUUAUUUUUAACCCGAAACCUUACUUGCCAAUUGAGGUUUCAACUAAAAAAAGAAACCUCAAUCGUCAACUAAGACUUAAUUUUUUAAUUGAAGCCUCAAUUGACAAUUGCGGUUUUAUUUUAAAACUGAAAUCUCAAUUGUCAAUUGAGGCUUUACUUUUGUGGAAGGAUUAUGUGACACUCACGUUACUAGAAAAAAGCCAUACUGAAUAUAAGUUUCAAAAGUGGCUUAAAAGGUAUAAAUUUUAUGAUCAAAGAUGCCAUUUUGACCCAAAAUCCCAUGGGUGCAUGAGACUCUAGUUAAUCAUAGAUUUCAUAGAUAAAAAUCAGAGUUAGGAUGAUUCAACCCCUAAGCGUCAAGAAUUCUUUAACAUAAUGUUAGAACAUUUUCCAAUUUAAAUUCGAGAGUUGACUUUAUUUGAAUGUGCUUUUGAUUUUUUUUUUUAAAUAAGCUUCAGUGUUUUUUUUAAAAAGAAAUAAAAAUAAAUAAAAAUAGGAGCUUCUAUAUAGAAAGUAAAAAUUUUAUCCAACAAAUAUAAGGCUCACCUUAUAUCCUUAUAAAAUAAAAAAUUUUAAAUUUUUUAAUACCUCAAAAUUUUUAAUCAAUAUUUAAAUAUCAUUAUAUUUUCAAUAUGAUUCCUUUAAAAGUUAAAAUUACUUAUAUUUUUUAUUUUCAAAAAAAAAAUAUAUAUAUAUAAGUAAUUUUAUGUUUUUUAAUUAUUAAGAUGGAUGAAAUAAUCCCAAAUUUGCAAAAAUAACUUCUUCUAUGUUUGAAUUUGAAAAAUAACUCAUUUCCAACAUAAAUACUCUUCAAUAUUUGGAUUAUUUUAAUAUAAAUUUUAGAAGAAAGUGUUAUUUUGACAGGAAAACAUGAAAGACAUUUUUGUUAAAAAUUGAUCUUUUUUUAAGGCUAAAAUAUAUAUAGGUUUAUAUUUACAAAUUUGAGACUAUUUCGUCCUCUUAAUCAAAUAACUUAAAAAAGAAAAGAGUUAAUUCCACAAGUGGGUUUAAAAUACUCACAAAAUUGCAAUAUAUAUAUAUAUAUAUAUAUAUAUAUAUAUAUAUAUAUAUAUAUAUAUAUAUAUAUAUAUGAAAUUACAAAUUUACCCUCGUGUGUUGAGCACAUGACACUUCCAUUCAUUAAAGCUAACAUUGUUAAAUAACAAAUGUACAUUGCAACUAUUUAAGAAGUAUGAAGGGCACAUUGCUUGAUUUUAGUACAUGGUGAGAAACUUGUUGAACAAGUUAUGUGUAAAGUUUUAUGGUUCAUGUAUGAUAGAAAAUACAGAUCUACUACAACACUGGAUUUGCAAUUUGGGUUAAUAUUUAAAGAAAAGACCAUAGGACAAAAAGAAUUAAACUUUUGGUGGAAAACAAUAAAGAAAGGACUACAUGGAAAAAGGGAAGAGAUCAUUAUAAAGGAAGAUUAUUGAAUAGAAAUAAUUCCAAGAACCUAAGGCAAGACAUAGAGUAUCACUACUACUAUCACAAAAAGGGGUAUAUCAUAAAAUUUAUGAAAUUUUGAAAAAGACCUAAAAAAUGAAGAAAAAAAAAAACAAAUCAAAGAAGCCUACAAGUGUAACUAGUGUUCUUAAAGUUGCGAAAUGAAGGUAAUAAAUCAAAAGUAGAUUUGUUAAUAGUUUUUAAAAUGCUUGAAUUAGGAAUUGUCUACUUGUACCAUACAAGCCCUUGUAGAGACUGGUUUGACAUGUAAAUUGUUUGUAAAAUCAUUUUAAUGGGCAAUAAUGCACCAAGUUGCUCCACGAGAAGGGGAGGGGUUUGUGAAACCAUCACUUGUCAUGACAUACAUCGUCGGGUAAUCACGGAUGAGGGCAUCCACGGGAGGCCAAUGUCUACCCUCGCUCCACACCCCUCUAGUACAAGGCUCUAGGAGGGAGAGAGGCAACAAGUGUGUGACACCAAGGUAAAUAUGCUUGACCUUAUGGCUUUGGGAGCAACUUGCAUUGAAAGACUUGAUGAUUCACAAGAUUCUACAAUUCAUACAAAGUAUUGCAUUUUGCGACGUUCUUCAUCAAUAAGAGAGCCUAGAUAUCCAUUGUCAAGAAUUCUUUAUGUAUGAAAACAAAGGCGCCUAACCGACAUGCCCAAGAUCAAGGCAACUGGAGCGUGUUGCUUCGCCCAAGUUACUUAGCGCGUUUUGUGCCAAAGUUUGUUGUUCGCUCAAGAGGGCUUUUGUGAAUCUUUGUAAUAAAGGGAUAAUACAGAGUGGGCCGUAAUUUAGCAUCUUACACGCUUAGUUUCUUCCAUUGGUGGCAUAUAUUAUUUUGUCUGUCAUUGGUGAUUAUUUAAUAAAACUAUGAGAGUAUUUCAUGAAAUAUAAAUAAGAGGUUUUUAGGAUAUUUAAUCGAUGGUAAACAAAAGUUGAAAACUAAGUAGGGAGGAAGAUAAAAUAUUUUAGAUUUGAUAGUGGACUUGAGCAUUAGAACAAGAAGUUCACAAAGUAUUGCGAGAAUUCUUAUAUUACUUAACAUCACAUGUAAAGAAAUUACAAAGCAAAAUGGAGUGGUUGAAAAGAUGAAUAGAACACCAUUGGAAUGACUAGGUGGCUAAGAUUAACCAUUGGGUUACUUAAGAAUUUAAGGGCUAAAGCUAUCAACAUAACUUAUCAUGUAAUUACUUAGUUGUCAAGUUUUACAAUUAUUUUCAAUAUUCCAAAAGAAGUGUCAAGUAAAUCAAUUGACUUUUCAUCUAUUGAAAUAUUUGAUUGUUGCACUUAUAUUCAUAUAUAGGUGAAAAAAAAAUUCAAUCCAAAAUAAAAAAGGUAUAUAUUCCUUGGGUUUGAAAAAAGGAUUGAUUAAAGACUAUAGACUUUGGGAUCCAACAAUUAAAGAAAAAAAAGUGGUGAGCAGAGAUGAAUUCAAUGAAAAACAUAUGUUAAAGAAAGAUCAAGGACAAAUGAAAUUGGUAUUGAAAAAAAAUUCAACUACAUGACCAAUCAUCGAGAUGAAAUUUGAGAAAAAUGUCAUUAAAUAUGAAAUCCCUCCUAAUUGAUGUCCCUAUUAGAACUUUAUAUGGGCAUCUUUCUCUAUUGCUCUAAAGAAUCAUCGAAUUGGGUAAGGACAUCAAUUUUAAGAUUUUAAUUUUUUUUCAUUAUUUAUUGGAAUAGGAGAUCUUUAAAUUUUUUUGGGGCUCAAUUAGGAAGGAUGAUAGUUAUCAAUGUGUUGGUGCUAUGUCAAAUGAGAAUCCAAUGCACAUGUUGACUAAAGUUGUUCUUAAGGAUAAGUUCAAGCAUUGGUUGAAUGUCAUUAAUUUUUCAUUUUGUAGAACAUGGAAGGUCAAUUUUAUCGAAGAGCCAGGUCAAUCAACUUCUAUUAGGACUUCCAUUGAUUCUUGAUUUGACUAGAGGGACUCCUAGCAGUAAAUUUGUAUGAAGGGGCCCUACGGAGAUGCAAGAGCUGCCAAUCGGAUCGACCAAUAAAUGAUAGGCCCAUGCAGAGAUGUCCCUGAAAUAGGGGAUUGGUUGAUUGGAAAGCUUAGGCAGAGUAUAAAGGAGAACAAUUUAGCAUUUUGGGAAAAGCACAUAUGAAGAUGUUUACAAGUUUGGAAAUUUGAGUUAAAGAAGAGAUGGUCUAAAAAUGUUUCAAAUUUCAAUUUUAUGUUUUUCUAAGUUUGAUAUAUCCUAUUUGGAUAUUUGGGAAGUCUUCUCUUGUUACAUAAGGUAGUCCUAUGAUGAGAUUUGUUAUGAAAAUAGGUUCUUCCUCGUGUGAAAUAUUCCUAUGAAAUUAAGAAGGAAUAUAGGAAGAGUUUUUAUUGAAAUUAUGAAUCUUUUUUUUAUGUAAUUAGAACUAAAAUAUGAGAGUUUUAGAAUUGUAAUUACACCUUUGAAUAUAAAUAAUUGAUAAUAGUGAAUUAAUUUACCUUCUCCCUCUAGAUGUAGGUAAAUGCUAAAUUAUGUUAAAUCUUGUAUUCUCAUAUGAUUUUUUUUUUCAUUUAUUUUUCAUUUUCUUGCCCAUUUCUAACUUGCUACUACAUAAUAACAGGUGGUAUCAGGCUUUUUGUGUUUGCACAACAAAUGGUCUCAGUUUUUCCAGCACCACAAAAAUGAUAUUUUACUUAAUUGCUCCUCAGUGGAAAAGUUGGAAAGAAAAAUUAAAUCAUCGACUACACCUUUUUUUUUUUUUCCAAAACUUUUCUUGUCUUUGUGCAAGAAAAUUAGUAUAUUUUCUCUUUAGUAUUUGUUUCUCAUUUAUAUAUAUAUAUAUAUAUAUAUUCAAAUGGAACCUUAAUCAUCUUUUAUAUGAAGUAUAAAAGAAUUAGAAAAUAUUCAAAUUUUAAAUGAUUUUUAUUAUACUUUGUCCACUUCCUAUUUCAUAUAUCAAAUUACAAUAGAAUUUAAAAUUCUUUUAUAAGUUUUUUCUCCCUUUGCUACCACAUAAACGCAAAGACAGUAUGUGAGUUAAAUACCUUAAAAGAAAAAGAAAUUAAAAUGUGAUACAAAACAAAAGUAACCUCUUUAAAUUCAAGGAAACAAAACACUAAACUUUUUCAUGUAUUUUAUUCCAUUUAUAAAUGCAACAUGACAAAAAUAGACAAAAAUAUAAAUGGAAACCCUUUGGGUCCUUUAUUUUAUAUUUUAUCAACUUCAACCAAUUCUAUUUCUAUAGCACAACCGAUAUUAUAAAGUUCAAUGAGUAUAUAAUAUAUAAAGAUACUAAUCAAUACGAAUUAUUCUUUCUUUCAAAUGGCUACUUGUAUUAAAAAUUAAAUGUAAUUCCUCCUAAACAAUAAAAUAUGUUGACACGAUUUCAAUGAAUAUACAGUACAUAAAGAUAUGACCAAUUAGUACGAAUUAUUCUUUCUUUUAAAUAGCUACUUAUACUAAAAUAUAAGUAAACAUAAUUCCUCCUAGAUAAUAAAAUAUGUUGACACAAGGAGGAAUAUAUUUACUAAUUAUAUCAUUUGCAAUAGCCUCAAUCUCGUGACGUUCUUCGAACCAACCAUAGACUUUAUUGAGAUAGGUUAACCAAGGGAGCUUCCACUCUCAUAACUCGUAUAUGAAAAUUUCAUCUUGUACAACUCAAAUAGAAACCCAUAAAUACCAGUUGAAACCAAAAUGUAAUAAAUAAAUAAAAACAUAUUUCAAUGGAUCCAAUUAGUAUUUUUCUGAUCUCGGAUAAACAAACAAAUUUUUCUUCAUUUUGUUUUUUUUUCCAUUAAUCUUUGUAAGUAAAUUAUAUUUUAAUUUAACAAAGCACUAAACUUUACUUUAAUUUUCAUGCAGGAUCAACUAGCUUAUCAUAAUAAAAUUUAUCAAUAUAGCUGAGCAGAGAUUUGAUGUAAUAAUACCAUACAAAAUUCAAGUAAAAUUAAAUUAAUCAAAUAGGACACUACGGUCAUAUUUGGAUACAUAUUCUAUUUUUUAUUUUUAAAAUUAAAAUUUUGAUAUAAAAUAUGACAACCCUUUGUAUAAAAAAUAAAAAUUUAUCCUAUAAUCUUAAAACUACUUUUCAAUAUUAAAAAAAAAUGAGGACGUGUCCUAAAAUUUUAAACAAAUUUAAAAAUAUUUUUAAAUACCAAGAUAUCCACUUUUUUCUUUUUUAAUAAAAAUUCCUAUAUUUGAUAUAAAACUCUAUUUUAAAAAAUGAAAAAUAAAAAAUGUAUCCAAACAUAAGCAAAAUUGUUAGAUUUCAUUGUGAGAUUUCUUAGAUUCUACAAUUCAUAGUGAAAUGAAGACGAGAGAUAACUGACUGAAUUAUGAAAAAAAAAAUUAACAUUGAUGAGAUUCAAAAAUGCUAGUUAAUGAAAGAGUUUCUCCGCCAGGAUGACUAAGAAAAAUGCUGAAAAAUGUGUCAUGCCCAAAGCAAUGUUACAAUGAAGAAUAGAAUGAGAGCUAACCCGAAACAAAAUCCGACAAUCGCCAUGAAAGCCUGGAUGCAGAGGAAAUGUAACUAGAGACAUGUAAGGAAUCAUUAAGCAAGUGAGAACAAUAUCAAAAUCUCAUGUACGACUUACUUACCUUUCCCUGAGAUUCAAACUUGAAUUUUACUGUAAACCAUGACAAUCCUCUAUCUACAAUAGGUGCAAGUGCAAGGGCCCUGCAUGAGAAGCACCUCUACAAAAAUCACAGAAAACCCAAAGGAAAAAAAAAAAAAAAGAGUAAAUAAAUAGAAACUAGUCUAUCAGAAACCAGGAGGCUGCAACAAAUAAUCUCCAAAUGUCAGAUUUAAUAUUUAUUUACAAAUGCCACUAAAAGGCCUUUUCAUCAGAGAAAUCUAGAAUAAAAAAGGAUAAGGAGCCAUUUGGAUUACAGAGGUCAAAGAUUGGGUUGGAUGGGAGCAAGUUUAACCUCCUCAGUGAAAAUGAAAAUGCAAGGCCCAUCAUCAACGCUAGGUUCAAAAAUUGACACCAUUUCUUGAAGACUUUCUUUUUUCAUUCUUCAAUUGUCAUUUUGAUUCAAAGAAGCAGCAGCAUGAUAGACUAAACAAUCAUCAUAAACCCAGUUGCAAGUUAUAAGGAUAAGAAAGAAAAUGAACAGAAAACAUAUAUGAGAGAACUGAUAGGCCAAAAAAAUCAUUGUUGAAGGAAUCGAGCAUAAAUCUCUGAACAAAAUUUAGCUGAAAUUCACUGAUUUUGGGUUAUUUUGUGAUAAGAGCAUUGCAAUAUCCCAAUAAACUGUUACGCUAACUAAAGAUUUAAAACAGAAUUUAGCUGCUUACCCUCCAGCUCUGACAAGUUUAGUGACCUGGCUGCCUGCCCACACCAUAGCCAUGAUUUUGACAAAUCUGCCAAUUGGAUUCCAUGUCAAGAUAUUUUGAAAAACUUGUGCAAAAAGAAACUUUUUGGAAUAAGUUUUUACCUUUCAACUGCCGCCAAAUAACCCAUCCUUCCUGGUGCUGGAGCAAUAUAAAACCUAGAAGCAGCAUAGUGAAUUCAGAGUUAUACUGGUUAUUUGAAAUCUACUCUGAACACCUAUGAUAGAGACUGCAGGAUGUGGUAAAACACUAAGGCAUAUUUCAAACUACAUUAUAAGGUAUUUGAUUAGAAAAUUAAAUAAAUAAAUAAAUAAAUAAAAUAACAUAACAUAAAAUACAAAAAAGAAAAAAAAAAUUAACAAACUGAAUUUGUCCAUAUGCAACAAUAUGCAAUUGUUAGCCAUGAAUCCCAGUUAUGUCGGUUUCCAGUAUUAAUAAUUAAGCAUGAUGUUUAUGAACUAGACCAGCAUUCUAAUAACUCUAGAUUGAAGGGCAUGGAUGUCACAUUUGUAUUCCAUCAUGUGCAACUAACAUCACAUUGAAAUAAUAUCCACUAAAGCAAGUUAAGACCCAGUAUAUCAGAUUAAAUUUUUUCUACCAUGAACAUAAGCUUGAUAAAAAUGAAGAUGGAAAUGCAAUACUUCUUUAUAUGACAUAAUGAAGGGAACCAAAUACAAGGACUCCCCAUUCCAGAUGCAGAAAGCCAAGUUACAACCUUUGCCAAAUAAAGAGAUCCACCAUAAGUUCAUUUUUAGACAUGCUAUAGUUGAAUAUGCCAUCAGUAAGUGAUCAAAAGCCAAUUCAGAUGGGAAUAACAGCCACAAUGUUGGGAAGGUCAAUAACAAAAGCAUUGACUUGAAUGUUGGCAGUGUCAUUUACACUGGCCAUAAGAACCAGAGGUAAUGCAUACAGUUGGUAAGGUGGGGAGGAGGAGAUGAGAAAUUGAAAAGUCUUGAAUUUAUUUGUUUCAUGCAAUUCCGUUUUCCAAUACUCUAUACGAUAAUAUACAUUGUACAGCACAAGAAUAGGGUUGUUUUAAAAUUUUGAACAAAUAAAAAUUUCAUAUCAAUAUCUAAUAUUUAAUAAAAAAGAAUGAAACAAGAGUAAGUACAUUCUCUUCUCCUUAACAUGGUAUUAAAGCAGUCUCCAAACUCUUAACUCCUAGUUGCAUACUUGAUUUGCACUGGAAGUUGCAGUUUGCUCAUUUUGUUAUUCAAGUAAGUUACUUCAAUCUAUCAUAGUUUAAAUGACUUGGGACGGUAGUUGUCAUGGGCACGAAUUUUCCCACAAAUUUUUCGCAUUCACACAGCGCUUAGAAGCCCUCUAAGCCAACAUACUCAAACCCACAUGAGAUUGCAAUCAAGAAAAACCUCACAAAGACACACAAGGCUAUGGAGCUCAAUCCCUAACUUGUAUUUUAUUUCUUCUCUAAAUAACAAUACCAGACAUAGCUUAACAAGACUUCCACAAUCUCUUUGGUGAGUUCAUGCUCUCUCUCAAGCUAUGUAUAUUCUCUAUGAUCUCCAGAUUGCACGAUAAUUCAAAGGGCACUCCAGUCCUCCUUUUAUAGGUGUGACACCAACCACUCCCUAUUUGAUAAGGAGCAACGAAUCCUAGUUCUACUCAAACUACAAUUAAAAUAAGAAUCUAAACUCCUAUUCAAACUCAAAUUACAAUAACAAUUUGAAUUCAACUCUGAACUUUCAAAUGUCUUCGGCCCAUUCCUCUUUCAUUUGAAACUCCUUGUAUCAGGCCACAUAUCAGCCCUUCAAUUCCCUGGUUUGUGGUGCAAUAUAUCUUCCUUAAGCUUGUCCCAAUGCCAAGACAUCUUUGUUGUGUUCUGCCUGAAGUCUACCCACUCUUGUGCCUUGAGUCAGUCCAUUCAUGCAUUUGAAUCAGCUGAUGCAUCCGAUCAGCUUGCUAUAGCGUCUCUAGGCAGCCUACUACAUGUGUCUCUAUGCAACUAGUGUGCAUGCCAAGCCCUCUCUUAGCCUACAGAUCUAGCAAUUUUCCUUGGUGCCAAUCUUUCCUUUGGCUGUAGCCCCUUGUUGUUCCUUGAGCGUGUCAGUCAUGCUCAUAUGUGUUCCCGCAUCUGGAUCACGUCCAUGCUGAGGCAACCUGCCCAAGUUUGCUCUGCCUAGCUGUUGUUAUGGCAUCAUGCCAUGCCCAAGCCCUCUUCUUGGUGCAGCAACGAGUCAUGGCAUUGCACCCAUGACUCCUCAUCUCUAUGCACAAGGCAUUGUGCCCUUGUGCCACGCCACCUCAUUGCACAAGGCAUUUCCCCCUCAUGCUACCGUUGGGAAGGGAAGACUGCAUAGCACCCCAUGUCGUUGCAACCUUGAGUUGCACACCAUCACAUGUCAUGGAGCCCAUAUAUGGUUGCUAGCAAGGCUUGCCCAUGUGCCUUGCUCAUGUUUGAGGACUUGCACCAAAGCCCCUAAGUGUGGCCAUGCCCAUGCCACCUCGUCUCCCUUGAGUCACCCCCACCCUCACCCCCCUUAAAAGAGCAUUUUAAGCCCUUUUAAUUAAUUCAAGAAAAUCUAGAAAAUUUUGCUUCCACUUGGAGUCUCCCUUUUGAAGGUUCCUAUAAAUCUUUUAUCUCUAAGCGAAUUAACCAAGUCACUUAAUUGUUUUGCAACAUUCCUUCCCUUCCCAUAGUGUAUUUCAAGAUCUCUUAAUGAACAAGACAAUUGGUGGAGGGCAUGAAGUAAGUGGAAUUUAUCACCAUAUUGGCCCACCUUUUACUCCAAUUGCUCUACGUACUUCCAUUUCUUCUAUGUAGUGGCACACCUUUCACUACGCAUCUUUAGCAUAUGGGACUUCUAGUUAUAUUGGACUCCAAGUUAAAGCACCAAGUUUGUGAGUCAAGCAAAUAGCAUCACCAUAGUGUUGUUCUAGUCCUUUUUGUUCUAUAAUCAAUAAGAGGAGUACUAGUCCUUUUCAUCUUGUUCAUUUAGACAUUUACAGUUUAUGUAGUGUUGUUCCUAAUGUUGAACUAAACUUUUUUAUUGCUAUUUUAUUAAUUAGAUCAAUGAAAAUGGUAUGAGCAUAAAGAGGCUGAAUAAUAGGUACUAAUCUCUUAAAAAAAACUAUCUUGUAGAAACAUCAUCAGGUGACUAUGCACAAGUAAAUGGUCUGACAAGGCGUGAGAAAAACAUUCAUUUUUGUGCAACAACCAAGUAUUUGCAUCUUAAUCAACCAAAGAAUAAAUGGCUGAAGACAAUAAAUGACUGAACAAAAAGAAAAUCAUAAGUUUUAGGCCAGACACUUUUUUCAUCAAUUAUAUACAACAACAAUAAAUCAAAUAGUCCUAAAUUUCAAAAGAAUAAUGCUCAGCAGCUAUGCAUACUCACAAGUCACAAAUACCUCAUCCUUGACUAAUUUACAUGAAUGAAUUAUUUACUUACCAUACCAAGAGAAACGUUGUAAGAUAGUAUGCAGUAUUCAGGAGUCCAUAGGAUAAUAUUCCAGAAAUUCCAUAUCUCUUCAGUUUCUUUAGAAGACUGAAAGGUUAAGCAAGAAUGAGCUCUCAAUGUAAGUAGACAUGCAUUUCAGCAUACAAAGGGCAAAAGGAUUGAGGUAUCACUUCUUACAGAUUGUUUGCAUGAAAUUCAGUAGUAGAAGAGAAAUUAAAAUGAUUGGGACAAGAUCACUCAUCCAAACAAUAGUUUAUUUACAGAGAAAAGGUCUAAAGCAUAAUCAUGCAGUAGACAAAAUGAAUCUUUUGUGUCAUGUUCCAAUAAUGUUAACAAACUACAUUAAAUUCAUAAGGUUACAUAGAAAAAGAAAGAAAAGACAUUGUUGCAAUAGUUUGGUUGUUACACUGCUAGCACCCAGACUACGACCAAAUCCUUGCAUUGAAAUUGAAUUUCAAACUCCCAAUGUGAAAAAGGAAGAUACAAAAAAGAAAAGAAAAACAGGAGGAAAAAAAAAAAAACAGAGGGAAAGAAAAGAAACAUGGGAUUUCCAUGUAUAAUACAUACAUAUUAUAUCUAUAGAUAAAUGCAUGUAUGUGCAUAUGUCAUAGAGGCUGGUCAGACACAUUUCAAGAAGUUUCACAACUUGCUUUGGAAUGACAAACACGUGGAUCAAUAAAUGGCUUGUCUCCAUUAUUGAGAAAUUGCAGGUAAAUUUCAUCCACUACAGGCAUGGGGUGGCUGGACAAAGUUAUGCCAUUUGGUGGGAUGUAGUGGACUUAAGACAGAAAAUUCUCAAUCAUUCUUCUGUCCCUUGUGCAGUGUUGAAGCUGACAAUAUUAUUGAGCAUACAAGGAAUGUGAUGUAAAACAUCAUUGAGGACCAUGAGCUGCGAAGGCAGGGAGAAAUUAAGUUAUGAUUAAGUUUUGGUGAGGGAUUUUCAGAUGCAGAUCAUAUGGCAAAUUAACUUCAGAGAAUUGCAUGUUUUUAUUCAUUUCCAUACACAUUGAAUAAUCAUAUUUAAAAUCCCUCAUUCACUUGUUUCGCUUCCAUUAGUGCUCCUUCCACAUGCCUAUUAGCAGCAUAGACCUCAUGAUAGUUUGGUAAAGGUAAGACAAUAAAAUUGAAAAAUACAGCUAAAGCCUAAAAUAUUGGCUCAUAAAGAGAGAAACCAUCCAAGUUCUAUCUUAAAUGACUCUACAAGUUCUAAACAGGGAGACAAGGACUUCAACCUGGUCCAUCAAUGCAUAUAAAUGGGUAAUCAUUCCAACAACCAUUACGUUAGAAGUACACUAAAAGAAAAUUAUUAAACAAUGUUGUUUCCAAAAAUUCCAUGUUAAAGAAUAGAAGAACAUACUGCUAUAAAUGAAAUUCAUUCAAAACAGUUCAAACAGUAAAGUUAAGAAUUGUGACUGCAUAUUUUUUUUUAAAAGAAACAAGAAUUGUGACUGCAUAUCACCACACUUGUUUUAUUUAUAAUCCACACAAUGUAUUCUUCCCUAGCAUGUUAUCCCAUUAAGUAACCUCCAGAUAAAAUUCCCUUUCUGACUCUGUCAAUCAGCCAAAAAAUUUGAUGUAAAAUGUAAAAUACAUGGGUACACAAAAACAACUAUAUAAACUGCCAUCCCAUCAUUAAUAAAUCAUUUGUCUAUAACAUAGACUAAUAGCACUGUAAGGCAAGUAGGAAGUACUCUUUUGAUGUGUGCAGUUCUCCUUCACCAUUUUCGCCCUUUGCACUGGAGUCUAUAAAAAUAUGUAUAAGUAGAUUUUUAGAAAUAUCAAGUUUAUCAAAUGUAAAAUAUGGUAUCACAGAAAGCUACACCAUUUUUCUAGUUAUCAUUUGAAAGAUAUUGAUACCUUCAUGGUUGGCAGAGUAGUCAUGACCAUUUGACAUGCCAGAAGCCUAACCUACAACAAAGGCAAUGUUGAAAAAGCAAUAUUCAAAAUUCAAUGAAAAAAACAGAAGACAAACAAAUGAACAAAUAGCAAAUCAUCACACUCAAUUGUUUUCCAAAAAUGAAAAACCAAAUGAAAGGAACAAGGAAUAUAUUGAGAAAAAAACCUAUGAUCAAUGGAUAUGCAGUUGCAUUCUAGCACAUAUAUAGGAUCAAACAAGUAACUAAUCUAGACAUAGCUGCAGCAAAUUUGUGUAUCUCUGAAUGCGUGUCUGCUUUUUGUGGGGGGAUAUUUAUUAUGACAUGUUCUUAGUGCAGACAAACCAUCUGCAUUUACUUGAGGAUUAGGUAAACAUACUUUCCAUUUAAAAUGAGGCCUUGAACAUCAAGCCCCGGUGAGUUUUCAAAUAAGGAAAACAUAAUAGCUUUACAAUGAGUCCCAUAGCAAGAAGGCAUGCAAUUCCAUUCAUCAGCAUACCAGAAUAUAGAAUAGUGUGGACAUGUGGACACAUGCCAGAAUUAGCAUUGGACACACUAACAUGCCAGUCAUACAUAGAAAGACUUUCCAAAGAUAUUAAAGUAAAACACUGGUAGUAAGCAAAUUAGACCCAGAAAAACAUGCAAGUAUAGGCCAAGAUCAAAUCUUAAUUUUAAUUUCCAGAAAAAAAAUAAAAAAUUAUAUCAACCAAUAGAAAUGGUAUCAUCAGCAAUUAACACCAAAACACACCAACAUAUCGGAAUGCAUAUCACGUGUACCAAUCUCCAAUCAGCAUUACACCUGUACAAGUUAGCCUGUAGCAGGUCAUAAUAGGUUCAGACUAUAAAACCUUCCAAAUCUUCCUUUGCAGGGCUUAGAAACUAUUUUCUAAGUAAUUUGCAAUUUUAAAAGCCUGUGACAAAAUUUUGGAUGAAGAGCUUAAACUAUAUACUCACAAACCCACUCCAAAAUUUCCUUAAGGUAAUACACAUUUUUUGAAGUCCUUUCCAAUGUCUUCUCUUAUUUGAGUUAGAAAAGCCAAUGUUUUUAUGAAUUGACUACUACGGCUGUUGAGGUUUGAGGUGUAUAACUAAUUUCUUAAUAUAUCAUAAUUUACAUCAGUCAUUAGAAAUUAAGGUUCCAUCCUUUUACACUAAGAAAAUCCUGAGAGCAAUUAAAAAAUACCUUCUUUAAUAUUAUUAAAUUUAAGUUUCCUUUAGGUCUUUGAGUCUAAUAGAAAUUAGUAUAAAAGGAAUUUUAAUUUUCUUACACUAAGAAAAUAAAAAUAAUAGGCAAAAUAAUUUUCAAAUUUUGGAACUUUAUAGGUAAUGCUUAUUAAAAUAAAGCAACAAAGUUUGUCAUUUGCCAAUGAAUGAACCAAUUGUGGAAAACUAUGCAAAAAAUUUUAUUAGCAUGGAAUUUUUUUUUUCUGCCAAUAUAUAGAAUUCAAUUUCAAACCUGCCCCUCCCAACCCACCACUUGCUACUUGAGGCAAGCUUAGAGGCAGAAAACUAUUUACAAUUCUACGUAUGGAUAAAAAUUAUUUCUUAGAUUUUAUGCCAAUUCCAUAUUUAUAGGUAUCAAUUUAUUAUUCUACUGUUGUCAGAAGCUUCAAUUUUGGGCGUCCUCAUGGCUAUGCCACCCUUAAAUGAGAACAACUUUGGUCUUCUGUUUUUCUUUUUGAGCUCUUCAAAUUUUUGCAAGUUACUUCUAUCCAGGUUCUAGGAAACACCCAUUUUUUUAAAUCUCCAAUAAUUUAGGGUUCUGUGGCUGAGGGAAUAGACUUAUUUUUGGUUGAAGCACAUAAAAUUCUUGGCUAUUUUUUUAUUUUUUAUUUUGCCAUCAGGUCCUUUUAGGUUGAUUUUUCUACUUAUUUUUCACCCACCAAUUAACAUUGCCCUAACUCUGUUAUCUAUCCGAACAAAUGUUUAUGAACUAGCAAAUCAUACUAAAAUUUCUUACUAGUUGACAUGUGCAUCAUCUCAGCAUGUCAUUCCAACACCAAACUACAACCAUAAUCUCACUAACAUCCUAACUGCCUCAAUGAGUAUGGAUUACAGAAAUGCAAUUAAAAUAUACUUCCCUAUUUAAUUUCAUAAUUUUUAUAAUAAUAUUUCAGCAAUAUUUCCACAUAGUAGCUUAUGUGAGAAAUCCCCAUUUCCGUAUAAAAUCGAAAAACCCUAUAGCUUGCGCAUGUAAAUAGAAAAAAAAAAAAAAAAGACAGAUUUUGCAGAAUUGGGAGAGCAGACUCACACCAGCAUGGCCAUUGAUUGAGCAGAAACGCAGAUGACGAUGAUGGUGGUGGAAUUGGGAGAAAUUGUUGAGUUUGUGGAAUGUGGGAACCCUAGGAAUGCUGGGAUUGAAACCCUGGAUUGAAACAAGAGGAUUGUGAGAGAGAAUUGGAAAUUGAAGAAUCAAACACAAAAAAUAAAUCCAAGAAAUAAAAAAGAAGCGUAAAAAUGAAAUAGAGAAGAGUGUGUAUGACGCACCUGAUGAUGUGAAAGCAGCUUCAGCUGGUGAAGGCAAACUUUCGACGGGAGAGACAUGAGCAUACCGGCCUCCGACAACAAUCCCUCCAAAAUAUUCUUUCUAUACCAUUUAUUAUUAUUAUUAUUAUUAUUAUUAUUAUUUUCAGGUUAUUUGAAGUGCAAUGUCUAGCUAUACCAUUUAUUAUUAUUAUUAUUAUUUUAUUGCUAUUAUUAUUUUCAGGUUAUUGAAGUGUAAUGUCCACCAUACCUUAUAUGCCAUCCAUGAUGAAGGCCUUAGAACUCUCCAUGGAGCCUAAAUCUCGGGAUGCUAAUCACCCUAUAAUAACCAGCAUAGAGUAUAUUCAAAGUAUCAUUAAUGACAAAUUUCGAACUUAGGACCAUAUGUCAUUUACUGAGACCACACUUCUUAAUGUUCAUCCUUAGCGACACACUCAUAUGUACCAAAUCAUCCGAUAACCUGUUUUUCCUAUUUUCUCAUUUUUACAAAAAAAAAGAAAAAAUAAGAAUAACUUCUAUUUUUAAAAUUUUAAUUUUUUUUAUAAGUAAAUUUUUGUUCUCAUUAGGACCUGUGGAACCUCCCACAAGUCCUCCCGAAUCAUUUACCACUUGAGUCAUGCCUUAAUGGCUUGUUUUUUUAAAAAAUAAUAACAACUUUUAUAUAAAAAAAAAUACUUAUAAAAAAUAUAUACAUGUCAUUAAAAGUUUAAAGAAAUUUAAAUUUGAUAAUAAUUUUUUAAAUAAUUUAAUGUGUUAAUUGUUCUUAAAAACCGUAAAUAACCUAAAAAAGAACAGUAUGUUUGUAAAUUGACCAAAUUGUUAUAUGGUUUUAAAUAGUCACCUUAACAAUGUUACAAGUGAGUUGAUUAAUUUAUGGUAGAGAAGAAUUACAAUAGAAUUCAAUUAGUUAUCGCAUUUGAAGUCUUUGAUUAUUUGUUGAAUAAUAUUUGCAGCCAAUUAGCUAGGGUUGGCUAACCCAAGCCAAACCUAGUUACCAAUAUGUCCAACCUAUGCUAAACUCGAUUCAAAGUAAGGUUGGUAGUUACUAAACUCAUUAACAACUAAAGUUUCUAUGGAUUCCCACGAGUUUUCAUGGAUUAUCAAAUAAACCACAUAUAAUGGAAUCUCCUAAUAUAUAAAAGACAUAUUUCAAAUUAUAAAUUAAACCAUAUUAUAAAAUAAAAUUUUAAAAGCUAAGUAUAUAUCAAAGUCAUAAAUUAUAUUACUAUUCACUAAUUUUAAUGGUAACAUGAAACACAAGUGUGAAUAUUUAAAAAUAUUUUAGUAAUUAAACAAAAAUGAUAGACUUAUAGUGUAAUGUAAUAAAACUAGCAAAAGUUAUAGUUAUUUCAUUAUCCCUUUUAUAAAUUUCAUAUUUUAAAUAAACUAAUAAAUAAUAUAAUAGUAAUGAAUUUGCUUAGUCUUCAUCAUGUAGAACCAAUUUGAAGAAUUUUUUUUUAACAGGACUGAUUAAUGACUUAAUUAAGGGUAGGUUACAGCUAAAAUAUUUAGUAGGACUGAUUAGUGACUUAAUUAAGGGUAAACUACAGCUAAAAUUUUCCUAGUAGUCUUCCACUAUGGCAAAUUGUGGGAACUAGUAGUGGCCUGUCCAACCUAUAGAGGAAACAAAUAGGUGAGUGAGUUAUUGAAUAUGUGGCUGAGAGUGACCAACCAUUGAGGCUCACAUGAAGUUGUAGUGGCUGAAAGGAAGGGAUAAGAGACCAAAAACAUGCUCAGAGAGAUUCUUGUUAGGAUCAAAUUGGGGGCAUAGAUAUAUCUCUUUGGUAAGAGUUCCCAUAAUUUAGGUAUUAAUGAAAUAGGUAUAAAAUAAUUAUAUAUCUUGAUAUGAUCAUGUUGUUAAUGAUGAUCUAAUGAGUUGAAAUAUUAUGUUUUCAACUGUGUAUAUCUAAUAAAUACAUCAAGUGCUUAAACUUUAAUAUAGAAAUGGUCCACAAUGGCUUGUAUGACUCAUCGUCUUAUAAACAUAUUAUUUAGAUUAGGCUAAAGUGGUCAAAGUAAGAAGAAAAAUUGAUACUUGAUUUGAAGUAUGAAGAAUUCUUCUUAGACUUUGUGUGUAGUGUUGUUAGCUUAUUGUUGUGUUAAAGUCUAUUUUGAUGUAUUUUGGAAAGAAUGACCAACUAGAACCACAAUAAGAUGUUGCAAAACUUAUUUAAACAAGGGCUUGUGAGCAAGAUUUUUUUUUUUCCCUUUCAUGUACAAAUAGUAUGAUGAAUGAAAAUUUGAUUCUCGAUUGUAAUUAGUGUUUUCUUUAAGUUUUAAAUCAUGCAAUGAAUACUUAAAAUUAGCUUACGAUGUCAAAGAAUGUAAGUAAACAAGGUUUUACAUGUUGGAUAUAUAAUAAAUUCAAAACCUUUACCUUCCACAUUGAAUGAUUACAUUUUUUCUUUAAGUGCCCUUUAAUCAUUCUCAUUUUGUUUAAUCAUUUUCUAUAAUGUCUCGAGCAUAGUAGAUUUCUAUAAAUUUACAUGAGCAUUCCUUAACUCUUCUUGAGUGAUCCUAAACUUAGCAUUGAAACAAUCAUAAUUUAGGCGAAGAUGCUUAUACGUCUUCAUAAUCAUCCUUGGUUGCUAGCCAUUUUUCCUUAAUUACUUUAGGAUGUUUAGUGAAGAUGAUUACAAAUAUUAACUAGUUCACUCAAACAUUUUUGUAUGAGUGUAGAACAAUUUUGCAUUCUUUCCACAUCACUUAUGCAUCUUCGUUCCAAGAAAUAAGAUAUAGAACUCUUAUGUUUUGCCUACACCACUUGGUUCUCCAACCCAUUGUGCUUAUGCAUCCUUUUUAUAUCACAUAUGCGACUUGCUUCUCAUUAAGAUAUUUCACUUACAUGUUCUUGUAUAUGCAUAAUUUAGGAAAAAAUAUUUAAAAAUAGAAAAAUAGAUUUUAAUACAUAUAUUUGGAACAAUUAAACUCAAACUAUGCAAGUGACCUUGUCUACUAUGUAGGUGACUUUGUUUACUACAUAGGCAAAGUAUAUGACAGUGAUAGUCAAGGAAGCUAUGUGGUUGCAUGGUUUAGUGGAGAAUUUAAGAGUAAAGCAAGAUCACAUUGUGAUUUAUUAUGAUAAUGGGAGUGCCCUAAAUUUAUUUAAGAAUAAAAUUCAUCACUCAUUGGUAAGGCAUAUUGAUGUCUAAUUUCAUUUUAUUUAAGAGAUUCUAGAAGAAAGUCAUACCUUAUUUUAGAAAAUUACUGAUGUUAAUGAGGUAGGUCAUAUUUAAAUGUGAUCCAUGUUGAAAGGAUCAAUGUACCUUUAGGUGUGUAGUAGCAAAAUCUUUAAAGAUUGUUUGGUUAGCUUCAUUUAAAUUACUUAGUUAAAUAUUACAUAGUCAAUUAUAUGUUUGACUUUUUGAACUAGAACAUUUAGAUUUUGGUUGUUGUAGUUGUUAUAAUUACUAUUUAGGUUUUUAAAAAGGUAUAAAUUUAUAAUUUUAGUUGGUUUUAUUAGUUUCAUUUAAAAUUCCCAAGAAACUUCAGUGAAGGAAAACAGAGCAAGAGAGUUUUUGAGAAUUGCUUAUAAUUCUUGUAUAUUAUUUUGAUAUCUUUAGUGCAUUCAUCUUAUCAUUACCAUAGAUGAAGGCAUAUUGUCAAACCAUAUAAAUUGUUUAUCUCUUUGUCUAUAUUGAGCUGCCAAGAUCAGUUCCUUGUAAUCCAAUGGCUUAUUUUGAUUCCACGAUGCUACAAUGUAUUGAAUUAAGCAUAGGGAUUAACAAUUCCAAUCAUAAACAAUAAGAGAUCCUCCCCAACAGCAUAAAAAACUUGAGAGACCCGAGGCUCGCAUCUCAGAAUAUGCUCUUGAACUAACACUAAAGAUGCCUAGAUUCACCACCACCCUUUCCACCCCAAUGUUGUUAGAAGUAGAAUCUAAUCAAAUGAAGAGUUCCUGAUAGUUGCGAGUUCUUAUGAUUUUUUUCCAUCAUUUUCUGACUUUUUUUUCAUCCAUUACGUACGUCCUUCUGAGUGGAGUUCUCCUUUCAUGGUAUCAGAAAAUCAUACUCAAUGAAUUCGUUAUAACCAGACCAUAACCAGAACCUCCAUGGCGUGUUUUUCCUGUGUUUUUUCUGAAAAUAUAGCUACAUUUAUACAUAUUUUUAAGAAUAUUAAAGGCAUUAUCAAAGGAAGAAACCGAGAAAACUGAUUGUAUAGAAAUCUAUAAUUGUGCUUACUUUCAGUCCUAGUCACAAAGUUUCAACCAGAUAAAUCAUGUCGAGAGAUGCCCAGCAAGUGGUGGUGGUCCAGGAUGCAUCCAGAGAUGUUAGUUCAAGAGCAAUCCUUAGGAUUCUCCAUGACUUAACACUUAAGCCUGGAGAUGACCUUACACUCCUCGGAGUUCUUCACCAGGUUAAUAAUCCUUGUACGCUUUCUUUCAUGGGAGGUAGGAAAAUACGUAAAAAUUCAUGCCUUUUUUUUCUUUUGAGUACAGAAGAAAAAUCCAAGAAGAAAGAAAUAUUAAACAUAGCACCAGGAAAAUGAUAUAUACCAAAAGGGAAAUUGUGCAGGUUUAUAGAUUGAUGAAUGAUGUGUCAGAUUUCCCAAUACAACUAUUUUAUUCUAAGGUAUACUUUGAUAAUAGAGACAACUAUUUUAUGAUCAAAUGAAAAAAUGAGGUAUAACAAUUAACCCAAGACAAAUCCUUAAGUGAUACUUUAGUUUUUUAUGAAAUAAAUGUUCUUUUUAUAUUAGUAUAAAAGAUUAUUUUUUCUUAGUUUCAUUUAGGGAAAAUUUUGAUUUUUUAAAGUUUUAAAGUUGGUUAAUGUAAAAUUUGUUUUUUAUCUUUUAGAUUUUCUUUUCCAUAUUUACAAAAAUAGAUAAUUAAAUAAACUUAGAUAAAAAUAGAAUUUUCAUGUUCACUUGUUUGCCUUAUGAAUUUAUUUUACUAUUAAAAUAGGUGCUUCUUAUUAUUUAAUUUUAAAAGUGAAGAUGCAUGUUUUAAUAAAUUCUAAGAGAGGACAAUGUUUAAAAUAAAAAAUUGAAAUAUCGUGGAAAUUAAUAUUUUAUUUUAAAUACAGACAAUUUCCAUGUAAUUUUGUUUGUAUAUUAUCACUACAAAUCAACGAUGACUCCAAAUAGCCAUUGGCCUUAAGAGAUGUCAAGCUCACAACAAAAAUAAUGUUCUAAGUUCUCUAAAAAUAUUUUAAUUAAACACAAAGGUAGUCCAUCAUCUAAUCAACAUUUGCAUAUACAAAACCAUUUUAGCAAAAGUUACAUCAUCCGUUAGUAUAAGCAAACAUGAAUAAGUAUUUCCUAAUUAAGAAAAAUAUUAAUUCAAAUAUUUUAAAUUGGCCAACAAAUUAGGAUAUUGAAAUAAUGGUCUCUAUAUCAAAUGAGUUAUAAGAAAAGGUAACAUUAUCUUUCAUCUAAAUUUCUAUGCUUUCACAAUCUUCAAAAUUAAUAAAACAAUAAGUUAUCUUUCAUUUGAUGCCAUUGGCUAUAUUGUAUUUUCUCGUGACAAAGUGAUGAUUAUCUUUUUUUUUUUUUUAUGCACUUGAUUGAUUUGGUUUCCACCAAUGUGACUUUAGUGAUUUAUCCUUCGCCGGUUGUUAGGAUAAUGGUAGUGGUUAAUAUGAUGUCGUCAAUAGAAUAACUACCUACUCUAGGUAGUAUGUUGGAUAUGAUGUUAUAAACCUACUUAUAGAUUAAUAUAGUUCAACAAAUACUAAUUUGAGAGAGAGAGAGAUAGGUCUAUGGUGAGUUGUAGUGAAAGGGAAGGAUUAAGGCUAGGGUUUGUGUGGGUAUGAAAAAGAUAAAAACAUUUUUAUUUUCAUAUCCAUUUUUGGAUUUUAAAAAAUAAAAAUAAAUAGGUGGAUAUAGAAAGAGUUCAAGUGGUUCGUUUGCAAUUUCCCUUCAUAAAACAUCACAGUUGUCAAUGAGAUCUAUGCACUAAGUAAUUUUAACAACCUUUGUUUGUGAAUUGCUUGUUACUGCAUUAAGUUUUGGUAUUCUCCUCCAUGUAGGUGAAACAUAUCAUGUUUAUGUAGAAUCAUUAAUAUAGUGUUUAACAGCUUCCAUGAAAAAGAAAGCGUGAGAGCUUGGGGAUAUACUUCCCAACUUAGAGGACAUCUCAAUAGCAAUGAAUAGAUUUUCAUAUAAAUGGUUAAAUAGUAUAUAAAAUAAUCGAAGAUGUCUUGUUUUAGUUUACCUCCUAGGUAGAUAGCCUAGUUACUUCAAGUAGUUUUGGCAACACCAUUUACUAUCAUCUUCAACGAGUAUAUAUCCUUCAAGGCAAGGCCUCACUUUCUUAGCUCAACAAAAAGUUUAUUAUGAUAAGUUAUCUUGAUAACUAAUGACUAAUCUUGGUGUAUAUAUAUAUAGUUAAGAGGGAUGUGAAUCAAUGAGAAAUAGUUUCCACUUUGUGCUAAUGAUAGGUUUGAGUCAAGGUUCAAAUUUUCAUCCAUGGAAGUAUGAAUGUUGAUCAAUAUGAAAUUCUGGUCCAUCUUGUGAUAACAAAUAGUUUAUCAUAUGUAACUCAAAAUUAUUCUUUCUAUACAUUCAUCUUGUGCACCCACCUUUCUGUUUCUUUAUUGUACGUAUCACUUUCUCUUAUUCCAUAAGGAGAAGCCACUAGACUUGAGAAAUCAAUUAGAGAAUGAUACAAUUCCAACAAGAUCGAGUAUGAAACAUUUCUUAUCAAUCUUUUCAUAGUGACUCAUAGCUUGUAGUAAAUUAAUGGGCUAUUUGUUUUUUAACUUGAGUUUUGAAGCAAGUUGUUUUAAGAUUUAAGAUAAAAGUAAAAAAGAAAUUUACUUUUUCUAUUAACACAAAAUUAUCUUAGAAAAUAUGAUACGUUAAAAAAUAACCAUUUUAAAAAUGACAAAUCUUAUAGAAAAAAAUAAUAUAAAAAAAUAACACUUAACACUAUUAAAUAGUAUUUAGUUUUGAGUUAUAUUAAGGUAUAUAUAUAUAUAGACACACACCACCUAAGGUGAUGUUUUACUUGUUUGUUUGUUUUUUCUAAAAUCUAAAUAGAUUUGAAUUUGGAUUGAAUUUAAAUAGAGCAAAAUGUCAUAAGUGUUUAGACUCUUUGUGCUUUAUUGUAUUUGAAAUAUGUUAAGUGUUAAAUUGUUUAUUUUUACUUAUGUCAAAAUACUAUAAGUAUUAAAUUUAUUUAUUUCACUUGUUAAAAAUGUCUACAAAAUUAAUUAUAGUAUUUGUUAUUAUUUUAGUUUUAAAAAUUUACAAUUUUUAAAAUAUAUAGUAAUUUAAAUAUUUCCAAAAUAUCAAAAUUAUUACGAUAAUAAACAUUUUAUAAUAAUUAAUAUUGUAAUUAUUUAAGCAUAAUUGGAUAAUAACAAGGAUUUCCUAUUAUGCUUGGUUACUAAAAAAAUAUUUUAAAAAAUUUCUAAUUUGACACUUAUUUCUAUAUGGUGUGUCUUCAUAUUUAAAUUUAAAUAUUUUCCAAAAUAUCAAAAUUUAUUACUAUAAUAAAAAUUUUACAAUAACUAAUAUUGUAAUUAGUUAAGAAUAAUUAUAUAAUAAUGAGACUUUCUAAUUAUGCUUGAUUACUAAGAAAAUAUUAAACAAAACUUCUAAGUUAACAAUUAUUUCUAUCUGGUGUAUCUUUGGAUUUAUGGAUUUGUAAUUGAAAAAUGUGUUUUAUUAUUGAGAUUAAUUCAUUAAUUUUUAUAUUUUAGAUUUUCAACAUUAAAUCCUAACAUUUUAUUUUUCAAAAUUAAUUAUUAUUGCUUAUUCUAAUAAUGUGGACCCCGCAUUUCGGCUCAUGCACUUCCACUCGAUGGCGAGCUCGAUUUUUAUUUGAAAAACGAUUUUAUUUAUUAGAAAAUGACUUGGAGUCACCACUUAUUUUUGUUUUAUUUUUAAAGGGUAAACAAAAUACGAAAGAAAACCCUAAGUGUGACUCCUUAUUUUGGAAAAGAUAAUCCACGAAAAACCGGAUCGGGCUCGGGGGUCAGGUUACUUAUCGGGAAGGUAUGGUAAAGACCGUAGCACCCCUCUAAGUCCCUAAAGUCGGGUCUCUACUAAUAAAAUGAAGCUAACGUGGCAAUUGAUGAGGGAAUCAAUGAAUACUUAGUGUAAUCAUGCACAAGUGAGAAUUAAAACAUACAUAUAGAAAGACCAGAAUGGGAGUAGAUGCGUACCUGGGUGAUGAGCCACAAUGCGCUAUCAAGAAAUGGGAUUAGUGCAUAGUAAUGAACAUAAAAUGUGUCAAUCUUAUCACCAAACAAGAGAAAGAACCACCAAUAGCACGCAUGACAUUUCGUUCAAAUUCAUUUUUAUUUUAAAGAAAAUUUAUUUGAUGUUGGGCCCCCACCAUAGCCCAUCUACUUUUGAGUGAAUCGAUUUCGUAAAUUCCAUCAUCAAGAAUUACGAAAAAUAAAUUCACACUUAUUUUGAAACAUUUUGAAAAUCAUGGAAAAUUCAAAAGUGGCUCGCCGGAAAGGAAAUGGUGGCCAAAUUUCAUUGAAAAUGGGAUUUUUAGGUCCUAAAAAUAAACUAAGGAUGAAAACUUAAAAAAAAUGUCAAAAUUAUUUGAAGAAUUUAAAAUUUGAGAAACCAUUUGAAAACUGGAAUAUGAUGGAUUAUUUUAAAAUCAAGGAUGAUGAAAUGAAAAGAGGUGGUACGUGGUCACCAAGACUACAUGUCAAAAGUGACCAUGCAACUCAUGCAAGAGUAGGUCUACGGGUAAGAGUACUGGAAUUGGGUAUAAGAUAACCAAUAGGAAUGGGGUAAAUUAAGAGACCCCAGCGGCAAGCAACUUCAUGAGGCCUUCCUUUGUUGAUGUGUACCAGAACCAACCUUCUUUUUGCCUUUUACAAACUUCUGUAAAGAUCCACCUCUACAAUUCUGAGCUUUUAUGCAUGAUUCAAAGAUAGCAUGAUGUUGUGCUUGGAUGUUCUCUUGGCUAUUACUGCCUUUUCUCCUUGUUGACCGAGAAUUAGUACCAUCAGGCAUCAAGUUAUGCAUUUCUUCCCUCAUCCAAACAAACAAGUUUUCUCUUGCAACUUUAAGAUCCUCUAAUAAGGACUCCAUGAAGAUUUUAAAAUCAUCCAAUGUUGCAGGAUCACAUGCAUUGCUCUUACUCUUCUUCUUAUUAACUUUCUUGAAAGAAUCCCUCUUCGUCUCUUUACUAUAUAAAUUAUUCCUCUUGCUUGAUCCAAUCUGCAUUUUGUUAGCUUUCCCAAUUUUGAAUUGAUCCCCUGAACUACGAUCAGACUUACCUUCUUGUUGAGAUCUAGGAGUACCACUGGUUUCAUCAUUUUCAGGCGAAAUAAGAGAGGAAACCAGUUUGUGCUUCUUGAGAACUGGCUCACCACUGGAACUCGAUUUGGAAUUAUCACUUGAAGAAUCAACGUCACUGUCUCUCCUCCUGAACUCCCACCUCUGCUGAAAUUUCAGGUCUUCACUCAUGUUAGUACUUGGGGAUAUAAUCACAACUGUAUAACUAUGUGCUCAAUCCUCGGGAGAGUCCGACCAUAAACGACUAGACCCACUUAUCAUCAAAGUUUCAACUGCUUGUUUGGAGAAUGAAAUCAGUUUGAUGGAAGGAUUUCCACUGCAACUGCACCUUGAACUCGUUUGAAAGAUUGUACCAGUGAUUCUAGCAGCACCCCUCCUCACAAAUCAAAUUUUGUGAAGAGACACCAUGAUUAAACCGCUCCAUCAUUCUCUUUCAUACACCCAGCACAAGAGCAUCCUCUGUGGAUGAAGCCCAACCAUUGCUCUGCAUCCACUUGGAACAAUCUUCUUAGCCCCAGAUGGGAGCUUGAUCCUGCUGGUGCCAUUAUCAGGGUUGUGGCUGACGACAAUAGCUCACUUGCCGGAUGCCCUGGCGAAGACACCUCGAUCACCAACGUGAUCUUCAACGUUACAGACCUCGGCACCUUCGGGAGUAGAGCGCAGGGGCAGAACGUUAUCGGCAAUGAGGGUGGCUUUCUUACUGCAGCAAACGAACUGGCCCGUGUAUAUGCUCUCAGCCACCACGAUAGGUUCAUCAUGACUGCAACUCCUACUAAACCAUAUCCCUGUCUCAGCAUCAAUAACCAGCUAGGUACUGCAUGUAUCACCAACACCACUAUCGAGGUCCAGGCUAUCACAAGUUCUGUUGCUAGGCAGAGCAGCAGGAAGUUGGUUAUCAAAGACAUGGUAAAUUUUAUCACCACCUAGGCGCACGCCAUCGAGAUGCUCUUUGUAUGUCUGAUCGAAGACACAAGAAAUUUCCAUGAUCAUGUAUAACUUUCUUCCAUUCUUCUUCAGUUGCACCAGUACCAAAUCCAUAUCAGCCAAGGACCCUUCACGCACAAGUAGCCACAGAUCUGUCAGAGAUGCACUUGAUACAAUUUUGCGAGCAACUGUAUGAUGAUUCUGCUUUUGGCCUGGAGGUGGAACUAAACCUUCCACUAAUCUAUAUUUUUCUCAAUAAUAUAUAUCCUCUAACCUUGACAAAAUAAUAACUUAAAUCCCAGUGUUGACUCCUUGCUUCUCGCCACUUAAGCUAACAAUGAUUAUGCCUUGUCACCAGAUGACUUCAAGAGCUAGGUUGUCCAAAAUCCUGUUAAGAAAUUAGUCCACACCAACUGAUAACAAGCUGAUGUGGCCCUCGAAGACAUUGAUUGAACCUAGUCCAUGUUGUAGUCACUUUUUGAAUUUCAUGAUCAAGAAAAUGAAGAGGAAGCCAUUUAGAUGCAUGGUUGAAAAUGGUCAACUGUUAUGCCCCCAUCAUCAUCACCUCUAGUAUUAUGAACACAAACCAGUUGCAACCGCCAUUCACAGACUCCCAUCACAGUUCAUGGGCCUGAAAUGAAUCUCCAACUAAUGGUGUAAGCAACAAGCUGAAUGUUGUUAAAAAUAUGAGAAAUGGGUGGAGAGUUGUGCGUUAAGAAGCAGAGAAUGGAAUAAGGGAAUAUACCCCUUCCCUCAAAGGCACAGAGAUGGAAUCAAGUAAUUGAAGCCGAAGGAAAGCCUUUCGGGUAGCCAAGAAAGCUUGAUUUACAUAUUCUGCAUUACUUUCAGCAACAUUGGCAAUCACAUCCCUGUCUGAGAGGCCAACUGGUUGUCCUUUGUGGUGAGUUCAGUGUCAUUUUAAACUUCUCCAUUGUAUCAAGGGAUAGCCAGCACAAGAAAGAAAUGAUACAAUGAAGCAGACAUGAGGCAUCUUUAGAAAUCCUCUGUGGAUGACAUUUUAAAGGCUCUGUGAUAUUCUGAAGCAUUGCUACUCAACUAUGACCUCCAUCCCUGAUAUAAAACACUAAACCAACCUCAAUCUACUUAACAUGCAUCUCGGGUACUCCAUAGAGAUUAAGCAUCUGUAAUCAUAGCUUCCGCUCCUUGAAUUUGCGUUCUCAGAUGGAGAUGCACCAAUCAAAGCAAACCACAGACAAACACCAAAAACAGAGACGUAUAGAGAAGAAAAUUGAUAAAACAAAACAGGGAUAGGUGAAAUGAGAGUUUGUUAAGCAAAACCUGGUCCCAUAAAUUAUCAACAGGCUUACCAGUUAGUGGGAGGGGAAAUGGGUUUAAGGAGAAAUGAUAGGAGAGAUACAUUCAGACAUCACGCAAUAAAACUGGACAAGAUUCAUACUAUUUCUCUCAACUAAAACCCAUAAACAAUAGAUGGAUAUAUAGUCAUAGCAAAUCCAGUGGAUGCUCAGAGAUCAACAAAAGUAGCCAUAUGAUAUCCACACACAAAUAGCUAAAUAACACCCACUAAUGAACAAAAGAGAAUGAAUAGCAAGAGAAAAAAAUAGAGAUGGAUAAGAAACAUACCUGGAAAUACCCCUCUCCAGUAAAAUCAGCUGAACUGCUAGUCCAUUGCUCUCUCCCCCUUCCUCUGGUUCCCCUCAAGUUAAAACAAUACCCUUCUCAAAUAUCUCCGACCAAAAAACCUUCUCCAAAAACUUCCCUUUCUCCUCUGCCAACCCCCCUCCAAAAAGCAUCUCCCUCUUCUCUACAACUGGCAGAUACGCUCCUCCCAUAACAGAAACGUUCUUCUCUAAACGUCCCUUUGGGAUCUCUUAUCAAACCUCUAAUGACUCUCAAGACUAGGUCACCGAUAUGUAGUGGUAUGGGCUUGACCCGCUUUUUGAAAGCGCGGGCCAUCUUCCUCUAUUAUGCACGAACAUGGUCUGUUGCUCUCAAUCUCAUCUCAUAUAGGAGAUUGAGCUGAUCAAAUCGAGCCUGAGCCCAAUCCGCCUCGGGAAUCUGCUACUUUAGUGCUACUCUCAAUGAACUCAUCUCGAUCUCAACUGGUAGCACUGUCUCCAUACCGUAUACCAAUGAAUAAGGUGUGGCUCCUGUAGAGGUGCGAAAAGAAGUCCGAUAUGCCCACAAUGCGAAAGGGAGCUUCUCUGACCAAUCCCGAGAAGUCUCAACCAUCCUCCGCAAUAUCCUCUUAAUAUUCUUAUUCGCAGCCUCUACUGCCUCAUUCGUCUACGACCUAUACGCAAACGACCUAUGAUGUCGGAUGUCGUAUCUCUGUACUAAGGUAUCAACCUCUGCUCUGAAAUGUACCCCUCUAUCUGAAAUCAACUCAUGAGGGACUCCAUAGCGACAGAUAAUGUGUGAUCUGAUGAAACUAGCAACUCCAGCUGAUGUCAAUCUCUCAUAUGAGGCGGCCUCCACCCACUUGGUGAAGUAAUCGAUGGCGACCAGGAUGAACUCAUGACCACUGGAAGAUUUCGGUGAAAUCUUUUCGAUGAUGUUAAUACCCCAUAUAGAAAAUGGCCAUGGUGAAGUCAAUGCGUGCAACUCAGAGGACGGCACGUGAAUGAGAUCUCCAUGUAUUUGACUCUUGGGACAUCUCUGAACAAACUGACAACAAUCUGUCUCCAUGGUCAACCAAAAAUAGCCAAUCCUCAUGAUUUUACGGGCCAACAUAUGCCCUCCCAUAUGUGGUCCGCAGACUCCCGCAUGAACCUCUCACAUCACUCUAUCGACAGAAGCGUAGUCCAAGCAUAAUAACAGCAUCCCAUCAGGUGAUCGUCUGUAUAGUGUCUUGCCACAAAUCACGAAUCAUGCAGCCAACUGUCUCAAUGUUCUCUUAUCCUUGGCCGUGGCGGCCUUAAGAUAUAUGCCAAGUCUCAAAAAGUGAUAUAUGUCAUGAUACCAUGGCAAACCAUCGUCUAUCUCCGUAUCAUCGAUCAGAAAACAAUAUGUAGGAGCAAAUCUGGACUUAAUCAGUAAAUGACGAAUAGUGGCAUCAGCAGGAAUGUCAAUCAUGGAAGUUAGAGUAGCUAAGGCAUCAGAAAACUAGUUAUGCGCUCUAAGCAGAUGUGUGUAUCUCAAAUCAUCAAAUCUCCCAACCAGUAGCUCCAAAUAUGGCGGUAAGGCCUAAGUUUCACAUCUCUAGUCUUCCACUCGCCCUGAAUCUGUCUCAAAACCAGAUUGAAGUCGCCAAACACCUCUAUCUAUCUAAUCCCGAGCUCAAGGGCCGUCUCUAAUCCCAAGAUACAGACCUCAUACUCAACAAUGUUGUUUGUGGCCGGAUGUCGAUCCAAGAAUGCCAAACAAAUAGAUCGGGGAAUGUGAUCACCAUGAGGGGAUAUCAACAAGACGCCUAUCCCGUAUCCAGAAUGGUUGGCUGCACCAUCAAAGUACAUGUGUCAACCUGAUAAACUAGUCACAACAGCGACAUCCUCGCCUGGGAAGUCAUCAUCAAUGGCUCUACCAUUGGAAACUAGUAAUGAGGCUAAGUGAUCUACAACAAUGCUCCCUCUUAUGGACUUCUGAGUGACAUAAUGGAUGUCAAACUCGGUCAGAAGUACCAGCCAUCUCAUGAGACGACCGAUCAAAGCGGGUCUGUCAAAAAAAUAUCUCAGAAGAUCUAGAUGGGAUAUCAAGUGCACUGAAUACUCGGUCAUGUAAUGUCUUAGUCGGUGAGUGGCCCAAACCAAUGCCAAACAGUAGCGCUCAAUCAUGACAUUCCUUGCCUCAUAGUCUAGCAUCCUCUUACUCAAAUAAUAAAUGGCUUAGUCAUUGCCUGAAUCAUCAAGCUGAGCUAACAUGCACCACAAUGCUACAUCUGAAAUUGACAGAUAUAGGAGUAAGGGACAACCUGGUGUAGGAGGCGCCAAGACUGGAGGUGACAACAAGUACUUUCUGAUCCUCUCAAAUGCACGCUGACACUGAUCAUCCCAAACAGUAGGUUGACUCUUCCUCAAGAGUCGGAAAAUGGGCUCAUAGAUGUCUGUCAAUCUGAUGAUGAAUCUACUGAUAUACUGAAGUCUACCCAAGAAGCCCCUGACCUCUCUCUCUGUCCUCGAUGCAGGCAUGUCAAGGAUGGCUCUGAUCUUAUCCGAGUCUACCUCUAUGCCUCUCUCUCUGACCAUAUACCCCAAGAGUUUCCCAGAAGUCACUCCGAAAGUGCACUUCUUGGGAUUCAGUCUCAAUUUGAACCGUCGGAUCCUCUCAAAGAACCUCUCUAGAGUUGCUAGGUGAUUUGGUCUGUCUUGGGAUUUCACUAUCAUGUUGUCUACAUAAACCUUGACAUCCCGAUGCAUCAUGUCAUGGAAGAGGGUGGUCGUCGUUCUCUAAUGGGUGGUUCCUGCAUUCUUCAAUCCGAAUGGCAUGACUCUAUAGCAAUAAGUACCCUACUCGGUAAUGAAGGACGUCUUCUCCAUGUCCUUUGGAGCCAUCAAGAUCUUAUUGUACCAAGAAAAUCCGUCCAUAAAGGACAACAUCGAAUGACCUGUCAUACUAUCAACCAACAUAUCGAUGUGUGGGAGAGGAAAAUCAUCCUUAGGACUGGCCUUGUUGAGAUCUCGGAAAUCAACACAAACUCUCACCUUGUCGUCCUUUUUGGGAACAAGGACUACAUUGGCCAGCCACUCCGGAUACUCGACCACUGACAAAAAUCCUACACUGAGUUGCUUCUGGAUCUCCUCCUUCACUUGCAAGCUCCAACGAGGGUGCAAUCAUCUCAACUUCUACUUAACCGGUCUAGCAUGGGGCAGAAGUGGCAAACGAUGUUGGACGAUAGAUGGAUCAAGGCCUGGCAUGUCCUCAUAGGACCAUGCGAAAACGUCCAAGUAUGCUCUGAGCAACUGGAUGAGGUUGUCCCUCUCAUCAUCAGAUAAAUCUGAUCUGAUCCUCAACUCCCUAGGCUGAUAUAUUGUGCCGAAAUCAACAAUCUCCAUGUCCUCUAUAGCAGGUGAAACUCUCUGAUCAAAGGGAUCCGAAUCGGAAAUAGAAGAUGAGUCAUCAUCUGAGUCGUGUUGUGCAAUCUCAUCAUCAAUAUCAAAAAUCUGUGAUGUGGGUGAAGAUGGUGCAGAUAAAACAAUAUCGUAAAAGAGAGGCAAAUUUUAAAAAAUGCUCAAAUCCAUAGAUGAAAAGUCAGAAACAUAGUCAUGAUGGGAGACAAAUCCCGAUAAAACAUCAAAUGAAAGAGGUGAGUCUACAAAGUCGAACAUUCCCUCAACUAGGCCAAUAGGGCCAUCAAGAAAAUCAUCAACAGCUAUAAUGUCCUCAGUAAUCUCCGAAGUAGGGGCAGUCUGGAUCUCCUCAGCGAUCUCAAUGAAAGACACCCCGAAGAGAUCAAAUGGUGAAGUGAGCUCAGGCUGGACUAUCUCCUCAAUCUGGCUCAAGCUCAAUGCAAGCAUCUCAUCGACGUACUCGUCACAUGGCAUAGCUCCGUCUACUAUGUCGCUAAUCUCAACAAAUGUCUUGUGAUCAUCGAUCUCAUCCAAUAAGCAAAGCGUCAUAAGGCUCGUGCGAUCUGGAGAGGCAGGAGCGAUCAACGCAGAAGUCGAAGGAUCAAGGGCUCCGUUACUCAAUUGUAACUGCUGGACGAGGCGCUGAAGCUCGGCCUCCUUGGUGGUGUUGAAUCCUCUGAUGAUCCCAUCAGAUGGUGCAUGUGACUCCGAUGCCCUCACAAAGUAAUCUGCCAGGCUCAUGGUGUAUGGGCGAACAGGAUAAUAAAAGAGCGUAUGAGUCAGUCGAGCCCUCACCCUCUCCUUGCUCAAUCGCGCCAUAUAACGAUAAUCGGCCUCAGUGGGGAUGAACCUGAGUCCGAAUGGUACGUCGUGAUCAGGGAUGGCUAUGAACUCACUAGGCCCAUGCUGACACUACCCUAACCCUAUGCCGGGAAAAUAAGGCAUACUCUGCAUCAUAUCGAGCACCACCGUGCUACUAUGCUGGUCAAAGGACAUGGCUACGAAAUCUCGGUAGAAAUCUUCUAUCUCCACGGUUUGUACCUCAUCAAAGGUGAAUCCAGUCAGAAAAAGAUCGUCAUCAGUGUGACUAAUCUCAAGCACAGGCUUGGCAAAAAUGAACAUAUCUCCCACAGACUGCACCACGACGACCUGGCCAUCGUGAAUAAACUUCACCUUUUGAUGAAGGGAAGAAUGAAUGGCCCCAGCUCUGUGGAUUCACGGUCGGCCCAGAAACAGGUUAAAGGAUGUAGGAAUCCUCAAAACCUGAAACACGGUGACAAAAGUGGCCAGAUCAAUUAGUAGUUCAAUCUCUAGUGUGCCCAUGACCUCCCUUCGAGUACUGUCAUACGCGCGAACGGUCUAAGUGGAGGGACAGAAAUCAGAUGGUGCAUAGCCGAGGGCAGUGAUGGUGGCCAGAGGACAAACGUUCAGGGUCGAGCCAUUGUCCAGAAGGACAGAUGGGACUCGACGGCCUGAACAACCAACAGAUAUAUAGAGUAGACGCGUGUGGUCUGAGCCCUCUGGUGGCAAGUCAUCAUCGGAGAAUACAAUGCAUGUGGCUCUACCGACCGUCAUCAUAUGAAUCAAUCCCUCAUGGGAGGUGGUAGUCUUAACUCUAAUCUGGCUCAGGGCUCAAAUCAGAGCAUCAUGGUGAGUGGUCAAGGAUGCCAACAAACUCCAGAUGGAAAUACGAGCCUGAGUGCUCUAUAGCUGCCUCAAAAUCUCGGCGUCCUCUACUCUGACCUCAUCGGGAACAGAUGUACCCUCAACUGGCUUAGCUGCUGCGCGAGGUGGCUAUCGCAACACUCUACCUCCUCAAAGAAUAUACUAAACAUCCAAAGUUUGAGAAUCAUCAACAUGCGGAGCUUGAACCUCCUCAACAUUCGAGAUCAAGAUGAAUGGCGUCUGGACGCUGUAAUAUGGAAAAAUCAAUGGCUCAACAGUGGUAGUCUGUACUAAUGCCACCUGGGGAACUAAUCCGAAUGAAAUGGGCAUCUGAGGCCCCAAAGUCGCUCCGUCCAUCUCAUAAAUCCCAUUUGACAUGAUAGGCUCUGGCUCAAUGUCAUCACAGCUCAACAUAUGGAUAUAGUCAUCAUGAUCAAAGAACUCCAGGAAAUGUAUGCUAUCGACCGGUGGGGGGACCACAUGUGUAGUGUGGGCAAGUAAUGGGUUUGUGGUUACACUCGGCUGACCCAAGUGCACCAAACCCUGGUCGAUCAGAUCCUGGAUGGCAUGCCUCAAAGUGGUGCAGCGAUCGGUCUCGUGUCCAGGCCCUUGAUGGUAUGCACAGUGCAAAUCCAUCCUGAAUUAAGGUGGAAUCGGCUGAGGUGGCAGCCUGGGAGUGAGAACGGUCAAUAACCCGGCCUCUGUAAGCUUCCGAAGAGCCUAGCUCAAUGGCAUGCUUAAUUGCGAGAACUACCUCUGUGUCCUCAAAGCAGAUGGAGCAAAAGUCUGCUGAGCUUUGGGUUGAGGAUAAGGCGUUGUGGGUCUCGCAGUGAAUUGAGCAGCAUAGCAUGGCUGUCCUAUGGCCGUGUAGGAAAUUGGGGGUCUCUCAAUGUCCUGGGUGGCAUAAUAAGGCAAAGCCAAAGUCUGUGGCAUGUAGACUGAUCAUAAGUCGGGUGAGGCGCUCGUGGCCUAUACUGCUGAGGUGGAUAUGAAGAAUGAGCCUCAGGAAGCUAUGGGAUCGGCUGAUGGCGCCUGGGAGGUCUCUAACUGGAAGAACUAAUGGCGCUCACGUCAACUGAUCUUUGUCCUCCAAAGGGCUUCUUCCCCUUAACAUCACUAGGGGAAGAAUCUGUCCACAAUCCUCUAGAGAUGUCGUCCUCGACAUCGUAUAAAGUCAAAACCAAUGAACCAAAAUCUGUGAAUGGUACCCUAACCACGUGUCUGGCGAUCCUGGGCUGUAAACUCCUCAAGACCAUCUAUAUCUGAUCUCUCUCUGAAGGUCUAUCAAUGAUCUCGACAAUCUUCCCACGCCAGCGGGAAAUGAAUGAAGAAACUAACUCAUCUAUUAUCUACCUCAGAGCCUCGAGCUUUCUCCUCGAUACAUCCACGACAGUGUUAAAUGAAAACUGUCGUAAGAACUCCUGGGCCAAGUCGUCCCAUGUUCGGCGUCGUGAGGACUUCAAGGAUGCAAACCAACGUUGGGCCGUCCCACUCAGAGAUAGUGGAAAUAAAGUGAUCAUCUGAGACUCAUCCAAUCCAUGAGCCCUCAUCACUGUGCUAUAGAGUCUGAGGUGGAUGCGUGGACAACUAAUGAUCGUAUAUCUCUUGAUGUCUGGCAUCCUAAACUUAGCCGGCAAACUGGCUAUCGGCAUACCCUCGAAAUCAUCCCAAACAAUUGAUCUAUCUGACACUCUCAUCUGCCUCAUACGCUGUUUAAGACAGUCCAUACGUGCAUGAGCAUCAUCAACGACAGUGGUCUGGACAACAGCGGGUGGAACAAUCUCAGAAUGUCCAUGUAAUAUAUAGGGUGAGGCCUGAGGCACUGAAGGAACGGGUGGUGGUGGUGGAUGUGGAUGUGAGUCAUACGACGUCUCAUCCUGAACUGUUGGUGGUCUACUUUGCUGACCACUGAUCUCCUGCCUGAGGCUAGCCAAAGCCUCCUGGAUAGAAGCCAUGGUAGCCGUAAACUGAUCCAUUGUAACAACCUGCUGAUCCAUACUCGGUCUCUCUGAAUACCGGACUAAUCUCCCCUCUACUCUGACCCAAGAAGGCGUAUCCAGACUGUGAACGAAGAUCCGAUCCUGAUCGAUUCUUCUCCUACUCCUCUCCUCAAGUCUCUCAAAACCAGCAUCCAAAAGCACCUCCUUCGACCUCUCCUAUCUUCACUCCCCUCAAAAGCACCAGAAGUCUCUCAAAAAUCUCUUUUGCCCCUUGCCAAAAAGCCCCCUCCUCUCCAAAAUAUCUCCCCACAAAACGCCCCCUACGCUUGCCAGAAUAUCCUCUCUCUCAUCCGAUCCUCCUAACAGACUGCGGCCUCUCUAGAAUGUUCUUUCCACGUGUUCAACUCUCAUUUGCUCCUCGAUUCCACUACCUAAUUCUCUGUCCACCAACCACGAGGUGAUACGUGGCUCCUUGAGAGCCUUCCACCUGGCAAAAUGAGUUGCAGAAAAUGCAUGAAAGUGAGGCCCCAAAAUGAGGGUCUACAAAUAGGUUUUUAGAUGAGUGUGAAUUGUGUUUUGGAAUUCUAACUAAAAAAAAUUCAUUAGAAUUGAUGAUAGUUUAUUUUAGUCUUGUUCUACUAUAAGAGGUUGAAUUAUAAAAAUUUGUAGUACAUACAUUUCUAAUAAAAAUGUUUAUGAUUUAAGUAUUGUUAAUUUUAUUAUUAAAUGAGGAAUCUACAAAAAUUUAUGAAAUUUAAUUUUGUUGAGAAUUUGAUGAAUUAUGAAGCAGAAACAGUAGCUAAAUGUGGUAGAAUUUUGAUUCAAGUUUUGGAAUUUAUGAAUUUAUUUAGAUUAAUUUGUUACCCAAAUUAAGUUACUUUUAUGUUGUUGGGCUUCUUUUAAUAAAAAAAAAAAAUCAUUAAAAUUUAUAUCUAAAUUUUAUCAAGAAUCAAGAGGAAAAAUGGACAAAAACAAAGCAUAUUUCAAUCAUUUCAUUUUUUUUUCUUGAUGACAACUUUGUUAAUUUAUAAUAUAUUCAUUUUUCUUCCAAAUUACACAAAAUUGAAAUAGUUUAAUUCUUUCUUCAGAUAAAAGUUAUCUAAAGUCAUAAAAAAAAAUGAAAUUGAUUUUAUUUUAUGUGAGGAAUUAGGUCUAAAUAUCAUAACACAGUUAGAGAUCAAAAAAAUAUAAAGAGAAAAAAAAUGACUUUUUCUAUUAAUAUAAAAGUUAAAAUUAAUUCAUUUUUUCCUUAAGUAUAUAUAUAUAUAUAUAUAUAUAUAUAUAUAUAUAUAUAUAUAUAUAUAUAUAUUUUAAAAAAAAAAGUAAUAAGCUGAAAAAUAAAUAGUUCUAAAAUGUAUUCAGUCUUGAAGCAACUUACUUUAACAUUUGAGUAAAAAAACUAAAUAAAAAAUAAAAAUAGAAAAAAUCAAGCCCUAAAGCAUUGGAUGAGCCAAUGAUCGGAUACUUGAUUUUAACUAAGCAGUUACUUGUCAAUAAUUGUGUUCAUGUUCAUCUCUGCCAAGUACCUUAAAAUGAAAAGGAACAAGUUCAUAUAAAAUCCAAUUUGUCUUUCUCACCCAACACAAUUGCAACCAUCCACCACCAAUUCAAUAUCUCGAAAAACCUUCAAUGUCUCUAAUAGAACCAAAAUCAUGUUAUAUUUGGGAACAUUAAAAUCUUGAUGUAAUGCAACAUUUCAAAAGAAUUUUUCACUUUGAUCUAUGCUCAUAUCAACAUUUCUCUUUGAUAUAGGCAUUUUUCAAAAGAAUUCACCUAUCUUUUCUUGCUAAAGCCUUAAAUUUCUCUCUUCUCUCCAUAACAAACCUUGAGCAUGCAACUUACUAAAUAGACAUUACAUAGGAUUCAAAAUUAAUUUUCAACAAUUCUCAAGUAUAGUGCCUAUUGCAUAAGCAAAUAUACUUUUAAAGAUAUUGUUGAUAGCCUUCUCUAUGCUAAUAGCACUUUUAAUGCUUGGGUUGAUCUUUAUGAUUGAUUCCACCAAAGCAAUGCCCCACGAAUCUUCCAAAUCGAGAAGCACAUAGUUGUUCUUGAGCAAAGAUCUAUGGAUGUCAACACAUACUACACUAAGCUCAAGGUCCUCUAGGAUGAGCUCAAAAAUUAUCAACCCAUUCUUGUCUAUCACUAUGGAGGCACAAAGUCUUGGUUAGACACCAACAAUAGGAGUACAUCAUGCAAUUUCUUAUGGGUUUGAUUGAGUCAAAUGCUUAAACUUGAACACAGAUCUUAAUGAUGUCUUUGCACUAGUUGUCCAAGAAGAAUGCCAAUGUACUAUUAAUCAAGGCUCUUUUUUUCCUAUCGAUUCUCUUAUGCCCAACAUUUCAAAUUCCUCUGCUUUUGUUACAACAACAAAUUUUUCUCGAAAUUCAACUUUAAAACCCAAGUGUGAGUGACCCUAAUAUUCCCACUGUGGCUUGCAAGAACAUAUUGUAAAUAAAUGCUAUCAUCCUGGCUAUAAGUCAAAAUCAAAGAAACCUGAAGUAAAAAAUUCAAGCCACCUAGGCCAAUGCAACUAUUAAUGAGACUAUUAACUCUGGUUCACCCCUUGGAUCUCUUACUUUAGCUCAGUGUCAUCAAUUGUUUGCAUUCUUGAGCUCUCAACUUCAUAACAACUUUCUUGUUAUGCUAGAAUCUCAAUAGCUAGAACCCUUUGUUUCCCAGUUCAAUGGUAUACUAUCUUUUUCUUCUGUCUCAUAAUUUUCCAAUUUCUUUUUCCACCUGGAUUUUGGACAUAGAAGUCGCACAUCAUGUUUGUUGUUCAUUAAGCACAUUUACACAAUCUACUCCAGCACAAAAUUCUUUUGUAACUUUGCCUAAUGGUCAAUCUGUUGUUAUUAAUCGUAUUGGUUAUGUGUUUUUGUCUCCUGAUCUCAUCCUUAAUAAUGUCAUGUUUGUUUCUAAUUUCCAUUUCAAUCUCCUCUUUAUCUGUUCGCUCACUCAAAGUUAUAAAUCUUCUAUUAAUUUUAUGGUUGAUUCUUGUACUAUUCAAGGCCAUACACGGACCAAAAUGAUUGGGAUGAGUAGAAGACAUGGUAGCCUAUACUUCUUAAAUAUAGUCAAUUUUCAUUCCACUACACCACAAAUUUUCAGUCCUUGUAAUAAUGUUUCGUUGUCUCAAAAUGAAAUUUGGUUUUACCAUUUAGGUCAUCCUUCUUAUGUAACAUUACAAACAUUCAAAAAUGAAAUAGAAGUUAAACCAAAUUCUGGUGAUUCAAGUCAUUGUUUAGUUUUCCAUUUAGUCAAAAGAUGCAAAUUACAUUUUAUUUCUCACAAUUAUUUGUCUGUUUUGCCUUUUCAACUCAUACAUUGUGAUGUUUAAGGUCUCCUUCACACAUUUACCAUUGAAGGUUAUAGAUAUUUUUUUUACUAUUGUUAAUGAUUGUACUCAUUUUAUUUGGGUGUAUCUUUUGCGUGCUGAGCCUGAUGUUACUGAAGUUAUUCCUAUUUUUUUUUCUCAUUGAUUCAAACUCAAUUUGGAACACAAAUAAAAUUUGUUCACUCAGAUAAUCCUCCUGAAUUGGCAUUUUUUGACUUCUUUCAUGCAAAAUGAGUCAUCUCAUUUCAUUCUUGUGUUGAUUAGCCUCAACAAAAUUCAAUAGCAGAAAGAAAGCAUCAACAUAUCUUAAAUGUUGUAUGGUCUUUAUGUUUCCAAUCACAUAUUCCAUUGGUUUAUUGGGGGGAUUGCAUUCUUAUUAUUGUACACUUAAGAAAUAAAACUGCAUUCCCACUUUUGUCCAAUAAAACAACCUUUGAACUUCUUUGGAAAAAGAAGCUUGCAUAUUCACAUCUUUGUAAUUUUGGUUGCCUAUGUUAUGCAUCUACUUUAGAUCGUCAUAGGACAAAUUUCUCACCUCAUGUCAUUCCUUUUGUCUUUCUUAGGUACCCAUCUGGUUAUAAAGAAUACAAAUUAUUGAAUCUAGUCACUAAUUCUGUGUUUAUCUCCCAUAAUGUGGUAUUUCAUGAGUCUAUAUUUUCUUUCAAAACUAUUCAAACUUAUUCUCCUCUUCCAAAUAUUUUCUCUGAUACUGUUUUACUAUUUCCUUCUUUUUCUUCCAUUCUUGAAUCUACAUCUUUGCCAAUAUCAACAAUUCCUACUGUUUUCAUACCUUCUACGUCUCAUUGUCAUCCUAAUCGUGUUCGUAGGCCUCCUUUUUAUCUAGCAUAUUACUACUGCUAUUCUUGUUCCCACAGCACAUCUUCUACCUCACAUCCUCUCACACAUGUCCUUGAUUACACAAAAUUGUCAAAUUCAUAAAAAUAAAAAAAUGAAUAAAAGUUUGUGUUAUUUCCUAUAAUUUUGAACCCACCACAUACUUCAAGGCUGCUACUAUUCUAGAUUGGCAAGAUGCAAUGUCUGCUGAGUUAGGAGCUCUUGAACAAAAUGACACUUGGUCUUUAACUACUUUGCCACAAGGAAAACAUGCUAUUAGGUGCAAAUGGGUGUACAAAAAUAAGUAUAGAGUUGAUGGAACUAUUGAACAAUACAAAGCUCACCUUGUAGCUAAAGGCUGCACACAACAAGAGGGCAUAGACUAUCUAGGUACCUUCUCUCAUGUUUUCAAAUUGGUUACUGUUAAGGUUUUGCUUGCUUUGGCUACCAUUAAUGGUUGGAGCCUUCCUUAGAUGGAUGUCAAUAAUGUGUUCUUACAUGGUGAUCUUUUUAAGGAAGUUUAUAUGACUCUCCUAGUUAUCACCUGAAGGAAAAUCAUUAUCCUCACACUCUGUUUACAAAAUUCAAAAGUCUUUAUAUGGCUUGAAACAAGCAUACGACAAUGGUUUUCCAAACUCUCCAAUUUCUUACUUGUUGAAGGUUUUUAAACAUUCUAAUGCAAAUCACUCUCUUUUUGUCAAAGUUGUCAGUACUCACUUCAUUGCUCUGUUAGUUUAUAUGGAUGACAUUGUCAUUGUUAGUAAUAGUGAUGAGCGAGUUGAGAAAUUAAAAGUUCUAUUUAGGAAAGCUUAAAUACUUCUAAGGCCUUGAGGUGGUGAGGUCUAAUAAGGAAAUUUCCCUUAGUUAGCACCAUUAUGCCUUACAAUUACUAUCAGAUAUAGGCUAUGUUGGUUGUAAAUCAAGGAAAACACUUAUAAAUCCAAAUGUGAAGCUCACACAAGACAAAGGUGAUCUAUUAAAAGAUCUUUUAUUUUACAGAAGAAUGAUAGGCAAAUUGCUUUAUCUAACCGUAGCAAAUCCAGAUUUAUCAUUUUCAGUACAUAAAUUCAAUCAAUUUCUUGCAAAGCCCAGAGUUCUUCAUAUGUGGGCAAUACAACAUGUGCUUCAGUACUUGAAAGCAUGGUUUGAAAUAUUGGUAAACACGGAUAUAUCGAUACUUGGAUUUUAUGAAUAUGUUGGAAAUAUUGGUAAAAUAUCGGUAAAUAUUGGUAAAAUAUCGGUGGAUAUUUUGGCAAAAAUAUUGGUGAAACAAAAAUUAUUCAAAAUUCAUGGAAAUGUUUGGAAAACUCUAAAAAAAAUGAUAAAAUAAGCAAGAAUACAUAUGUUAAAGUUAUUGUAAGUGGAAUUGACAUAAAUAUGGUCAAUGAGAAAAAUAUGGAGGGAUAUAUCAAACUUAAUAAUUUAUUAUUUAUCUUAUCAAAUUAAUUUUAAUUUAUAAAAUAUUAGAACUUCAUUAUUUUUUUUAUUUUAGUAAUGUUUUGAAUACAUUUAUAUUUUUAAUAUUUGUAAAAUAAAAACAUUCAAAAUUAAAUAAAAUUAAAAGGAUAAACAUAAAAAAAGUGAACUGAUAGCAAUUUUUAAAAAUAAGAUUAAUGAGAUAAAUGAUGAUACAUUUAAUAUUAAAACUAUAAUUUAUUUAAUUCAAAUACAUUCAACAAUGUAAAAUAAAUUAUGAUGCAUAUAUAAUUUUUUUGAUAUUUAUAUUUUUUUUAUAUAAUUGUCAUAUAAAUGAUAUAAAAAAUAAAAUAAAAUAAAAGACUUGUUAAGAAAAUUAUAAUGAUGGUUUUAUACUUUUAUUAAAUAAUUAAAUAAAAUUUUAAAUAAAAUAAUUAGAAUUAAUUUAUUUAUUCUUUUAAUGAUGAAUUUUACCAUAUUUAUUGUGAACAUAUAUUUACAAAUGUGGACUUGGCCCAAUAGUAGUCAGGCUUCACCCAAGCCUUUUGGCCUAGGUUUGAAUCCCCUUGGAUGCAAUAGAAAAAAAUUUGAAGGAAUUUACCCGAAUAUCGACAUCUUUUCGAUGAAGUUGAUUGACUUUCGGUGUACAAUAUCAUGUCGACUCUCCCUGAUAUUUUGACGAUCAACUUUUAGUGUGGAAUAUUGUGUUAGCUCUCCCUGAUAAGCAAAAUAUCGACAAUAUUUCAUCAAAAUUUUGCAACAUUUUAGUGUGGAAUAUCAUGUCGACUCUCCCCAAUAUUUCAACAAUCGACUUUCAGUGUGGAAUAUCGUGUUAGCUCUCCCUGAUAAGCAAAAUAUCGACAAUAUUUCGCCAAAAUUUUGCAACAUUUCAAACCAUGCUUGAAAGUUAUGCAGGACAAGGUUUUUUUUUUUUUUUUUUCAUUAAUAGAGUUGAAAAGGUUUGUUGAUUCAAAUUGGGCAACUUGUGUGGUCUGUUAAUGAGUUUUGCUUUUUUUUAUUUAUUUAUUGUUGAUUCCUUAAUUUCCCAGAAAUAAAAAAGGCAGCAUACAGUUUCAAGAUCUUUUGUUGAAGUUGAGGACAAAUUUAUGGCAAAUGCAACAUGUGAAUUGAUGUGGUUACUUUCUUUAUUUAGAGAUUUGCAUGUAUCUCGUCCUAAGCCUGCCUUGCUAUUUUGCAACAAUCAAGCAACUCUUUAUAUUGUAGCUAAUCCAAUUUUUCACAAGCACACUAAGCACAUUAAGAUCGAUUAUCACUUGGUUAGAAAGAAACUGCAAAAUGGAAGCUUGAAGACACUACAUAUUUCAUCUAAACAUCAAGUGAGAGACUUGUUGACCAAACCUUUUUCUUCACCUCAAUUUCUUUUUCUUCUUAGUAAAAUCGAAAUUCACAAUAUUCAUUCUCCAUUUUGAGGGGGAGUAUUAGAAUAUUUGGGUAUCUUGCAGUAUGGUUACAAGUUAAGUAAAGAAUUGUUAGUUUGUUAAAUAAUUGUUAGCUUUUUUUUUUUUUUUUUUUUUGCAACUAGAUGUGUCUAUUCAAUAACUUCAUAUGGUUAUAGUUAAUUAAAGAAUCCUUUACGUAUUAACUGUUAAAAUAAUUUGUUUCCAACUUUCCUAUUAAAUUUUCUUCUGCUCAAGAUUUCAAAAAUUAUAGUUCAAGAAAGCUCUUUCGAUUUCUAUGUUGCACUGUAUCUUCUUAUAUGUUAGUACAAAUCAUACUCCUCUUUUUACCUCUUCAAUGAAUCCUUUUAGGAGUAAGACCACCAAGUGAGCACCCUUAUAUUGAUCCACAAGCUUUUUAUUACAUAUUUUUUGUUUGUGCACACCACCUCAAAUUUAAGUGGCCCAUAAAUUUUAUACUUUGGAUACCUUACCAUCCAAUCAUAAGCAUAAACUAAAUUUGAAAGGAUAAGAUUAGUUUAUUUUAGAGAAAUUGAGCUCCAAGUCCCCUAGCCAAACAUGAAGUUUUGAAGCAUGAAAUUUUUGUGAUGGGACAUAAUUGCAAUCCUUAUUAAAUUGAUCAAUUGUGUUAUGCCAAGAAUGCAAAUUAUGCAUGGCAAAGUGGUUAGAAAGUGUACAAAUGCACCAUCUUUUUACUUGUUUGUUUACUCAAAUUUCUCGGUCAAUUUUUUUUUUUCAUUCUUAUCCCUCUUGAUUGAGGCAAACAUGUUUUGGCUAGUGCUCUCAAAUUCCUUAAAUAUAUUCUUUUCAAUAUUGUAAACAUUUGGCUUGGUCAUUGUUAUAGUUAUCAAUUGUGUCAACUUUUACUUUCUCUCAUCCCCAAUUACAUAUGCACUUUGUAGCUUUAAUUUUUUUUUAGUGAUUAAUCUUAGUUUUUAUCUAAUUGUUUGCCUUAUAGUCUUUGACAUAACUAUAAGUGUAACAUGUACCUCUCACAAACCAAAAGACAUCACUUGUCUUCUUUAAUUUAAACAUUUUUGCAUCUGUGUAAGAUCUGAAACUAGAAUUUCACAACAUCGCGUAGUCAUUUUCUCUAGUUGUUUCUCAAAGCUCUCUUCAAGAUUUAGUUCAUGUUCAAUUACCAACUUUGAGUUUUCACUUUUUUUUUUUCCCAUGAGUCAUGAGGAAAUGAAUUUCAACUGUGUUUCAUCUAUCCAUCUCUCUUAAAUUGUUUUAUUCGAUAGUUACCAAUUGUAGAAUUGUUUUUAUAUAUUCUUUUCAUAGAUAUUGUUAAUAAAUUAUGCUAAAUGAGUAGCUUCCUGAUGUGGUGAGAGCUAAUUUUGUUAUUGCUAGGAUAAUAUCUUUUUAACUUUCUUAACUUUUUCCGAAUUAUAAACCACUCAUGCUUUGACCAAUCUCCAUGUGUUUUUCAUUUGUUUGGAUUUAUGGGCUUUUGAUUCUAUUUGGUGAAUAGAUAAUAAGGAAUUAAGGAUCUGAGAUUGACAUUACUUUAAGGAUGUUUGAAGAUGACAUAGUGAAGCAUAGAAUAUUUUUUUGGGUUGUAUCUCCUCAUUUCCCAUACUUAUGGUGGACAUUGAUGAGUUGGAUUAUUUGAAUGAAAUGAGCUUUGGAAAAAUACUAGUAAUUACAUGAAUUGUUGCAAUAUAUUUGAGUGAAAAUAUUAUGUUAGUGUCUCUCCAUGUCACUAAUUCAAACCUGUUACUUUCCAUUGUAAGUGGUAGAAAUAUAUUUUUUAUUUUCUAGAAAACAUUACUCUAACUUGUGAAAAAGGUUCUUAUGCCUCCAUAUUAAAUGUUAUAUGAUGGAAAAAAAACUUGAAUCUCUCUGUUUCCUCAGUCUGGAUCAGGUUAGGAAUAUGCAUAACUAUCCUAGGCUUUUUCUAAAUUCUAUGCACAACAAAAAAAUUAAUUUUUUUUAUACUUUAUAAGGAUCUAGAAAGUGCUAACGAAAACUAUACCUCAAAUUCGGAUGCUCCCGAGUCUUCCGCUCGAUGACUCAAACCUUGAUCUUGGCACACUUCUAAUGGGGAGGAAAUGAGGGUGGAGGCUAUAGUUUUCUCUCUCUCUGGAUGGUGGACGAUAAAAGCUAUGGAACCCCUAACCUCUAGGGGGUAUUUAUAGGGUUCCUAAGUGGGCUUAAGUGACUUGAGCCCAUACAGGCUUGGGUCACUUAAUCUAACCCAAAAUGAGUUCUAACUGAUUAAUUAACCCAAUAAGGCUUACUAAUUAAUCAAUUAGCCCAAUCAAGAGACCUUGUUCACUUACCCCUAUACAACCUUGCGUAAUUAUCAAAAUGCCCUUAUGCACAGAAGUGAACUUAGAGUCAAUUCAACCCUCAUAACCCAUGCCAACAAGGUAUAUGAGUUCAAAGUGGGGACCAUUGGGACCCAUAGAAAUACUGACUCCCUCAAAAUCAAAUUCUAAAGUUGAUUCAAUAUCACACUAUAGAGAAUCAACUAAACUCCAAUAUCUUAUGUAAAUAACAACGAGACACUAAGUGAUCGGGUCUGUGACUUGCUAUCCAUUGUGUUCAGUCUCCCCAUGAACUAAUGUCCGUAGUUUAAUAAGGUGAAAGCUAUUAGUCUUUCAAGACUACCUCUACCUUCUAUUUUGUGUUCAAUUGACAUAUCUUAGCUCUCAAAGAGCCUAUGUCAAGUUCCAUUUAAUGAACUACAUGACCAUAGUUUCCAUGAACACACCUCCUUAAGAUCACCCAAGGGGACACACUAUCUCAAUCCUAAGAGAUAUCAUAGUGCCUCUAUUGAAAAUACCUAUUACUACCAGCUUCUAUCAACAAUGACCCAAUCCAUACGGAAUAUAUGAUCAGCUUACGAUUUCACCUGUAGGUCAAAGUCAUUGCCAACUUUAGCACAAGCUUAAUAUUCUCUCAAGGUUGAGAGACAACACAAUGAAACAGCUUGGUGAGGUCAUGACUCAAUAAUAGCCUUAAGUCAUGACUCACCAUAAGUCUUGUCCAAUGUGUAACCAUACAUACUAGUGCACUCACCAUGGGAAACCCAUCCUGAUAACCAAGACCAGUGAUCCCUCCAAUUAGGAGGUGGUGCACUACAACCUUUAAUGGGUUGCCUAGACCCAUGAACCAAUUGUAAACAAGUCAUCUAUUUGCAAGGAACCCAUGACUUAGAUCUUCUGUGCAACUCCUAAUGCACCUAAGUCACGUACAAUACAAAAAAUGCAGACAAGAAUGCUCAUAAAGUAUAAUAUAUGGAAUAAGAAUAGAUAAAAGUGAAACUGGAACAUCAUUAAAUAAAUAAUGAAUUCCAAAUUUAUUACAUCAUGUCAUGAUUUUAAGUGCUUUAUCCUAACAUUAUAUAUUUGAGAUAAACAUGAUAUAAUGAGAUUUAUGUUUCUUUGUUAUAAUAUUUCAAUAAGUAAUUGUGUUUUAAUUUUAAUAAACUAUGCAUGCAUGAAACAAUUCAAGUAUCAUUAGCAUCAUUGGUAUCAUUGUGAGACAAAAGUUUCUCUUAUUACAUACUAAAGAGAUUUAAGUUAUCAAAAAGUGAAAACGGUUUUAUCUAGGCUAGUUUCAAGUUGACAACUUUUAAAUUGUUUAUCAUGUGAUAAAGAACUUUUCCCUACAAAUGAUACUUGAAUUGUAUAAUUAGACAGUGUAGGAAAACAUAAUAUCUAUGAAGUUAACUGUUUAUUCUUAAUUCAAUUUUUAGAAAUUUUGGUAGUCUUUCCUCUUAUUCUCUGGGUGCAUAUUUGGAUAAAGUUGCAUAGUAUGCCUUGUCCAUUUUACAUACUUAGAGAACUAUAAGGAAAUUCUACUAAAACUUCUUUAAAAUGAAAUUGACCACAUUGGUCAUUGACACAUAGAGAUUAUGUAUUUCUAUAUGGGAUAGGAACUACUACCGAAUUUAGGAUGUUGGAGAUGUUAGAAUGCAUAAAACAUGCAUCAAAAUUUGACAUACUCAAAUGAUUUUCUUUAUUUAGUAAAUUAGUAUAGAUAAUGUUUGAUGCAAAGGUCAUGGACAAACCCAAUAUAAUAAUAUUAAUAUGCACUAGUUUUAUUGAGGUUAUACAUCCCUUUUAAUGCAAGUAUUCAUGGUCAACAACAUUUAUAACUUAUUAGUCACUACUACAAAUAAGAUAUACCAUGACCUUGUUUUUUCCUUGGCACUUUUAAAAAUGUUAAUAAUUAGCGUGAUAUUUCAAAAGUGUAGAUCUAUGUUCAUAGAUCAAAAUGGUUAGAACAAUGCUUACUUUUUUUCUUUUAAAUUUGGCAUCUUAAAGAAAUGUUGAACUACACUUUCUUGAUUAUUAUUUGAACAAAAAAAAAAGGUUGUUAAACGAAUAGCAUAGAAAAUGUUGCUAUUUUCUUCAAUUUGAAGUUUGAUCACUAUUGAAAGUUUGUUCUUAAAAAAUGGAUCAUUUGUGGAUUUCAAAGGAUAGAGGACUAAAGGAGUAUGGGGAUGGGGUAGAACAUUUUUAUCACAUUUGCAAUAUAAAAUUCUGCAUAUAAAAACUCCAUUAAAUGUCCAUGCUUGUAGAGUGGUAAUAUGAUAUUUCAUACUCCUCAAAGAUUUCCUCAAAGAUUUCCUCAAAAUAUUAGAGAGCAUAUGUUUUUCUAUAGAAUUAAUCAGAAUUACCAUAUAUGUUAUUGGCAUGGGGAAGCAACUCCAAGUGAACCACCAACUAGAAGGGUAGAACAUUAUAAUAUGGUUCAAUUUAAUGAUGUAGAUAGUACAAUAGAAAUGGUUGAAGUUGUACAAGUUGAAUGUCAAAAUGACCUAAAAUUGCUUGAAAGAUUACUUCAAAUUGUUGAAAAACCUUUUAUAUCCUAGUUGUAGAAAAUUCACACAAUUGUUUGCAUUGGUUAAAUUAUACAACUUGAAAACACACUAUGAGUGGUCUGAUAAAAGCUUUUCAGAGCUUUUAAAAAUGCUUAGAUAUAUGUUGCCUCUAAAUAAUGAGUUACCCUUGUCUAUGUAUGAGACAAAAAUGGCAUUGAAUACAUUAGGAAUGGAAUAAGAAAAAAUACACGCAUGCCCCAUGAUUGUAUACUUUACAGGAAUAAGUUGAAAGAUGCAUUUCAUGUCCUAUCUAUGGAACUUCAAGGUGAAAGGUAGAUAAUAUAGGAACUAAAAAAAUGACAGGAACUCCUGGGAAAGUAAUGUGGUAUUUUCCUCCAAUUCCAAGAUUUAGAAGAAGGUUUCAAUCAUAAAAAAUCGUAAAAGACCUCAUAUGGCAUACCUAAGGAAGAGAUUUAGAUGACAAAAUGUGUUAUCCAGCUGACUCUCUAUCAUAGCUAAUUGAUCAUAAAUGGCCCAACUUUGUUUCAAAACCUAGAAACUUGAGACUUCCCAUUUUAGCAGAUGGUAUAAAAUCCUCACAAUUCAUUGAUUAGCAAAUAUAGUUGUUUGUCCUAAAGAGCUCGAAGCAGCAACUAUGGACAAUGUUUUUUUUAUCAUAAAGAGUAAGUUAUGGGCAACACUAUGGCUGUAAAUAGAGGUAAAACCUUUAACUUGUUUUUAGUUUGAUUUUUCUUUUCUUUCAUAAUGGAAAUAGAAAAUCAUCUAAACAAAUAGGACCUUAAUAAUUUUUUUUUUCUACAAUUUAUUUUUGAAUAAAAUAAUUUAAAAGAUUCCAUUCUUAUAUUUGUUAGACUUUUUUUUAAUGAAGAAAAAAAUAGUCUCCCUUUUAGCAUAUAUAUUAUAUAUGAUUAACAAUGGGUAUAAUAAAAUUUAUUUAAUAAAUAAUUGAUGUGACAUUCUAAAUUGAAAGUCAUAAAUUAGCUCAUUAGUUUGAUGUUGGCCCUAAAACUACAAGACUUGAUUACAUACUUAGAUUUUAUUCUUGAAAUUUAAGAGAUAAUUGAUGUGACAUCUUGAAUUGAAAGUCAUAAAUUAGCUUAUUAGUUUUAUGUUGGCACUAAAACUACAAAACCCAAUUACAUAAAUUUUGUUCUUGAGAAAUGUCAUUAUGGUUCAUAGUAAGGCUUAGUUUGGUGUGUUAGACCAUGCAUGCAUGAUAUCUCUUCACAUUCUCUUGUUUUUUGACAAACAUGCUACCAUACUUAAGGUGUUUGUCAAGGCUCAUCUUGGACUACUCAAAACUUUGGGGUCCUUUCUUUGAGUUCACAAGCUUCUUUCCCCUAGUGUCAACCCCAACUCCCAAAAUCCACUCCUUAGUAGUGCACUGACGAAAUCUACAAAUGCACUAUAAAGUGAGAAUGGCAUCAUGAAAAUGUAUUAAUGCAUCGUAGAUGUGGGAACUUAAAAAUAUAUAUAUAUAUAUAUAUAUAUAUCUAGAGUUUAGACUUGUUUCUAUUAAUUAGAAAUUACUAAGCAAUGAAUCUUGCUAGUGUGGAAAGUACCAAUAGAUUGACCAAGGAAGGUAUAUGUAAAAAAGAUUGACAUUGUCAAUUGGAAAAAUUCCUUUACAAACGUCAACCCUAUCUUCCUAACCAUCAUGGAUGUUGAGAAGUAGAUAUCGAUGACUAUGAUGAGGAUCACAAAGGAUUAUCAUACCAAGGAGUUAGACAUUUGUUGGGUUAUCAACAAUUUUAAUGAGGGUGGUAUUAACUAUUUGGUUGUUGAUAGUGUAUUGCGUAGUUCCACCAAGCCAAUCUGCUCCUGCAUUGAGAUCAAUCUCGAUGAAAAGGUAGCAUAUAUUUUUCAUUUCCUAAUUCUAUCAAUUGCUUCAUGGUGCCUUUGUCUAAUAAGCUUAACAGGUUCUUCUACAUUUUCACCAUUUAAUUCUCUAACGUUCAUCAUGAUAGGGUUGAAAUUUCAUCAUCAAAUCAAAACAUAUCCUCCUAUAAGAGGCCUUUGAAUUCUGAAAUAAUCAAUUCACUUUAUUCUCAUAUUGGCAAAGACAAGCUUACACUAUUGGAAAGACUACCCCUAACCUUUGCCCUCCCAAAUAGCAAAGAUGAGAGAGAACCUUUCACAAAAUCACAAGAAUUAUUCAAGUUUGGAAUUCAUAGGCAUUGUUAUUGAAUUUCAUUUGUAUAAAAUUGGUGUGUUGUGUUUAUUUUGUUGGUAUUAAAAUUGAAUUUUUUUUAAUUGCAAAUUGAUGAUUUUUUUUCUCUCUCACAUUUAUACCCAUUAGAGUUUCUUAUUAGGGUUUGUGUUUGAAAUUUGGAGAAAGUAUGGUGCAAUUGUUCAUCGGUGUGGUGUACCAUUUUGUUUGUUGUAUCUAAUAUUUGGGUAUUUGAUUUAAUUUUAUUGUUGUUGAAAUUGAAAGUUGAAAUCCAAGUUAAUUGUUUAACUAGCUAUUUGUAGUUGACUUGUUUUGCACCAAUCUUGAUUACCCAUUUCAUGGGAAUAAUCGAUUCCAAUUUUCCUUCAUGGUUACUAAAAAUAUAUUGUAGGUGAAGGACUAUUAUGGAGUAUAUUAAUUCACAAGAAAAAUGUUCCUUUAGUUAGUAAAAACUUCAUUCAUGUGGUCAUUUAUGAGCAUCAUAAUAAUCCAUAUUAAAAAUAUUUAAAAACAUUAAUGCACUAAAACAUUGAUUUCAUCAACAAAAAUACACUCAUUCUUUUGACUUAUAGCAUUCAAAGAUGUUUAAAAAUAUAUAUGUACAAUAAAACAUCAUCGAAUUUAUUAACAAUUAAACUUUUAACCCCAAAACAAUCCGUUACUUUAGUAGAUAAGACACUAUUGGAAUAACAUUAUUUUUAGCUCAAGUUAGAAGUUAAAAUGAUAAGGUUAAAAGAACAAAACCAACAAAAAAAAAAAGUUAUUUUUUGUCAAACUUGACACUAGUACAAUUUAAAUAAUGUAGCUCAAUGCCCUAUUGAAUUGAGUCAUAUAACUAGACUCCCUAAUUAUAUAUUAUGAUACACACACAACCUUUGGUCUAGUAUACAUGAUUAAAUUAAAUGCCAACCUAGUUUGCAAAGCUAAACUGGAAUCCCAAAUCUAGUUCAUUAUAAAUACUCUUCAACCAACUUGCUACAACAUUCAAAUAAGACAAUGACAAUGAUAGAAAACCAAAAAAAUACCUAAUAUAUCAUUGAAAACUCCUUCCUAAAGGAGGUAAAAAAAAUCAUGAAGUAACUUUCUUCUAUUAAUAAAAAUGGGAAUACAAUGAUCUAUAUAGUGUUUUAACUCGAAACUGAUGGUAUUACAAAUAUUAAAGAAGAAAUUUAAAACACACACACACACACACACAACAAGCAUGUUGUCAAGCUUAUAAGAGUUGGAGAAAUUUCUCCAUAUAAAUCUUCAAAACAUGAUGGAGAGUAACCUUGACAUUUAAGUCAAUAAUAUACAAGGAAAGACAACCCAAAAAGAUACAACUUUGAGAACAAACUCUCCUUUUUGCUUUUUUACAUAACCUUUUUUUUUUUUUUUUCCUUUUUGAAAACUUCUCUCCUUUCCUCUAAUUGUUACACCAUACAACAAUCCUAAAAAAACAGAGUUUAAAGGCUUGUUUGAUAACUGUUUUUAAAAAUAAUUUUGAAAAAUAGUUUUUGAAAAUUAUUCUCUAAUGUUUAAUUUGUAGAACAAAAGUUUGUUUGGAAACCCAAAAUAUUUUUAACAUGUUUUUAAUGUUGUUAAAUAUGUUUUAAAAAUAAUUUUUAUGUUUAGUAUUUUAUUUUUAAUCAUUUUAUAUGUUUAUAUAAUUAUUUUUUAAGGCAAACCUUAAAAAAUAAGUGAAAAUAACAUAAAACACUUAAAAGAUAUUAUCUGAAAACACCUUAUUUUAUUGUAACAGAAAAUAAAAAGCGGUUUUUGGUUGUCAAACAUGUUUUCUUAAUUUUUUAUUUUGAAGAAUAGAAAUUUGUUCUUGAAAAUAUCUAGUUAUCACAUUAGUUAUUGCCCAUUUUAUGAUUUUAAUUAUUGCUUAAAAACUAGUUUUUCAGCUAAAAAAGAAGGUCCACUACUUAUGGGUCAAACCUUCAACUUUCAAACCCGAACACAAAGUUAUAGUCAAGACUAAUAUUCACAUAUUAGUAUUAAUAUAGUUCAUUAAAUAUGAAUUUCUAUUGAAGCCAAAAUCGAGUUUUUAGGGGAAGUAACAUUCACUUUCAAUUAAGCAAUUUUUAACUCAUAAGUUAGUACUUGUAACAAAAUUUCUUAAUAGAGACUUUAAUUGAGUUUUAAGAAGAAUUUUUUGUUUGUUAAAAACCAAUUCAAACAAAAUCUAAAACUAAUAUUAUUAUCUAAAAGACAUAAUGAACAACAUAAACCAUAAACCAAAGUGGUAGUGACAACCAAUAUGUAGCGUCAAUGAAUAAUUGAAAAUAACCUCAUUUUCUAAUGACCUCGAACCUAGAAGCUCUAAAAUUCUUGCCUAAUUCCUUGUGAUGACUUUGGUUCAACCUUAAUGGCGAGGGCAAAAUUCUAAAUAAUUUUUGUCACAACUCAUAAAUUUAGAAGAAAAAAAUGAGAAUAAAUGGAAUCCCUAAUGAGAAAUUGUUAUUUUUCCCCUUUAUGACAAAAAUAGUAACCUACUAGUAUUAUUAAAUAACAUGGAAAUUAUUAUUUCAACUUUAAUACCAUGUAUGACAUAACUUUAACAACCUUAAUUUAUAAGAUUAUUUAAUUUAAAAGGAUAAAACAAUUACAUAUUCAUAAGAAUCGCUUCUAUUUUUUAAAAACAAUAAAUUCCAUUUUUUGGACAAAAAUACCCUCCAUUGUUUUUAUCAACAUUUCACAAUCAAACACUUAUUGGAAAAAAAAAAGUAUAAGGGUAGCUAUAUUAAAAUGAGGUUAUAAUUAUAAUACUCAAUAAGUGGAGAUUUUUUUUCCAAAUAUUGGGAUCAUCUUCUCCAUUUGACACAAAUAUUUAUAAUUUAUAUUAUAAUUACUCUUAUAGUAAGAGAGAAAGAGUAAUUUCACAUGAAAUGGACCCAUAAACAUAGAUUUAUUAUGAGGCAUGAUACUAUAAUAAUAAUAGGAAAUAAGACGAGACGUGAUACCAUAAUAAUAGAAAAUAAGAUAAGUAAUUCAAUACUUAAUGAAGGUCUGAAAUAAUUAUGUUUCUCAUUAAAUGAUAUUAAAGACGAAAAAAAACUUAUUAAUUUUUAUUUUAAGUAUUAAGAUUAUUUAAUAAAAUUAACUUAAAAUUUAUUUUAAAUUAUCAAAUUGAUAUAUUUAUUUUCAUAGAUUAUAACUAAGGUAAAUGAAAUCAAGUAAUAAUGGAUGUCAUGUAGUGAAAGAGAUCCUAGAGGCAACGGGACAAAUUGUGGUAAAAAAUGUCAAAUAAAAAUACGAACUUAAGAACAAAUUAAUUGUUUGUACUUAUUACUUAAAGUUGUUAUUUAUUUUAUAUUAUUAAAUUAUUUUACUAAAUAUGCUUAAUUUAUUUAAUGACUUAAAUUAAUUUAUUAGUCACUUUAGGCUAUUAAAUCGGGUUUACCAAUCAUAUCGAAUACAUUUGGCUAGUAGGCCAAGACUCAAGAAUAUUGCUAUCAUAUGUUUUAUGUAUUAAGGUGCCAAGAAUAAUUCACCACAAAAUAUAUGAUGAGUUGAUAAGUAUAGGAUACAAUCUAAAAUAUGCACUUGAUUUCAUCAUCUAAAUAAAUGCUCUCGGCAAAUGGAUCAUCCUAGCUGAUACCAGAGCACAAGCCGCCAUGGACAGGAGGCAACGGAGAAACCCUUCUGCUUCUUCUUCUGCCUUUUCAUCUCCAGCUUCAUCCUCAUCGCGUUUCCGCUCAGAGAAAUUCUCCUCGAAUCCCCCAAAAACUAGUAACUCCCUGGAGGAUGCUCACCAAUUGAAAAGCAAAUGUGGGAAGCCACAAAGACCAAAGCAAGAGGAGGAAGGAGAGCAAGAUCCGAACAAUCUUCUCUCCUUAGUUGGAACUUGCCCAUUCAUGUGCCCUGGUAAAAAUGCGUGCUUAUUUUUCCAUUUUUUUAAAAUUCUAUUUUCCUGUUAUUCUGUGUUUGGUUUCCGAGAAAUUGGAGGAAAACAGUAGAAAAGAGAAGUGAAUCUGGAGUUUCUGUGUCAUUUUUGUGGCUUUUACAUAAAUUUUACAAAUAAAAUUGAUAUUUCUCCCCCUUUAUUAGAUACCAAUCUGCAGAAGAUGUAGGAAUCCCAAAAAAAAAUUCGCUUUUGCCUUUACUUCCCCCAAAUCUUUCAUAAUGGAAAAUGGACUUACCACCUCUUUUAUCACUUUUCCUUUACCAUGUCAGGUUUACAUGUAAUCAAACACUGUAUUUGGAGUAGGGCACUUAUUCUAAUGUCAAAUGGUGUUGAAAACUUGAAUUACUGGAUCUUAAGACUCCAGAAGAAAUUUGAUUGUUUAUGAUUAUUGCUCCAUGAGAAGGGAAAGGGAUUUCUUUUGUUUUUGCUCACAUAUAUGGCCAAAUUGAUUUAUCUCCUUCUCAUACGAACAAAAUAAGGACAUUUCUUGUCUUGCUGCCUUUUAUGCCACCGGUUCCACAUGCUGAUGUGACAACCCUUUUGCUAUUCUGUACAAAUGGUAGGAAAAUUCUGGUAAGACUGGUGGCCAGCCUAUCAUGUUCAGGGAAUAAAUUCAUUGUAUAUCUGGAAUUCACUCUAUAUCAGCAUAGGGUGUUGAUACUGAUUAUAAAUGACAAAUUCAAUUUAUUAUCCUUACAUUAGGGAGUGCUAAAAGGAUGCAAAUUGUUCAUGUUAUACCCAAAGACAUACAAGUGAUGCUAGAGAUUUUCACAAUGUGGAUAAUCAUAGAGUAGAGAUGAACACUAUGGAGUCUUUUGGCAUGUGUUCAUUCCAUGUACGGGAACAUGCAUUGGAAGAUUAUGUUUCCUCCUCCCUUCCCCUCCCCAAAGUUAAUACUAUGUUGUCAUGGCAAGAACUUUGGUGACAUGCUUCUGAGUGGAAUAGCCUCCUAGAAGUCCAUUUAUGUGGCAGUUGGCAAGUUCUUCCGGUCAAUGAGAACUUUGUGACUGUCUGAUUGUUGUACUAAUCAUCAUCAGAUUUUUUUUUAAGUUCAAGUUGUAAAUAGCCUUUCACAGUUGAAGGUAGCGAUGAAGAGGCCUGUUGACAUAAUUAUUUCUUCUGCUUGAAUGGAUUAAAAUCAGAUACCACACCUUCAGCCUAGAAAACUAUGGACUUUCCUAUGUACCUGCAAUUGGCUGAAUACUGGUGUGGCACUGACUAAAGGCUCUCUGAUGCUGUUAUUAAUUUCCUGAGCAAAUUAGAGAAAACAGAGAGGUCAUAAUGUGAAUCAGUUACCUCUUGAGUAGGGAUGAAGGCUUUUUAUAACUUUUUACUUUCUGGUUAGGCCUUGGAAGCACUUCUGUGAACCAUGAUUUUGUACUGUAAAAUUAGAUGGGAUGGAUAGGUCACCUUAACUCUACUUUUGGAAGUGAUUGGGGAGCGCAUGACUGUAUGAAUAUUGAUGUGUUCUCCCCAUACAGAGCCCAACUUCUUUUUGAACUAGGAAGCAUGAAGGGUGGGUGGAUGUGGGCUGAGGAAGGAAGAUUUGACUUGUGUGCCGCAGGCCUGCGGUACCAAUUUGUUCCAGAACUUGAUAAGGCCCAUAAACUGGUAGGCAAGUUUCAUUAUUUGGUCACCACUGAAUUUUGGCAGUAUGGCCACAAGGAAGGUAGGAAGGAGAGGGAGAAGAGAAAACCCCAAUUGCCAAUUGCAAGCUUCCGGUUGGCACAGUGCUCAUUGCUGACAUUUUCAUUUGAUUUUGACCUUGCAACAGAUACAGCUUAACAUGAUGGACCAGUUUUUCACAAUCUUGUGAUUCAUUACCCAACUUCUAGUAACAGUUUCUCAGCAGAUGACUCACCUAUGACAGGCUGAUGAUGUCUGCACACAACUUGAAAGGUAUUCAUGCCAAGGUGUGAAAGGUAAUAUUGUGACACCAUUUUGCCUAUUCCAGAAAAUGUAACAAAUGUAUGGCUGGUUCUUGACCUAAAAAUGCUGGCAUUGGUCACCAAGUGCUAGGGUGAUUCUUGACAAAAAAUGUUCGUAUUGUUCAGAACAAUGAUUUACAACUUCAGAUUGGCCAUCCAGUUAACGAUGAUAAUCACUUGUUUUACAAAGUUCAGUGUCAUAAAAGCAAAAUAAUUUUGUCAACAAAUAUGCGGAUAACUUUAUCAUAAUUACUACUUAUGGAAGUUAAGGAUAAGUUGGGUAAUGUGAGAAAGUUUUGGUCAGAGGAUAUGAGGAUAAAUUUGUUGCAAUUGCUAAGCUUCACCUCCUAGGACUACUAGGAGAAACGUAUGAGCAAUAGAACAAAUUUACAGUCCAUCCCCAUUAGCUGCAUGGAGAGGUUGGGCUUAUUGCUGCUAUGGUGGAGGUCACCUUCUUGUAGACUUUGAAAUCUGCGAAUGAAGAGGCAGAUUUCUUAGAGGAAUUGGUAGGACUCCAAGCCCCCCAAAUGACAGGGGGGUGGGGAGGAUGGGGGUGGUGGGGGGCCAUUUCUAAUUUCAUGUCUUCUCAAUGUGGAUUUGAGGUUUAACGAGAUUUUUGGGAAAUCAUUAAGGUUAAAAGUAAUUGAAAGAGUGUGUCUGUGGAGAGCAAGAGGGGGAAAUGUUUGGUUCCCAACUGGGGUUGCUUCAUCUGACCGUUAAUCUCACAGCAAACACCGACGGAGCGUUGUUGUUGGAGGCUUCCAGGUUCUCUGAUCAAUUCUCUUGUUCUUUGUUUUCUUUGGGGAAGCGGGAAACCUCUCUUUCUUCUAUUCCUUCUGGGCGGGAUGGGGAAGGUGUUGCCAUUGCCAGGGUUUCCGAUCAGGGCAGUGGUUUAGAAGCCGUAGGGGGAGCUGUUAUGGGCCCGUUAAGGAUGAUAUUGGCGGAUGGGAGGGAGGCCGAGGUCUCAAAUUUGGCGGGUAGGGAGUUUGGGACUUUCGAGGAGGCGUCAGAGGGGGUUUCGAAAAGGGUCUCCCAAGAGGAUGAAGAAGAGAGGGACAAAGAGGGGGAACUGUGUUGGCAUUCUAGUAGCUUGGCUAAGUUCAGCCGCUAUCUUGGAAUGCCGAUGGAGGGCUUCGAAGGGGAAAUUUUGUUUUUGCUUAAAAGAAUGAAAGAGAAGAAACUUCAAAAAGGAAAGUUGAAUGGCAGAAAAAGGAAAAAAUUGGAGUCAUCAAAAUUCGAAAUAGAAUUGAGAAAGUUGGAAUGGACAGUGAAUUAUCUUGGAGGAGGAGGAGGAGAGGGGGGGGAAGUACGAGCAGGUCUAAAUGAAGCUCCGACUGCUCACUUGGAAUGUAAGAGUGACCAAUAAUUGUGAUAAGAGGAAGGUGAUCAAAGCGUUGAUAAAGAAGAAUAGGGUGGAUCUGGUUUGCCUAUAGGAAACCAAGAUUUAGGAAAUGUCAAUGGGCAUUAUCCGUAGCUAAGGAGUGGGAAGAUUCCUUGAAUGGGGAGCUGUAGAUUCAAGGGCACAGCUGGAGGUAUAGUGGUGUUUUGGGAUAACAGGGUGUUGGAUUUGGUUGACCUUCAAAAAGGAUUGUUCUCUAUUUCUUGCACUUUUAAGAGUUGCGAGGACGGUUUCAUAUGGACGUUUACAAGGGUUUAUGGCCCAACAUUGAGGAGGAAUAGGGAGAGUUUUUGGGAGGAGUUGGGGGCCAUUAAGGGGCUUUGGAAUGGGCCGUGGUGUGUUGUAGGGGAUUUUAAUGCCAUUCUAAGUCCGGAAGAGCGCAACAGAGGAGGGAGCUUGAAUUCAAACAUGAGAAGGUUCUCAGAAGUUAUAGAAGAUCCAGAGUUAAAGGAUCUGCCUAUGGUUGGGGGUCCUUUUACUUGGAUUGGAGGGGUGAAUAACCAGUCUUUUUCAAGGCUGGAUCGUUUUUUGGUUAAUGAGGGGUGGGACAGUCAUUUUGGUGAUGCGAGGCAGUUUGUUCUACCAAGACCUGUGUCCGAUCACUUUCCGGUUCUUCUGGACGGAGGGGGCCUGAGAAGAGGCCCUUCCCCAUUUAGAUUUGAGAAUAUGUGGCUGAAACUGGAAGGUGUUAAGGACCUUUUGAAGCAUUGGUGGGAGGAAGGUAGCUUCAGUGGAUCCCCAAGUUUUAUCUUGGCCGAAAAACUAAAAUUUAUGAAGGCUAAGCUGAAGAAGUGGAACAGAAACACAUUUGGUAGGGUUGAAUAUAGAAAGAAUUUGGCUUUGGAGCAGGUGGAGUUUUGGGAUACCAAGGAGAAAAUUAGCAGACUGUUGUUGGAAGAGCUGGAAGCUAGAAAAGAAGCGAGGGAAGAUUAUAAAAAAUGGGUCUUACUUGAAGAAAUCACGUGGAGGCAAAAAUCUAGGGAAGUGUGGCUGAAAGAAGGGGAUAGAAAUACCGGUUUUUUCCACAAGAUGGCCAAUGCUCACAGGAGGAGGAAUAAUGUGGACAGAAUUAAGAUUAAUGGAGCCUAGCUUACAUAGGAGAAUGGAAUUAGGGAAGGGAUUGCCAAUGCUUUUAGGUUGUUGUUGUCCAAUCCGGGGGAAUGGCGCCCUUCUAUUUUCGAGCUGCAGUUUGAGACUUUGGAGCCUUUGGACGCUAGUGCCUUGGAGAUUCAUUUUUCGGAAGAGGAGGUCUUCGAUGCACUAUUGGGCUGUAAUGGGGAUAAAGCCCCGGGGCCAGAUGGAUUCUCUAUGACCUUUUGGCAAUUUGCUUGGGAUUUCGUGAAGGCUGAUGUGAUGUGUUUCUUCAAGGAGUUCAAUGAAAAUGGCAAAUUUGUUAAAAGCCUAAAUGCAACUUUUAUGGUCCUAAUCCCAAAAAAAGCAGGGGUUGAAGCCUUAGGGGAUUUUAGGCCUAUAAGCUUGGUGGGAAGCUUGUACAAGUGGCUGGCCAAGGUCUUAGCUAAUAGGCUAAAAAAGGUGGUUGGAAAGGUGGUCUCCAAGGCUCAAGGGGCGUUUGUGGAAGGUAGACAAAUCCUAGAUGCAGUGUUGAUAGCUAAUGAAGCCAUUGAUUUGGUUCUCAAGAAUAAUGAGAAUGGCAUUCUGUGCAAACUGGAUAUAGAGAAGGCGUAUGAUAACAUGGACUGGACUUUUAUUCUCACAGUUAUGCAGAAAAUGGGUUUUGGGGAAAAAUGGAUCAGGUGGAUUAAGUGGUGUAUAUCCACUGCAGGUUUCUCCGUGUUGGUCAAUGAAACCCCUACGGGUUUCUUCCAAAGCUCCAAGGGUUUGAGACAGGGUGAUCCCCUUUCCCCUUAUCUCUUUGUGAUAGUUAUGGAGGUCUUUAGUGCUUUUCUUAAAAGGGCUGUAGAGGGAGGUUUCUUAUCGGGUUGUAGGGUGAAGGGUAGGAGUGAAGAAGGGGUCCUAAUUUCCCACUUGUUGUUUGCUGAUGAUACACUGGUGUUCUGUAAACCUUCACAAGAUCAAUUGACUUAUCUCAGUUGGUUACUUAUGUGGUUUGAGGCCGUUUCGGGAUUGAGAAUAAAUUUGAAAAAAAGUGAACUCAUUCUAGUAGGGAGGGUAGAGAAUAUGGAUGAUCUUGCUUGGGAAUUUGGUUGUAGACUGGGUAGCCUUCCAACCACCUAUUUGGGGAUGCCCUUGGGUGCUCUUUUUAAGUCAGUUACAGUUUGGGAUGGUGUGGAAGAGCGCUUCUGAAGAAGGUUAGCCAUGUGGAAGAGACAAUAUUUAUCCAAGGGAGGAGGGCGACUCUUAUUCGAAGCAUGUUAUCGAAUUUACCCAUCUAUCUCAUGUCAUUGUUGUGCUUACCAAGCUCAAUUAGACGGAGAUUAGAGAAAAUCCAAAGGGACUUCCUUUGGGGUGCAAUUUGGAGCGAAAGCCUCAUUUAGUAAGAUGGGAGUUGGUGUGUUUAAGUAAGAAGAAAGGAGGUUUGGGGGUCAAAUGCCUUUCCAUUCUCAACAAGGCUCUUCUUGCUAAAUGGAAUUGGCGUUUUGCAAAUGAGAGAGAAGCUUUGUGGAAUCAAGUGAUUAGGGGGAAGUAUGGAGAAGAUAGAGGGGGUUGGUGCUCUCGGGAAGUGAGAGAGGCUCAUGGUAUGGGGUUGUGGAAAGGAAUAAGGAUGGAUUGAGAGUUGGUGAGCGAUAGGAUGGUUUUCAUUGUUAGUAAUGGGAGGAGGGUGAGAUUUUGAAGGGAUAGAUGGUGCGGGGAUUCUCCUUUGUGUAUGUCUUUUUCUUCUCUUUUUGAUUUGACUGUUGAAAAGAAAGCGUGGGUGGCAGAUUUUGGGACCCUUUGGCUAAGGGGGGUUUGGGGGGGGGGGGGGGGGUGGGAACCCCGUUUUUUAAAACUUUUCAAGAUUUGGGGGGAGAGGGAGGGGAAAAAUUUUUUGCGAAGGUUUCUGGUUAAAAAAUUUUUUGGGNNNNNNNNNNNNNNNNNNNNNNNNNNNNNNNNNNNNNNNNNNNNNNNNNNNNNNNNNNNNNNNNNNNNNNNNNNNNNNNNNNNNNNNNNNNNNNNNNNNNAAAAAAAGGGUGGGGGGGCAAUUUUUGGGCCCUUUUGGUUAAGGGGGUUUGGGGGGGGGGGGGGGGGUUGGAACCCCUGUUUUUAAGAGCUUUCAAUGAUUGGGAGGUAGAGGAGGCGGAAAGAUUUUUGCAGAGGCUUCAUGGUAAGAGAGUUAUUGAGGAUGUGGAGGAUAUGGUGUCUUGGACUGAAACUAAGAGUGGUAAAUUCUCGGUCAAGUCUCUUUAUGUUGCCCUUGAAGCGGGUUGUUCAUCUCUGUUUCCUUUAAGCUAUAUUUGGAAUGUGAAUGUGCAGCCCAAGAUUAGUUUCUUUACAUGGGAGGCUACGUGGGGCAAAGCCUUAACCUUGGAUAUGGUCCAGAAAAGAGGACGGGCAUUGGCAAAUAGAUGCUUUAUGUGUCUUGAGAAAGAGGAGACCAUAAACCAUCUGCUCCUUCAUUGUUCAAGAACAAGGGUGUUAUGGGAUCUACUUUUUACUUUAUUUGGGGUGUCUUGGGUAUUGCCUUCUUCAGUUAGAGAGACCCUUCUAAGCUGGAAUGGUUUUUUCGUGGGCAAAAAAUGCAAAAAGGCGUGGAGAGUUGCUCCUCUUUACAUUUUCUGGACGGUUUGGAAGGCGAGGAAUAGAUUGGCUUUCAAGGAUGAUAUGUUGUCAAUUUAGCAACUGAAACACUCUUUUAUCCUUUCUUUUUGGUCCGAGAUUAAGUUGUUUAUAGAUGAUUGCCCUCUAACUAUAGCUAAUUUUAUUGAUUGGUUGGGCUCUAAGUAGGAUUGGGUUGUUGGGCUAUCUUUGUUUUUUAGCCUUGUUGGAGGCGGGUGUAUAGGUAUUGUAUACCUUGAGUCACUUUUUUAGCGUUUCUUUUAUAUAUGAAAUCUUAUUUACUUAUCAAAAAAAAAAAAAAUGUAAUCGAAGACUUUCACAUUAAUGAGGUAAUGAAUAACCACUGAUACUUCUUCACCCCAAAGUUCCUUCACAAAAAUUUGGUAAGUGAAGAACCAUUUCUGAGUUGUGAAGCACCAAUUCCACCUUCAUUAUCUUGAUCUUUAGAAAGAGGGAUCCAACUUGAUUUGGGAUUUUAUACCUGUCAACCCAGUCACUAAUUUUUAGGAGAAUACUUCCAAUUUACCCUUGGGUUGCUUUAGAAAGUUUCUUAAUAGUGCCAUCUCUCUAGCUUAAGGGGCUUUUGUUAAUGGAAGGCAAAUACUAGAUGUGGUUAUCAUUAGUAAUGAAAUCCUAGACAAAUACUAGAUGUGGUUGUCAUUAGUAAUGAAAUCCUAGAUGAAAAAUUCUGUUCUAAGGACGAAGGGAUGGUUUUUAAAAUAGGUUUUGAGGAAGUUUAUGAUCACAUAGAUUGGGGUUUCAUGUAUGAUACAUACUUUGAAUAGGGAAGGCCUUGAACCUGGAUGGCACAAAGGGACUGGAUAUUUUGAGGUUGUUUUUCAAACUGCAGGCUCUUUAAUGGUGUUAUUGAAGCUGAGUGUUUAGCACUCGAGGAAGAUUCGGAUAUGGUUGUUUGCCUGGAUGUAAUGAACCUCCAUAUUGAAGGGGAUUCCUUUGUUAUUGUCUCAAAACCUUCUUUGAAGGCAAAGGUCCUUAGUGGAUUGCUCAUCAGAUGGGGUGGCUUCAUAAUCAUGCUAGAGACAUUGCUUGUUCUUCUCUAUUGAGGCCCAGAUCAGCUAGCCAGGUGCAUGGCUAUAUUUUUCUUAUAGGGAUGCUAAUAUCUGAAAAUUUUUAUUGAGAACACUUACUGCUCUUUGAUUGGUUUGAGGCAUGGAGUGGCUUUUCUGUUCUCUUCUUGCCAUACAUGCAUAUCAUCCCUCUUUUUUAUCUUGUUUAACUCAAUAAAUUCUCAUUUGUUAUAAGGAAAAAAAGAGAUAUUAUGUUACAUGAUGGAAGGACUUUAUUCUGUUAUGGAAUAGGCAAAACCUAGAUCUAUUGGCUAGAGCUAUACAGUAGGUUGUUGGGCUGUUCAGCAUUGUCUUUUUUUUGGAUAGGUUUGGCCAAUGCCCCUUGAUGUUACUUUUUGGUAAUGUAAUUUUCUUUGAUUUUUCUUGAAAAUUCCUCAUUUUUCAAGCUUGCUUGUAUAUCUUUCCUUCUUCCAUUAAUGAUUGUUUGAUUCCUUACUAAAAUAAAUAACAAAUUAUGAUGCAAAAGGAUUACGUUUAUGGAAAAUUUUGAGAUUUUCACCAUAUUAGAGUCUCUGAAGUUGGUACUUGUCUUGACACAGAUAAUAGGAAUCAUUUUCCCCCCAAACUACAUAAGACAUGUCUGCUACUUGGUAAUGUUCCAUUGGCAGUUAUAAACUCUCCUGUCAAAAGUGAAUCUGUUGUAGCAUUCCAAAUGGUGUAGUGUCGUACAUAGAUUGGUAAUUGAGGACUUUAUUAUGGAUUUUGUCCUGUUGUGGUUGUGCCAACAAGUUCUAUCCUGUUCUUUGUCUUGCUGAUUUGGGUGGUUGUGCAUCAUGUUCCUACAGCUGUAUAAUUAUGCUUCAGGAGCAUAGUUAUUCUGGUUUUACCAUCCAGAUGAUGGUAUUAAAGUAUUUGUAUUCUAGAUUGCGCAACUCCUUAUAUGGGAUAUUUUUGCACCAAAUGCUUAGUGAUCAAGAGAACUCUCAUAUUAAACACAGUCAUCUUCUAUUAAACUAAAUUCCUUAAGUAUGCAGUCUCACAACUACAUCAUACCAUUCUUUUCCUUUUUUAUUCCUUUCUUGCUAUUACAGGUUGGUUGCCACUAAUAUAGUAGAAAGCAAAUUACACGACCCUGCUUCCAUAAGACCUUUCUUAUUCCAUAGGUUGAAAUAGAAAAAACACUCGAUGGGACUAAUGUUUCUCUUUGCAACCAAGCAAAUUAAAAUGUUUUGAAACCCAUGCUGCCAUGAUCUUAGCUAAUUUGCAUUUUAUAUCUCUACCCCUUUCUAUUUACCAUAAUGAUGCAUGCAUCUAGUCAAAUUGUGUAUUUCUUAUGCUUAUAUUUAUUUCCUGAUGAGUUUAUUCUGACUCUUUGAUCAGGAUUUCUGCAAUCACAUUGCUUGCUAUUGAAUUUUCAAUGGCUUAAUAUGAAUUAUUAAUAAAGAUGUUGUUUAAUUAUUUCAGCAGCUUAUACUUGGUAAUUUCUUUUAACAACUCUUAUCUCUGAUGUUCAUUUGUAAUAUAUAGCUGGAGAAAGGGCCCAACGUGAACGCCUUCGGGACUUGGCUGUGUUUGAGAGGUUACAUGGAAAUCCUGGGAAAACAUCUCCAAGCCUUGCUGUCAAAAAGGUAAACCCUACAUCUCAUUCCUCUAUACCGCAUCUUAGCUUCUCAUCUUGCAUCGGACAAUGAUACUCUUAUUGAAUCAUCUUUACCAUAUCAGCCAUCAACAUGUGCACUUAUUGAGCGCUAAUUCAGGCACUGAUACUUGUGCUUUUGUUUUGUUUUGUUUUAUCUUGUCUUGUUUUGUUUUGGAGGUGAUUGUGUUGGAUGACCUAUAUCUGUGUUAGACACCAAAGCCUAUCUUAAUGCUACUGUAAAGUAAGACUAUGCUAAUAAGCUAUUGAUCUGUUACAGGGUUUAUGCCAAACUGAUUUUUUAGUUUCUCUAGUAGAAAACUUGUUUUUUCCCCUGUUAUAUCGGUGCUAUUGUUGGAUUUGUGUUUGUUGUUGAUCAAGCAUUUGCUGAAACCUUUUUUUUUUUCCUUUGCUUCUUGAUGUGCAAAGCAUUAUUGUUUGAAUUUUAAUGAUCCCAUUUGAUUCACUAUUCAAUAUUUUUAUUUGAUAUUACAUCUAUCUCAUUUGUUUUCUUUUCUUAGUUUGUUUGUUUGUUUUUUUUUUUUUUUUUUUUUUGAAUUUGUGACAUUUGAAUUUGAUGGAGCCACCAUUAAUUUAUUUUUCCUUAUUAUUGUGGGGUGUGCUUUAUUUUGUUCAAUUGUUGUUGCACUAUUAUUGUCAUGUAACUUUUCUUUUUUGUUUUGUUUCUAUUGUUCCUAUGAGCAUUAAAUGCUUCUAAAAUGUAUGGAACAGGCUAAACCUUUCUAUAGUUUUUUUAAAAAAAAAACUCAUUUAUUAUCUAUUUUCUUGUGCUCAAAAAAUUAUAUUUUUUUAGUAAAAUUGAAAAUUUAGGGAGCGCUUAGGCCUCAGCGGCUCAACCCCUUGAGGGUUUAGGCCUGUCAUAGCAAGAUGUAAACCCCCUUGCCUCUUAUGCUUUUACCUUAUGAAACUAUACCAAGAAACAAACACCACAACUCCCUGCUGCCAUCAAAGGAUACUUCAAAGUUUGCUUCAAAUCAAUCUUAAGGCCAAUUAUCAUAGGCUUGUCAUCAUGUCACUAAAAUUGGUAUUGUAACCAAAGUCCUAUUGCGAAAUCUUCAAGUUGCAGCUCCUCCUUUUCUGUUGGCUCUUGUAUUGUUAGGUGGCCGCAACCUGUUGCUUUUCUUAUGCUUUAUGAACUACUCCAGUUAAAAUAAUGCUUCAAGUAGAUGCUUUCUGGAUCUUGAUUCUAGCAAGAGGCUUAUAUUGCAAAUUUUUUUGUGGAGUCCUAGAUAGGUUAACUAGGAAGACAAUAGCUUGCUUAAGAGGAUUGCCACCUCUCCUUUUGGGUUUGUAAAAAUUUUGGUUCUCCCUUGACCUUGGGAGUCCUAUGGUUUCAAUUUUGGAUGUGCUCUAGGUUGUAGCCUGUGUUAUGCUUUCUAAAUGGUAAUCUUCUUCUUGUUUUAGCUGGGAUGCUUUUGUUUAUUUUGCUCGUUUGUUUUCUUUGUUUCUUUAUUGUGGCUGUAGGAUCACCAAUCAACUUUUUAUUCUCUGCAAAAACUGUUUAUGUUUCAUAACGAAAAAGGAAAAAACAAAGGCAAGUUAGCCUAGAAUAGGUUUUAUCUUGUUUCUUCUUUUACCAUUAGUGUGGAUUCAAACUCAGGAAGAGGCCUUCAAACAAGUGGCAUUUGUGUUUUUUAAACAUAUAUCUUUAUUCAAUCAUUGUUAAGUGUUUGUUGUCUUGUCUGUUCUUUUGGUUGUUUUUGUCUUUGUCAAAGUGUAUAAUUAUAAUAUCCCACAUUGUAUAGAGGAAAAAGUUUCUAACGCUAUAUAUGUAUGAACUUUUUUUAAUCUUGUUGAUUCGUUUUUAAGCCGCGAGGGUCGUUUAGGCUCAAAGCAAAUAAUAUCCACACAACUGGGAGUAGGUUGUUACAAAUGGUAUCAAAGUCAAUCCUCGACCUUGGUAGGAGAGUUUGCUUGGCCUAAAAUGGGUGUCCGUUUAUUUGACCUUACAAUCCUAUGGGACACAAUAAGGACGUUGUGUCUGCAUGAGAGGGUGAUUGUAAUAUCCUACAUUACAUAGGGGAAAAAGUUCCUAACGUUAUAUAUCAUAGUUUUAAAAGGCUCAAGGCGCACCAAGGCGCAAAGUAGUCCUGGAGCCUGAGGCGCAAGGCGCAUCUAAGGCGCGGGCUUUAGUGAAGUGAGGCGCACCCUAAUUUACAUAUAUAUUUUUAUAUAAUAUAAUCAAAUUUAACAAUCAUUUAUUUGUCCUAAACACAUAAAUCAUCAAAUAUCAUCCAAAACUUCAAUUUAAUAAACAAAAAACAUAAAAAUAAAGAACUCCAAGCAUAAAAACAAAUCCAAAUCCAUAUUGCUAAUUGCCUAAUACAUAUCCAAAUCCAAAGUUUCCAAACCUAAAGGUCCAAAACAUGAAAUUUGUCCACAAUUCAAAAACAUCAUUAAAAAACACUUAAAUCACAAAUUUGUCCACAACAAGCAAUCAUCACUCCUCCUCUAAAUCAACAAAAUCAUCAUCAUCAUCAUUUCCAUCACCACAUUUGUAGCCUUCCCCAUCUUCUUCAUCUGCUGAAUUAACCAUGUCUCCAUCUUCAUCUUCAUCUAUUAGUGAAUAAGAAGGCAAAGUUCUAGAACUUGAAGCUAUCCCCCUUGUUGGUGGUAUUAUGCUUGAGCUUGCUCUAGCUCUAGCUCUAGUAUCAAACCUGGCCUCCUCAUCUCCAGCAGCUCUAGCAACAUCACCCCAUGUCAAAUUGUCAUCAUCAAAUACAAAAUCAUCUUGUGCACCUCCAUGAGAAUCCUCAUCUUCCAUUCUCCCUAUCAACCAUUCAUUGCUAUCAUCUAUAUCUUUCAAGGAAAUUGGGUCAAUGGUGUUACGUUCAUUGUAUCUUCUCUUCAAGGCUCGAUUAUACUUGAUGUACACCAAAUCAUUCAAGCGUUGAUGAUCUAACCUAUUUCUCCUCUUGCUAUGAAUCUGCAAAAAUUCAUAAGCUCAUAAAUAUAUUUUAAAAUUUUAACUUUUAAGUUACAUUCAAGACUCUAUUAGACUAUUACUUGUAAUUAUUUUGGAUUUGGUCACUCACAUUCUCAAAGAUGCUCCAAUUCCGUUCACAACCCGAUGCACUGCAUGUUAAGUUGAGGACUUUCAUUGCAAACUUUUGCAAAUUUGGAGCUGAAGCUCCAUAUGCAGCCCACCAUUCAGCUGUAGUAUAGAUAUUAACAAUUUAGUGAAACAAUUCACCUAUUUUAGCAAAAAUACAAUCUAAUCAUUUAAAUAAACAAAACUAAAUAACUAACCUGGUGCUCUAGUCUUUCUUGUCCUAACAGCUAACUCAUUCCCGAAUAGUCCUUGGGCAUUUGUGAACAAACUCACUUCGGCCACAACUUUUUCUUGCUUAGCAGGGUCUCUUGUUAGCCUUAAGAUGCAUUUAUACAAAUCACUCAUAAUCUCGGCAUCAUGCUCUAUUUCUGGCUUAUCAUAGAAGAAUUCCGGGUUCAAAAAGUACCCUGCUGCAUGCAAAGGCCGAUGAAGCUGAAUCUCCCACCUCUUAUCAAUGAUGUUGAAGAUUUCUUUGUACUUCUCUUCAUUUCCAUUAAAACUUCUCACAAUUGCAUCCUUAGCUCUAUUCAUGGCCUCAUAGAUGUAUCCCAUAGGAGCUUUUUUUUCACCAUCAACCAAACGAAGCACACGAACUAGGGGACCCGAAACCUUUAAGCAAAACACAAUAGUGUUCCAAAAUGAAGGCAUUAGAACUAUGUUGGCUAUAGUUUUCCCCUUCUACUCUUUUGCCCAUUUACUAUCUAACCAAUCUGAGCUUGUAAACAUCUUCCUCAAAUUGUUUUUUUGUUCAUGCAAUCGCGAUAAUGUGAUGAAAGCAGUUGCAAACCGAGUCUUAGCAGGCCUAAGCAAUUCCCUUUGUCCAGUAAACCGCCUCAUCAUGUUGAGUAGCCCUGAGCGAUUAUAAAUAUACCGAUUUAGUGAUAUAGCCCUCUCCAAUGUCCUCUUGAUGUUUGGUAGCUUUCCAAUAUCUUCCAACAUCAAGUCAAGGCAAUGUGCAGCACAUGGUGUCCACUACAAAUGUGGACGCUUUAAUUCUAACAACCUCCCUAUAUGAAAUUGUAGAUAAUAAAUUUACAUAAGUUCUCAAGAUAAAUAAUUCAAAUUUUAAAAGUAAAUAAAAAUUCAAGAAAUAGUAUUUAUUACUUGCUAUCACAUAACUUGAGUGAUUAUCUGUUAUAACUUGAAUAACAUUCUCUUCACCAACUUGCUCUACCCAUUUGUCAAGUAAUUCAAACAUCUUUUCUCCCGUCUUAAUCAUUGAAGAAGCAUCAAUGGAUUGCAUGAACAUGGUUCCCUUUGAACAAUUAACCAAAAAGUUCACCAAAGUUCUCUCUUUCCUAUCGGUCCAUCCAUCCGACAUAAUUGAACAUCCAUUUUUCCCCCAUUCCACCAUAUGAUCUUUCAUCAAAUCUUUUGUGAGAGCCAAUUCUUUCUUAAGGUUAGUAACUCUUACCUCAUGAAAAGUUGGUCCCUUCAUACCCACACCAUAUUGGCCAAUAGUCUCAAUCAUUGGUUGGAAACUCGGAUAUGUGACUGCAUUAAAUGGAAUAGCAGCCUCAUACAUCCAUCUUGUGAUAAGCGUGCAAGCUCUUUCUCUUGCUUCCUUUUUGUAGGCAUCAUUGAUGGUAGUUUGAUUCAUCUUUCCACUCCUUUGAUUUUGAACAACCAUCUCUGCAUUAGGAGUGAAAAAAUGAUCCAUAGGACCUUUUUGUCUUGGUUUUUUUGAAGAAAACGUCCUACCACUACUUCCUCCUCGGUUACUACCUCCACUAGAAAUGUUGGUGACAUUCGUUCUACUAUUAAUCUCCUCACCAAUAUCUUCAUCUUCCAAACCAAACAAAUCUUCAUUAACAUAUUCGCUCCCCAUAUUCAUUUGCUCUUUUUGAUUUUUCUUGGAACUCAUAUACUCUUCCAUUUCUUCUCUAACAUGUUCCGGACAUUUUCUAAACUUUUUAGCAUUUCUAUAUCCACCAACAAGAUGUUGUUUGUGUCUAUAGAUGCCUCCUUUGGUUACUUUCUCACAAAAAAUGCAUAUGAUGGUGUUCAAAUCUUUUUCAUUAACCAAACGACCAUAUUUCCACCCCGGAUCUCUUCUUCCACUUGCACUAGAGUCCACUUGAGUUUCACUCUCAUUAUCCAUCUUGCAAACAAAUUAUCUAUACUCCACAAUAAAAUAAUUAUAAUUAAAUUAAGAAAAAAAAUUGAAAAAAAAAUGCAUAUCACAUUAUCAAAUAUCACAUUAACAACAAAUAUGCAUGAGUGCUUUUUAUUUAUUUAUUUUUAUUUUGUAAAAUUUUCAUGUCAAAAACUCAAAAUAUAAUAUUUAUUUUUAAAAAAAAAAAAUUACCAAUGAGAGUUAUGAGGUAAGAAUGGAAAAAAAUGCAGAAAAGUGAAGAAAAAAGAAAAAUACCGAGGUUCGGAAGGUACGUGACUAUUUCCCCUAUUUUUCUUCUUCUUUUUCUUCUUCUUCUUCACUUCUCCAGCACAGAAGAGGCUAAGGCAAAAAAUGGCAGUGGUCUCGGGUUGAGAAAGACCAGAAAAGGGGGCUGGAUGGAAGGAACAAGUCAAAACGGCGUCGUUUUGGUCCCUGUUCACUUAAAUGAACAGGCUCCAAAACGACGUCGUUUUGGGCCCAAAAAAAAAAAAAAAAAAAAAGCUAGGGCUGCGGGGCGUCUCUGCAACCCGACUGGAGGAGGAAGAAGAAGAAGAAGAAGAACAAGGAGAAGGAGAAGGAGGAGUGCGUACCUGGUCGGACCGUCGGAGGCGACUCGGGCGAUCGCCUCGCGCCUUGCUGGAGGCGAGCGCCUUGCGCGCCUAAGCGGCGCCUUCGUGAAGGGGCGUCGCCUCUCUUCAGGCGAGGCGCCGAGGGUGGCGUCGGGCCGCCCCGAGCCUAGGCGCGCCUUUCAGAACUAUGUUAUAUAUAUAUAUAUAUAUAUAUAUAUAUAUAUAUAUAUAUAUAUAUAUAUAUAUAUAUACUCCUCUUAACCUUGUACACGUAUUUUAAAGUCAUGAAGACCACUUGAGCAUAGGAUGGAUAAUAUCUAUACGGUUGGAUGCAGGUUGUUACAAUAAUUACUUUUGAUUUUCCUUUCAUAUGUUUAAUUGCAUAACAUUAUUAUAGCAAAAUAUUAAUCUAUCAUAAUGCAACGUCUUGUAAAGCUUAUGUUGGGUGUCAUGAUUUGAUCUCUUGUCAUUUUUAUUAUUCUGAUUCAACAUCAUCUUAGCUUAUAAUCAUUUAUACACUUGAUGCAUGAGAAAUGAAGAUGCUAUAAAUUGUAGGAUCUUUUUCUCCAAUUUGUUCCUUGAUAUUUUAUAAUGCCAUGAAAUGUCUAUAUUUUGAUGCAGAAAGCCGUUCACACUCCAUCUCUCUCACUAGUUUUGCAGAACCAUUGCCACUAAGCACAUGCAGGCGUCAGAUGUGCGGCCACUUCCAGUGUUGGAAGAGACUUUGAACUACCUAUUAAACCUGUUGGAUGCCACAGAACAUCCUUUUGAAGUGGUUCAUGAUUUCGUCUUUGAUAGGACAAGAUCAAUAAGACAAGAUCUUAGCAUGCAGAAUAUCAUUAAUGAUCAAACAAUUCAUAUGUUUGAAGAAAUGGUAUGAAUUUCUUGAAACAUAAUCUCAAUUACCUUUUUUUCUGAGCAUUCAUCUCCUCAACAUACAAUAAGUUAGCCAACCCAUUGCUAAACACUCUCCUAGUUGGAGAAAAUAAUCAAAGUAUACAAGAGAUAAAAUGUUGAAUAAUUGAGUCAUUAUCCUCUCUUUUUGCUUUAUUGAAUAAGAUAAUUUAUUCGAUGGAGUCCAAAUGAGGUGAAACUGUGAUCACACAACUUGAAGCCUACUUUACAAUGGAUAAAUGAAUGGUCUGAUUUUGAAUCUUUCUUGGCACAUUAGUUAUUAUCCAAUCCAUUCUAAUUAAAUUAUCCACUAUUAAGUGUCUAUUUCCAGUCACCCUCUAAGUUAUGAAAGACCCAUAGAACCAAAGCAACUCACACCACCUGUGAUAGGAAUUGGUGCUCUCUUCCAUAAUGUCAAGUUUUCCAGUACACUUGCUGACUUUGUAGAAUAUGCCUACAAAAAGGGCUGCCACCUCCUAAUUCCCAAUCAUAGAAGUUUCUUAACCAUAUUUCAAAAGUUGUAUUUCCUGUUCCCUCUCUUAAAGUUUUUUAAACCUAUAUAUCUUUAUCCUAGUAAUUCGGAAAAAUGAGGAAAUUAUUUAACAAGAACUCCAUCAAUUUGUUCCUCAAAAUUUUAUAUAGUUUCUCUCUCUCACUUUUGAUUCAAAUUCUUGAAGCAAAGGAACAAAUUCAUGGCCAGUAACAUUUUUAGCCAAGCAAUAGAAUGCACGACAAGCAUGUAUAUGAAUGAAUUGUGUUUUUUAAUGAUAAUAGAUCAGAUAUUUUAAUCUCAUCCUAAAACCUUUGAGUUAACUAAAAGCCGCAUCUUAUGUUCUGACUUGUGGUUUGUUUCAUAAUAUAGGUGAAAUUUCAUAUUAUAUCCCACCACAAGCUUCACAGUUGUAGCAGCAAGCCAAGUUUUUCUUCAGUUCAUUACCUCAAUAUGGAGCAGCUGAAAAAGUGUCUAAUAUCUCUAUAUGCUCUAUACAAAGAAAAUCGAAAUUCAAAUUCUAUUUACAAGAAUGAACCUGAGUUCUACUCAUUUCACGUUCUUCUUCAUCUUGGCUCUAACAACCAACCAUUGGUGGAUACUUGCUUCCGUUGUUUGUUUGAGUUCAUCUUUUUCAGUAUCUCUUGCUGCCUUGUACUGGUUUCUGAAUAUGUUACUAUUUCUGUUUUGAAGGGAGAGUCACUCUCUUUGUGGUUGGGUCGUGUACCUUCUCUCAUUUUAAAGUCAAAGGAAAUGUGUUUUGCUCGGAGACUUUUAAGGUGACCGUAAAGCUAUUAUAGAUUCGACUUGCAUUUAAAUUGUUUAUAUUCAUUUUACAUUUAACUCAAUGUAGAGUGGUUCUGUUUUCCAAUCGAUUUUUUUCUCUUCUUUUAGUACCCAAUGUUAAAAAUUUUGUUUUCAUGAACUGAAAGAUCUGUCUUUUCUUGUAACAGAUUAUUUCGGAUGGGCAAUUAUAAGCGUUUCCUUUGUACUACAGCAACUGAGGCAUCUUAUUUACAGUACUACAUAAUUGAACCUUACAUCAAUGAGGUUGCUUAAAUAUGUUGAUUUUGCUAGAUUUUUCAGUUUGAAAAAUAUAUGCUUCUUUGUUCAUUUAUUGUUUUCCAAUUUCAUUUAUGAGAAUAUAUCUAAAAUCUAGACUCGAGUACUUGUGCUUUUGGGUUUUAUUUUUCUUUCAUUUUUGUUAGUAGUUGUACUUCAUUAUUCUUAAAUUUCUCACAGUUGUUUCUUUAUGUGGUUUAUUGCUCCUCACUUUCUUCAUUCAUCUGAAGUGUUCAAAUUCAAUUUGCUUGUUUCAUAAACCAGGUCUUAUUUAGAAGUUCUUCUCAAUUGCCUUUUUUAGUGCUUUUAAAGGACAUGCCUGAUUUAUAUAUAUUUUUGUUGGUUUUCUUUUGACCGUAAAAGGUUCGAGCAUUGGCAUUGUCAUGUGUAAAUUAUUGUGGCUACAAACUUCAUCCGUAUCCAAUUGCACACUUGUCCAAACUCUUGAUGAUGAAGGUAUGAUUGCAUUUACUAGCAUUAAAUUGCUAAAAUUUGUCAUCCAAAGUUCCAAUAUCUUUUGAACCUUGAAGGCUUCAUUUGCAUUUUUGUAGGAAUUAGAUGUGGAAUCAUUUUGCAAUGCUUGUGGUCUUGAGACCAGCACUGAUGAACGGGGAAAUAAGUUCUUAUCAACCAAGCAAACAAACUUCCAUUAUCCCAAGGAAGUCUUUCCAAGCUAUUGCCUUCUGGGUUUGGAACACUUUUAGAGGUAACAAUCAAUUGGAACUAGUUACUCUUUCAAACUUCUUAUUGUACAAAUAUAACCUGCAUGUGCAACCAUUUCUGAUCCCAUAAUUUCAAGAAUUUAUGACACCUUCUAGUGGUUAGUUUUUCUGGGAAUAGAGUAAAGCAAUCUAUUCACUCCCAGAAACUAUCGUCAAAGGAACAGUAGAUAACCCCGCAAGACCAAAUUUAUGUGUGUGCAUGGAGAUGCAUGUUUUCUGCAUCCCAAUCAUGCAGUGUUGUGCCAAAUGGAAUAAUAGCAGCUGAUGAUAAGUGGUAUUUCUAAAAUCUUCUAAGAGUAUUCCAUCUAUUGUAAUAUUGUUUUCUCAAAAUUGUCUUUGAGUCUUAUAUGUAAAUAUUAGACUUGACCUCUUGUAAGCUAUCAACUGAUGUUGUAACUUAACUUGAAAGGGAAAUUCUAUAAAUUUAGCCUUGGUUUGGCUGUUGGAAAGCAAAGAAAAAUUAGGUUAAUAGUGAGUUGAUUUCUUCCCUUCCCAUGGAUGUAAGCACAUUCUUGAAUCAUGUUAAUUACUUUUUGGUUUAUUUUGUUGUUUUGUUGUUUUGUUGUUUAUUGUUCAAUUGUCUCCGCAUAACAAGUGGUAUCAGAGUUGUUUCCAACACAACAGAUGAUUCCUGUGCUAACACAAAGUUUGAGGCUAAACGUAAGAUGGUAAAAGUUUCUAGAAUAUUUCCCUAUGACAACUGCCAAUAAAGGAUGUACUUAACAGAAAGUUCAUAAGGUGUUACAUGGCAAGUUGAACAAAACCAAUAGCUAGAGAUAUCUGAAAUAUUUGGGGCCACUGAUCCAACAAUAGCAGAGAAUAACACAAGAAGAGACCCUCUAAUCACCAUUUUUUCUUUGAUUCUUCUCUACAAAGCAUCAUCUUCUUUAUACAAAAAGACAACCCAUUGCUGAGCCCACAUUAUUCUCUACAUAUCCCAAAAAAGCCCUCUAAAUUUUAGGGCAUGGUGCUCUUUUUAGGGGUAUUUUGGUACUAAAUUUGUGGUAGUCUCUCAAAUACCUAAACUACCCUCCAGAUUUUAAGGCAUGGCCCACUCUUUGAGGUGGUAUUUUGGGUACUAAUUUUUGUUAGGAGAGGUUUUGGUGUGGAAACUGGAGGGCUUUACACACGUUGCAUGUAUUUUCUUUUGCAUGCAUUACACAUAGAUUGGAGUUUAUGCAGUUACUCACUUUUUGUUCGUCCAACAAUACUAUAGUGCCACGUCACCAUAUGAUGGGCUCUUUAGUCUUUUCAAACCCAAAAAAAAACACUAAAAAAAAAAAAAACUAAUACUAAAAGGAUUGCUAACUAGCUAUGUGAAGAUGAACCUCUAUAGCUAGCUUCUUAGAGGGACCAUAAUCGCUUAGGCCAGGGAAGUUUGAGGUGAUAAUAUGUCUGUGAUGCCCUUAGAUGUUUUAGGCACAUGUGCGUUACAUUAAUGUAUUCAAUGAGUCUAUAACCUUGAUUGACAGGUCCGAGUAAUCUUUGAAAUUUCAUUGUGGUGGGAAGGUUCCAUGUGAACAACACUUGCACAUGGGUUAGUUAAUCUUAAGAGACGGGGGAAGCUCAUCUAACAGCACACAAUGUGCGAGCUUUGAAAGGCAAUCGGGUUAACAUUUCUGAAUUGGGACAUGACAGCGGACAACAACAUUAGGUAGUCCAAAGAUGUCGUCAUAUUAAUUGUUAUCAAUAUUUUUAUUUAUUCAAUAGAGAUUGAGGAUUAAAAAAAUACCACAAAAAUUAGAAAAAACAAAAUUAAUUACAUGGCUUACAUUUCAAAUAUUUAAUAAAAUAUUGUAUGAAAGUUGAAUAUCAUACACUAUUAAAUGGUUGGAUUCUCUUCUUUAAUUUUUUUAAUUGUCUCAUCCUAUUAAAUUACUCAUCUAAUAUUAAUUUAUUUUAAAGGUGAAAUUAAUUAUAUUGUAAAAAACUUUUAACUGACCAGAGUUUGUGCACAACAUCUAAUAUAUACUUAAAUAUAAUCCUCCAACUAAGAAAUGAAAUCAAAACUUAAAAAUCAUUUAUAUAUAUAGAUAUAUGUUAUCAAGUUUAGGUAGUGAAGCAAUUAAUGUGGAUAUAAAAUUAAUGCCAAAACUUUUGAUUGUUCCUUCACAUUCUCCACAACCAAACAAAGGAUAUAAGAAAAAUAAAGAAAGAAAUUUAGGGUAGUUUGAUUUUUGUUCUCAUCUUGUUGUGAAGUUAAUAGAGGAAUGCUUGGGUUGGUGCUCAAUAGUUAAGUGACAGCAGGGUAUAAUGAUUCUUCCAAUCGUGUAAAUAUUAUUUGUUUUAAUUUCAAUGGAUCAUCGUCACUUUAAAUUGCAUCCACAUGGUUAAGAGCAACUCAUAUGUAUAUAAUAUCAUGAAUUUCUUCUUAUUCGAUACGGAAUAUCAAAUUAGGUAUCUUUCAAUUUUAGGUAUUGUGUAAGUGUUUCAACUCAAAUGACUUGGCUUAAUGUAUACUCAAAGCCUUGACAAAGGAGCGUAUAUGUAAUAAAGUGAAAAUUAAACCUUGUCGCCCUUCUAUCUCUAGUACUCCAUUAUCCCUUAAACAUGUGCAAAAAAAGAUAUACACCUUUGAUACAUUAAUUAAAAUAAACGAUAGAAAAAGAGAUUUUAUAUAUCCAUGUACAUAAUUUGAUUAGAUUUGUUAUAUAUGAGAGAGAGAGAAAAAAAAAAAAACUGUUUAGAUUAAGGAUCUCAUUAAUUAAUACCUAGAAAAUAUAAAAGAAUAAAAAAAGAUUAGAAGGUGUGAAUCAGAAGAUAAGACUACAUUUUUUAAUUAGAUUCAUCGAAAGAUGGCAUAUUGUAUGAACAUUUUUACUCUACAUAUAAAAACUUAUAUUAUGGUUGAGAUGUAUUAAUUUGUCAUAUUUUUGGACAUUUAAAGUAAUGAGUAAUUACACUAAAUUAAAUUAUUGACCUUAUUAAUCAAUACCUCAAAAGUAUAAAAUAGUAAUAAAUGAAUAAGACAAACUUCAUCGAAAUAUUUUUAUGGGCACAUUACGUAAAUAUUCUUAUUUAAUAAAAGUUUAUAUGUCAUUAAAUGAAUAGAGAAUUUUAACAUUAAUUGCAGUGCUAAGUAGAGGAGAUCUCAUAUUUAAGCUGUUGAUUAAGGCUUAUUACUUAAUAAUUUAAGUUGACUUUAAGUUAGAUUAUAUUUAAGUUAUUUACGUAAAAUUUAUUAUUUAUUAUUUAAUAUUUACUUUAAGUAUUAAAGUUAUUUGAUAAAGUUAAUUUAAAAAUCAUUUUAAAUUAUCAAAUUGUCAUAUUUACCUUCAUUAAUUUGAUAACUAGAUGCAGAUAAAUGAAACAAAAAAAAAAUUGAGAUUAAGAAUAAGUUAAUUAAUUUGAUUUAACACUUAAAAGUAACUUUAAGAUAUAAUAUUAAGUUAUUUUAUCAAAUAUAUUUAAUCUAUUUAAUAAUUAAAUUAAGUUAUUAAGUUAAUGAAUGAUUACCAAACACCUUAUAAGACCCAAAAAAUCGAAUGAGUUUUAAUAGUUUCCAGGAUGGGCAUGACUAGGUGGUGGUUCAAUGCUGAUUAAUCAUAAUUCAAUCAAGGCAAAAUAUGUAACAAAUACAUGUCAAACUGCACCAUCCAAAUGGGCGCCAAGAACGUUACAUUUGACAAAUGCCAUUAAACCUCGACAGCUACCAAUUACUUGAAGCUCAUUAACUUCAUCUUAAUUUGAUCCAAAUUGCAGAAACAUGUGAAACUCCAUGAAUCUAUGGUGCUAUGGUGGCCUACAUUCAUAUAACUGGGGACACUUUGGUUUACACUACAAUGACCCCAAACAGGGUUUGUAGAGACUUUAUCAAGAUCACUAGCUUCAAAAGACUAAGGAAAGAAAGAUGUUCUCAAAACUUGGAGUCAAAUUGCAGAUAAAGACCUAAAACUCCCACUUAACGUGUUUGAGGAAUUGUUGUUUCAUGGGGAUAAGCUGUUUGGUUUGUACAUGUCUCCUUGGUGAUACUUAGAGUUCGGCGAAGUAUACGUAUCCUUUGUGAUCUGGUUUGUAUAUGGGCAGAUGAAUGUUGAUGCCAGGUUCAUAUAUGUUUCUGAUAUAUAUCACCCUGGAAGGAUCUAGAUCAAGGGGAUGAGUUUCAAAAGCUUGAGUAGGUUUAAGAUGUUCCGAGAAUUGGUGAGCAUGAUAUAUAUCAAUAUGAUAUUGCAGAAGACAACAGAGCUUCUGAAAUUAAUAUGUCAGGUUCAAUAGUGGGAAAUCUUAUCAGCUGUCACUUACUGUAAUCGUAUGCUCUCAAUAUUCAUUUGUUGAAGAAGAAAAAAAAAAUUGCUUUCACACUAUUCAAUUACAAGAGAAUGUUCAAUUAUAGAAGAAAAUAAUAUUCGCUAGUCUCUUUCAACUUAAUCAACAUGCAGAGAAAAGCAGUGAAUAAUAACUUACAUACAUUGUCUCUCUACCCCUACUUGUUACUCAUCAGCCAAGCUUAUGGUAAUAUAAGCUUGGGUUCAUCUCUCUAUGCCACUGAUGAAAACUCCACAUGGGCUUUGCCUUUCUGGUGAUUUUGCAUUUGGAUUCCGACCCUCUCCAAGUGAAGAGGACCUAUUCCUUCUUGCUAUCUGGACUGCAAAUGGAAGUUAACUGGUGCCAAGAGGAUCAAAAGUUUGGGCUUACCACCAAUGGACAGCUUGUUCUCUAGAGGCUAAGAUAUAUGGAAGACAAAGACUGGUAAUGUGAGCAGCGAACCAGUGCAUGGUGCCAUGCUUGGAGAUGGAAAUUGUAUACCAGUAUAUGGGAGAGCUUCAAGCACCCAACUAAUACCAUAUUGCCAAUCCAGGGAUUGGUGUUGGAGCCUACUGUGCAGUUGCUAUUUUUGAGGACCUGAGGUUUGCAAAUGGAACUGGAAGCUGUUGGAGGAAAAGACUACCUCUUUCAAAUGGGAGGUUGGAUCAAACUGCUGUUUCCAGAAGUGCUCUAAUCAAGAUAUUGAAGUCCAGUGAACUAACUUCAGGCAGAUGCAAGCAAAAUAAAGCAAUUCUAAUACUCUCAGUCCUCUUAGGCCCCUCUGCGUUCUUCUUCUUCGUUUCUCUAGCUGCAAUUUCACUAGUUUUCUACUGCUUGAACCUCAAAAAUCUGCAGCUUUAUCACAGAAUCCUGAGUACAAGCGAUGGUAGAAGCCUUUGGCACUGUCUAUAAAGGGAUAUUACCAUCAGGUUCUGGAAAUUCUGUUGCUGAAAAGUUGGAGAAGGUGGUGGGAGAAGAUGAGAAAGAAUUCAAAGCAGAAGUGAAUGUGAUGGGCCAAACUCACCAUAAGAAUCAAGGACACUUGCUGCGUUACUGUUGUGAGGGUGAACACUGACUACUGGUGUUUUUUUUUUAUGCACAAUGGCUCUUUAUCAAGCUUCCUUUCUGGAGGCGCCCGAAAGCCCUCAGAACACAACUCUUGGAUGAUUCUUUUACAGCCAAAGUUGCAAACUUGGACUGGGAAAGCUUCUGAUAAGCAACCAGACUAGAACACUCACAGGCAUCAGAGGGACUAUGGGGUAUAUUCAGACAACUCGGGCAGCCUAUGUCUCUUAUAAUAACACGUUAUGAAGCAUCAGCUCAAUGCUGGGGUUCAAUCUGCAAAGCAAGGGAUUCAUCAAUGUUUCCUUCAAACUAAAUAAUAAGGAACAGAAAUGGAUCAUUCUGCAUUUUCAGUGGUGUUUGUUAUAGCAUUUAUACAAGAACUCUAGGGGUUUCUAUGUAUAACUUCAUUCCCAUUUUGUAUAAUCCAAAUCUCUUCAAUCGAUUAAAUGUAUAAAUGAAUCCUAUUCAUUGUUUGGAGUAACAACAAAAUUCUGGAAGACUGGGAAAGUUUCAACACUGGAGAGAAAACAAAAUGACAAGACCAUAAAUUCUGGAAGAGGGCUUUGCUUUCUAACCAUUACCAUAAUUUUAGAGCUCAACCCGGAUGAGUAAAUUAUAUUUCAGAAUGUUCAGGAGAUAAUUCUAAAGUGAUGAACCUUCUACUCACAGUUUCUUGUUCUUCUUGAACAGAGCAAUGAACAUCAAUAGUUCAGCACCCAGGAAUCUCCCCUCUCCAAUUCCUCCACUGGGAAAAGUCACCUUUCCAGUUAAGAAAAUCUUCAGGAUUAAUUUGAGCAAAACAUCAGAGUAUACAUCAAGAAAGCCUUGAUCAAAAUCAAAAUACAUCAAGAGCUGCCAUUUUCUUCUAUUUCCUCUUCCUUGAAUGGAAUGCCUUUUGGACUGAGGUGAUCAAUGGUAACAGUCUAACACACUCCUUAAGCUUUGAUUGAGGUCAACGGGGAUUGGCACAUUUAAUGACUUUGAAAUCAUAGCUGUGUGAAGGGAGGCAAACAUGAAUCUCAGGAUAAUCAACAAGUCAACAACUAUCAAUCAGUAAGGAAAAGGAAAAGGAAAUACCUUUGGAUAUUUACAAAUAAAAAAUUUGAGAGAGUCCAGCUGCUCUGUACAGAAAGGCUUGAGCUUAUUCCAUGGCCAGGCUUUAGAUGGUUCUGAAUUACGGAUGAGAGGAUUGAGUUUUCUUUCAUUCUGCAAUAAGAUUAAAAACAUCAAUGAAACACUAAAAGUUUAUAUAUAGAAGCCCUUUAAAGAUGAGAAUUGGUAAGAGAGCUCACCCAUGGUCUAGUAAAACAACAUCUGUUAGAUAAGUAACCACCAUUCGAUUGUCCAGCUAAUGCAUUUAGACAGUCCAAAAUAGCUAAAGACAGUCCAAAAACUCAUUUGACUAAUAAUUUUCUAAAAGCAGUAACAUAAAACCUGGAUGAAGAAUCCACCCCUCUACCUGACACCACUUCAAUACCAAAUAAAAUGUUACGAUGACCAUUUAUAGUCUUAAGAGACAGUGGGUGUUGUUUGGGCUCAAGACCAUCAAAAUUGGCACAGAAACAAGUACAACAACUAUCUAAUAAAGAGAUUUAUGCAUGUAACAAAUGCAAAUGAAAUAUGAUACAAGAAGUUCAUAGAUUAAACAAAAAUAGAUGGCAAAAUAGAAGGAUAAGGUCACAGACAGGACAAUAUUAAAAGAAAUUAUUAUUUUUCCGACCUGAAAAUCGAGGCAUUUAGAACAGUACAAGUUUGUAAGUAGUCCAUGGAAACCAGGGAACUUAUGCAGAUGUUGUAUUCUAUUGCAUAAGGCAAACACUCAAUACUUACAAGCAUAAUCAUGCCCAGAAAGCCAUGAAUCCCUUUUUGUUUUGCUUUUUUACCUAUUCUCAUCUCUUAUUGCCAGAAGUGCCCAGGAUGAUACAACCUCACCAAAUAAGUUAGAAACCAGCCCAUUCAGCAGGUUGAGUAGCCAGCUUGCCCUCAAUCUUCUUUGAGUCAACAAACAGUUGGGCAUUAUUGCCUCCAAUGGAGGGUCUGGAAAUAUUAGAGCCGGCAGCAGGGGUGGCUGUAAAACUCUCUGUUCCAAAACCCCAAGUUUCAGGGCCAGAAGUUCCUUCUUUGGCUGGUUUGUUGUGAUGGCCAUUUCGGGUCCUACCAGACUUGCUAUUGUUGUCUGGGCACCUGCCUCAGAGAAAGCCUGCCAAAGAUUAGAGUCUGGGCCAGGGGAAACGGAUUUUCUUUGCUGGAGUUCCCAGUCUGUUGCUUCAAUCUUUUCUCUGUGCUGUUACGAGAAGAAAACCUAUCAGACACAUGAAUGGGUACAAAAAGGUAAACUUCAGGUUUUGGUUGUAUUGAAAAGCACAGGAAACUUCACAAGAGGCAAAUUAUACCCCAGACUUAUUGAAGAAAAAUGAAGUACAAUUGACUUACCCAAAUGUCUACUUCCUCAUUUAUAGAUUUCCUCCUAAACAAAUCCCCACAUCUAGGACAGGAAAAGGAAGAAGCUGGGAGUCAACAUUUUUUCAACCAAAUGUCAGCACUAACUUAUCAAAAAACAUAGUUUUCCAUUCAACCUCGGGAGCUGUACUUUCUGAUAUUGUCUUCUUAAAGUGCUUAUGAUUGGUGGAGGUGCUUCCAAAAUCACACAACUUCCAUGAUGCAUUAGGGCCCAAUAGAAGAUUCUCAGCAUUUAUAUAAGAACUUCAGGGCUUAUACGUAUGAUCAUGUUACAGUAUAAAUCAUAGUGAACUGGUGGAAUUUGAUUAUUAGCCAACCUCAUCAAAAACUGUUUCACAGUUGAGGGGAUUGUUAACCUUGCCAUGGGCCAAGCAGCAAUUUCUGGAGAAGCUGGGUGACAAAGAGUACCAUCAUUUGGACUAGUUUCAAUGGAAAUUCCUCUGUUUUUAUACAUGAUAUCUUCAGCUUCAGCUUUUCCUUUUGCUUUUGACAUGGCUGAAACUGAUCCUGAAAUAAAAAAUCCCACGCAAGUAGAUAUUUAACAGAAGAGGAUCCGAAUCUCUUCAAUUGAUUAAUGUAUAAAUGAAAUAAUCAAAAUUUUUAGAUAAUUAUAGGGAGAUGAACCUUGUACCUCUGAGUUUCUUAGUCUUCUUGAACAGAGCAAUGAGCAUCAAGUGUUGAGCACCCAGGAAUCUCCCUUCCUAUACAGGGAAAAUCUGAACAAUCUAUCUUUCUUCAUAUUCCACUUCCUUGCAAAAGUCAAAACAUGAAGAAAAUAUCAUCAAAAUUGAGACAAAAAUAAGUGCAUCAACUGUCUCAAGAAGAGAUUUAUGCCUAUUGCUUACCUUUUGCAGAAGUCCACUUGGUUAGAGCACAUUUUACAUGGACGCCCAAUCACUGCAAGCUGCUGAACCAAAGGAGAGUUCAAACAUCUAAAAAAUUUGACUAACUCAAGUAUCAUAAAAUACUUCACAUGAAUUCUAAAUGAUCUCAUAUCUAAAAAACAUUGGCAUAAAAUUAUUGUUGUUUACCUUACAUAUUUCUUCCAUGGUCAUAAUCGAAACUUUGUUUAUCAUAACAAAUCUUCUAUGCUCAUCCUGAUUACUAACAAUGAAAAUUGAAAUGAAAAGAAAAAAAAAACACAAAAAAUGAUGAUUAGUUUGGUUUGAUAAAUUUAGCACACACAAUUCCCUUUUUCUUGCCCGAAAAAGGAAAGAGUAAAAAAAAAAAAAAAAAAUUAAUAAUUUUUCAAAACUAGCAAUUAUAAAUCUAGUUUGGUUCUCAUAAAAUUUAUGGGAAAGCAGGGAAAAAAAAGUGUAAACUUUUUCUCUUGUUUGAUUGUUUAUGGGAAAAUUGAGGGAAAAACAAAUAUUUAUGAGGAAUCUAUUUAACACUUUUGAGGAACCAAAAAUGUUUUAGAUGUUGUCAAAUCGAUAAUUUAAAUGUAUUUAAUUCCAAUUAAAUGAGUUUAAUCAAACACAUGAAAUCGUGAAUAAAAUUAUUUAAAAGCAUUGAAAUUCAAGUCAUUAAAGUUGUCCAUAAAAUUUGGUAUAUUGAAGCAAGAAAAAAACAAAGCAAUUUGAAUGACUUGCUAAUAAAGCAGCUAACUAGAAUAUGCCCUAGAGUUGUUCUGUGCCUUGUAUAUAAGAAAUAAACAAAGAACACAAUAAAAAUAAAAAUAAAAACCAGAAAAUAAAAUACAAACAAACGAAAUAUCCAUGGUUCUUCGUUAUUUUUUUCUUAAUUUUUCAAUGGUUAUUUUUGCAAACCACCAAAUCAAAACAGAGCAUGAAAAUGUGUUCAAUAUUUAUUUCAGGCUUGAAGCUUCAAGAAAAAGAAAAUCUUAAAUCAAAUAAACAAGACUAGCGAAUGAAUUGGAACUUGAAAGAAAAGUUCAUGCGCAAAAGAAUUACCUGACUCUAUAUUGGCGGAGUGGCACUUUGAUUAAUAUAGCACACCAUUGAUCACUAUUUUUGGAACGUGAGCUAUAUAACGCCAUUCUUCCCCUUUCUCAAAUUGACACCGUUUUUCCAGUAAAGGACACCCAUCGAUGACCAGAAAAGAGAGAGAGUCUGGAAGUCUUUCUUUUGUCAAGUAUUUGAGCUUACGACAGUUCAUGAUCACCAAUGUUUUAAGAGAGGUGAGGUGUUGAAGACCCACUUUUGUCAAGGAUUGGAGCAUUCGGCAGUAUACGAUCUCCAAAUUUUCAAGAGAGGUGAGGUGUUGAAGACCCCCUUCUGUCAAGGAUUGGAGCAUUGGGCAGUGUUUGAUCUCCAAAUUUUCAAGAGAGGUGAGGUGUUGAAGAACCGAUCCUAUCAAGGAUUGGAGCCUUGGGCAGUAUAGGAUCCUCAAUAUUUGAAGAGAGGUGAGGUGUUGAAGAUCCGUUUCUGUCAAUGAUUGGAGCCUCAAGCAUCCAUAAAUUCCUAAUUCUUUUAGAGAGAUAAGGUGUUGAAGAACCGAUCCUGUCGGGAACUGGAGCUCUGGGCAGUUUCUGAUCUCUAAUUUUAGAAGAGAGGUGAGUUGUUGAAGACCCCUGCUGUCAAGAGACUUGAGAUCGGGAAAUGAUUCAAUUUGAAGAGAAGUCAGAGAAGAGGGCAGCAAACACUCCUUGGGAAAUAAUUCAAUGUCUUCACAUCCACCUUGGAUUCUUAAACGAGUAAGAGAGGUCAGCCUUUGCAAACCCCACUCCACCUGGGGCGUGAGUUGGUUGCACUUCUUAAUUUCAAGUAUACGUAGGUUGGAAGGCAAACCCUCUCUCUGAAACAACAAUUCUGGACAAUCACAUAAAUACAACUCCUGUACAGAUGACUGUGUGUGUGCCAACGACCUAAGGUUGAAGCACCUAUCAAUCAAACAAGACUCUAAGUUGAGAGCGUGCAAUUCGAUAGAUUCAAGAUCAGAGCAACCAAUUAGACGCAGGGAACAUAAAGAUGUGGGAUCACCCUCUGAAACCAAAAUGGAGAGCUUCUCAAGCCCCUUAAGACCAUCGAUUGUGAAAUCAGUCAACUUGGGGAAGAUGCCUAAUGAGAAGGAUAACGUGAGAGAAUCAUCGAUAACACCACCUUUGAUUUCUAGACUUUCAAGGACUGGGAGAUGGCAUCUGAACAACUCAGGUACGAGAAUCUCUAAUUUCGAGCACUCAGAGAUGAAUAGUGAUUUCAGUGUAGUGGGUAAACCAACUUUGUGCAGGGAUCUAGAAAAACUGCAAUCAUAGAUUUUCAGAUCAUGUAUGUUGGUUUGCGAGAUUUCCUCCUCUAGCAGAGACUCCGCAUUAUCACAUUCUCUAAUUGAGAGCUGGUGUGGUGCCAUUGGAAGUUGACUCCACUGAGACACAUCUAAAAUUUCAAUUUCUGAAGUUUGAAGAGCUGUGAAGUCACAACCUGCCAUUUGCAACUGCAGUUUACCGAAAUCCACCAUCCUCAACUGACGAAUUACAGGAACUGUGAGUGAAGCCAUAAGCAGUUGCGGACAUUCAUGAAUUUGAAGUUCCACCAAUGAAAGAAGCUGUUCUGGUAAUUUCCCAGUGAGUUUGGGACACCUUCGUAUAAAAAGCUUUUGGAGACGAGGGAAUUCUCCACAACAUAACCAUUUCUCCCAGUUCUGCAUAUCCUCAAAUGAUAGUGUUUCUAGGAAUUGAAAGGAAGCAUUCCCAUAGAACUCAUCACCCACACACUCUACUCCAUUCAUCCUUGAGAUUUGCAGAUAUUUAAGCUGGGUUAGCUGUCCA